UUUGCAAGCUGCUUGCCGGUCUGGUGUUGUUUGGGCGGCGGAGUUGAGAGAUUUUAUGCCGCCGCAGCAACCUGGGGGAACGCCACCAGCACCAUUCCCUGUCAAGUAACCAAUGCAGGGUGCGAGGGAGCUUGUGACUUGACCACAGGUUACGGCCCCUUGAGCCAGGGGUGCACCCACCACCAUGCACAACACCGCCACACAUGCAAGCUUAAGGGACAUUGAGCUAGCCAUAUCGAUUAAUCACAAGAAAAACAAACUUGUAAGGAAAAUGCUUGCUUGGAGUAGUAGUACUAUUGCUGAUUGUCGUGGUUAGGGCUUGAGGGUAGGAGGGUUUUUAUAGCCAAAAGUAGUAGCGGGUGAUGUCUGAAUUUUACUUUCCUAGCUAUUAGGUAAGUUGAGAUUAUCCGAUCCAAACAUUAACACACCACAUUAAAAGUUGAGACCAUUCAAUUAGGUUCAACUGCCAACCUACGUGAUUAUUGUUUUCUUUCAAUACAAUUAAAACCAGCGUCCAUUUGAUUUCACUCAAUCAUGCCUCCACAGCUAGGACUCAAAUAUUGGUUUAACUUUUUUCUAGGUGUUUUCUUAUAAACAUGAGAUUUACAUUUGAUGUAUUUAUAAAUGCAUUUAUUGUCAGAAUGAUACCAUUUUAUUAAAAGUAAUUUGAUUUAUAAUUGUUUGUAUAUAUACUUUUAUAUAUUAAGUCUUUAAUUGAAUUGGUAUUACGAUUCACCCAAGCAUCUAUUUAAUUGAAAAUUUGUUAAAAUAUUCAUAUAACAAAUAUUAAUAUUAAUAUAAAUGUAUUUUUAUUUUUAUUAUAAAUAAAACUAUAAUAAGAUUUAAACUUAUGACUCAUAAAUUUUACUCUUUUUAACUUAACUAUUUCAACUAAAAUUUCAUUUAGUUUUAAUAUAAAUUUUUAUAAAUAUAUUAUUUACAUGAAUUUUCCUUUUCCAGGCGGUAUGCCAUGGAACUAAUAUAAAAUAUAAACAAAUGGUUAUUUUGUUAUUUUCAAUGGAAAAAAAAAACUUCACAAGAUUAGGACACAUGCAUGGUUUUUUUAAUAUAUAUAUAUAUAUAUCAUGCAACAUUCUAAAUCUAUUUAUAGAUUAUUUUGUUGAUUGAAUUUUUAUUUUUUUUUAUUUUGGUAAUUAUAUAAAACUAAAUAUUUUCUUCGCGCAAUGUUAAGAGCAGUUUGAAAUUUAAAAGAAGUGUGGAUUCUAAUAAUAAAUUUAGUUAUCUAAUGUUUACAUAUUUUAUUAAUUUGGUCUUAAAUAUAAAAAUUAAAUUCAACAAAAUUAGCCCUCAAUGUUUACAAAAUUUUUCAUUUUAAUUCAAAUUCUAAAAUAAUCCAAUAAAUUUAGCUCUCAACAUUUACAAAAUGAAAGGAUUUGAUUUUUAAAAUUUUAAUUUUUUUUUUUAAAAACCCAAAACACAAACCUAAAUAAACUGAAAAAGAAGAAGGAAUAAUUAUCAUCACCACGAUCUAAUCUCUCAACUUUAAAAUAAGACUUCAACUUCGGUUUAACCCCAAGACAAGGCGAAACAUUGAAAGUAAGUGCAGCGGAUGCCAUUGAUUCUCCUACCUUUUGGCUAAACACAUAAAUUUGAACAACUUCAUACAUAACUAGCAGCAGUACUAAAAAAUCAUUAAUACUAUAUUUUCAAGUACAAGAAAUUGAAAAAAGAAUCACGGGUAGAGUACAAAAAUGAAAUUUGGUGUGAACCUAGAUUAACAAAACAAGGUUCACGGUUUCUCAAAAACACAAUACUAAAUUUUUAGAAUUUCUUGUGAAGAUCAAGCAAUGAGACAAAUACUGAAAUUGGCAAUGCCUUAAUAGCAAAUAAUAAUUCAAACCAAUGUAGAAAAAAGAUGAAGAAGAAGAAGAUAGGAAAAGAAUUUUUAGUUUACAUUAAAAGCCUUGAAAAGGUAGACCGAUAGGAUUGAUUGUUUUGAAUAUUACUCAACUUUCUCAUUAAUUCUUGUACUAUUAUGGCUAAGUGUGUUUUUAGAUGGUAAUGAAUUUUUUUAAUUGUUAAUAAUUUUUACAAUUAUUACACUUGAUUUGGCAGUUGUUUUUCUUUUUAAUUUACAAAAUUUUAAAAAAUUAAAAAUUUCUAUUUUGUAAAUGCUAAGAGCUAAAUUUAUUAUUAUUUAUUUUAGAAUCUAAACUAAAGUGACAAAUUUUGUAAAUAUUUGGUGUUAAAUUUAUUGGAUUUUUAUAUUUAAAAUCAAAUUGAUAGAAUGUGUAAAGAAAGUUAAUUUUUUUAUUAGACAAAUAAAAAAUAACCCAUUUCAACACUUCCGAAAAAUUUUCAAACGGCCGUUAACAUUUAGUGAUGAAAAUAUUUGAUUUCAUAUAGUUUAAUAAUUAAAAUAAAAAUAAUUAAAAAUUUAGUAAUCAAAGUAAAACACAAGUGAUAUUAUUCUAGUGAUCAUUUCUGUACUUGACCCUAAUUUUUUUUUCAAAACACUGUUAAAAAACGAUUAAUUUCUCGUUUUGGCCGGAGUUAAAAUUUUUAAUAUAUUUGUUUUUAUUAAAUUUAAAAAUUAUAAUUUUACAUAAUAUAUUUUUGAUAGAAUACAUAUGAUAUAAUUUUAAUCAGUGACACCUGUUAAAGCUUGUUAGAUCUCCUGUAUCUCUUUCAAUCUGGUGGUAAAUGAAGCAAUCAAUGAGUAUUACAACCAGCCACAUGUCAUUCAAUUCACAUUAUAUCAAUCUUUUCCCUUUUCUCUCAUUUUGGUAGUUAAUUCCUUUUUUUGUCAUCGAAAUUAUAUUUUUUUCUCAAAUUGAUAAUUUCCUUAAUCCGUUAAGUUUGUUAAAAGAAACCUUAAUCUUAUUUAAAUUAUAUCUUUUUUUUUUUAUUUUGAUACUUAAACAUUUUUGUCACAUGUGGUAUGUAAUUUAUUUUUUCUUAAGUUGUUAGUUUAAUUAUUACUCAAAUAGUUAAGUCUAUUUAAAAAAAGAUAACUAUUUAAAAAUUACCAUAUUCGAACUAGCUAGGCCAUUAGUUCCUGGUUUAAUCAGUUUAUCUAGUUUGAUGAAAUCAAUUAUUAAAAAUUCAUAAAAAUAAAAAUGUUAAAAAAUAGAGAAAACUAGCUCAACUAGUUUUUUUUUUAAGCUCGACUCAAUCAAUCUGUAUCAGUUUGUAGGUUAAUCGGUUCAAGCCCUAUCUCCAAACUAGUAUCCCAGUUGGUUCCUAGUAUUAAGGGUGAGCAAAAUUUGAAUCGACUCGAAAAAAUUUAAAAAAGUUCAAAUUUUGAAUUAUUUGAAUCGAGUUAAUCGAAUCAACUCGAUUUUUUUUUAAUUUCAAGUUCGAGUCGAGUUGAGUUUUUGAAUUCAAAUGACUCGAAUAAUUCGAUUAAGCCGAAUACCAAACUAUAAUAUUUUACAUUUUACCUCAAACCCCAAACCCUUUUACUUUUCCCCCAAAACUUUACUCAUUCCUCCUUGUCUGCCCCUGUAACGCCCCAAAUUUUGAAUUGUUACUGUUAGUUUCUAUUUAUAAGUAAGUAUUUGCUUCAGUGGUUAAGUGUUAUGUGUUGGUGUUUGGAUCGGGGGUUCAAGUUACACUUUUAGAGAAUUUUAUUAUUCUUUUGUUUCAACUCUUAUCCUUGAAUGCUUGAAUUAAGUUUGUAUCUGCAUUAAUUUGUGUCAAGAAUGAGUCUUCUAGUUUAAUGGUUAAGUUUUGUAUUACCUAUGGUCUCGUGUUCGAGUCUCUGCGUAGGCAAUAAAGAAAUAUUUUGGCAUGCUAUCGGGAAAUCAGUUUUAUUUUAAUAAUUAUUUUUAUUUAAAACUUAUUUUUAGUUUUUUUUAUUUUGGUUCUUCUCCUUCCUUACUGUUCAUUUCCUUCUUCUUUUUUCUCCUUUUGUAACACCCCUAACUCGAAUCCGUCGCUGGAACAGGGUUAGGAGUAUUAUUGAAGUUUACAAUUUAAACAGGCAGAAAAAUUAAACAUUUCAUAACAUAUAGCAUUCAUGUUAGAAACCAAUCAUAAUUAUGCAUAUUGUCCCUAAUACGAGCCCUCGAGGCCCAAAAUACACCUUAGAAAUAAUUCGGGACUAAAUUGAAAAUUCGGAGCAUUUUUUAGAAACUUAUAAAAUUUUUAAAACUACAGGGGUCACAUGGCCGUGUGGCUAGGUUGUGUGACUCAUAUGGCCAACAGACACGCCCAUGUCUUAGACCGUGCGGGUAUUCGAAAUAGGGACACACGGUCGUGUCCCAGCCAGUGUCCAUGCCCGUGUAACUCACUAACUUGGGCCACACGGUCAAGCCAUACGCCCGUGUGCCAGGCAUUGUGAGCAUACUAACUUGCAUUCUUUAAAAGAUACAGGGGACACACGGCCAUGUCACCUGACCGUGUGUGACACACGCCCGUGUCUCUGCCCGUGUGGACAAAAAUAGGCUAUUUUUCAAGUCAUAAAUAUUCAUGUAUUCUUUAAAAGAUACAGGGGACACACGCCCGUGUCUCUGCCCGUGUCUCUGCCCAAUUUGGUACCAACCUAAACACAACAAUUUGCAUAUAACCAAGUCAUAAAUAGGCAUCCAAAACCAGCCAAAAUCAAGCUUAAAACAUGUAAUAUCAUCACAUACAACCAAUAUGCCCUUAGGCACCUCAAAUGACAACUUAUAAUAUUAAUAUUCAUGUAUUCAAUAUAGCCAAAUGUAUAACUCACUUAUAUGCAUAUUUUCAUCCAAAGUUUAUUAAGCAAAUUUACAUCAUUUCUUACCAAAUUACUUACCUUCCAAAACAUAUUAUUUGGUGCUAAAAUGUAUUUAACAUACUAACAUAUUUAACUUAUAUGCCUUACAUAUCCAGACACCAAUUCAUGAUCAAUUCUUCACAUUCCAAAACACAUAUAUGAAAUGCACAUUAGGUUACCUUUUUACCACUCUUUAUUCAAUCAUGAACCAAACUACAUGUCAACCAUAAUAAGCAAAAUAUGCACAUAUCCAAAAUUCCAUAACACAAACAAAACAAAUGGCUAAUCUCAACAAAACACAUAUAAGCCAACAUUGGCCAAACUAAUCUAUACAUGCCAUUAUAACCGAAAUUAAACAACCGAAUGUACCAAAAGAGCCAAUGGAUAGUGUGAUAUAGCUCCGACAAGCUUUCAACCAGAACGAGCUUUCGAAUCACUAAAAACACAGAAAAUAACACAGAGUAAGCAUUCAAGCUUAGUAAGUUCAUAUAGCAUAUAAUUUAACUUACCAUUUAGUCACAUUUAAGGUAAGCAUACAAAACAUAUCCAAACUCAAUUAGGAUAAAAGCCUCAACACAUAUCCUCAUCAACCAUGUUAGUCAUGUAAUUCAUAUAAAUAUCAAGAAACAUGUAUGAGCUCAACAAUAAUCAAACUUGCAUGUACAUAUAAUUUCCACAUCAUGUAUUUACAUAUCAUGUACAAAUCAUUUUCAUAUAUCUCAUGUAAAUACAUGUAGUAGUUUGUAUUGAACUCAUGUAAUAUCAUAACAGAACAGUGCCCGUUGAACCAUUUAGAUUAUUGUUGGAUACGCGGAUAGUACACAUGAGGUGUACUGAACUGUAAUUCAUCAAUUCAUGUACAUGUAUGCUCAUAUGAGCUAUAAACAGUAAGCUCCUCUGAGAUGAAUAACAAUAAGCUUGUACGAGCUGAAUAUCGGUAAGCUCAUAUGAGCUGAGUAUCGGUAAGCUCAUAAGAGCUGAAAUCGAUAACCCUAAUGACAUGUUUACCAAGCCAUGACAUUCCACUAACACAUUUAACCUUUAAAAUUAUUUCAAUUUACAAGUUUAAGAAAGAACAUAAAAGAUGAUACUUGGCUUUAUUUUACUAAAUUUUGUUAUUUACUUAAUUACUUAUUUAACCUUUAAAAUCAUUUCAAUUUACAAGUUUACUAAGCCAUGACAUUCCACUAACACAUUUAAGGGUUAUUUACCAUAUAAGGACCUCUACUUUAAAUUUUUAUAGCUAUUUAAUACCUUUAGCUAUUAGAACUUUACUUUUACACUUUACGCGAUUUAGUCAUUUUUAUCAAAUUGAACAUGUAAACGGUAAAAUUUCUUAACGAAAUUUUCAUAUGGUAAUAUUAUCAUGUUUUCGACCAUAAAAUAAUAAUAAAAUAAAAUUUUUUACUUCAUAUUUGUGGUCCCAAAACUACUAUUCUGAUUUCACUGAAAAUGGGUUGUUACACCUUUCUUGCUUGAUUGCUUCCGUAAGUUUGCUAUCGUGCUUAAUUGGGCAUUCUGUGUGGUUUCUUACAUUGAUUGCAAGGAUAUUGCGUAAGUUAUGUUGUUGUUUUUUACCUAUUUUUUCUAGACUUCGUCUGUUUCGUCGAGGUUAGAUAUUACUGUUAAUGGUUGUAAAAUCUCGUUAAUAGUUCCAAUGGAUCUUCUUUUAGGAAAAGGUUUCAAAAGUAACAUUUCCCUGUGAGAUUAGGUCCGAAUUGUUGUUGCUUGCUUGUCAGUAAUUGAAAAUUUCUAUUUUGGAUAGCUGCGUCGAAGUUUUCGACGAACGUUAGUUUUGAGUGCUAAUUUUGGCAUUUUGAGUUGAUUUAGUCAUUUAAUUCGUCAAUUAAUUGUCGUUUUAGGUUUCAGAUUCUUGUGUGUUGCUUCUACAUCGAAACUACAUCAAGUGUGUAACGAAAACUCAUUUUUCUAUGAUUUACGAAUGCUAGAAAACAUGGCUGUUAAUCACACGACCGUGUGUUAGGCCAUGUAACUUACUGUUUAUGUAUUAAAGUCACCGAGCCAAGGACGUGGGCGUGUGUCCUAGUCGUGUAACUUACUAUUUGUGGAUUGGAGUCACACAGGCUAGGGACACGUUUGUGUGUCCAGACUGUGUGAAGGAAAUUUUAUGAAUUGAGUCACACAAGCGUGUGCUUGACUAUGUCAUAGACCGUGUAACUCACUUUUUUGAGCCACACGAUCGUGUGCCAGGCCGUGUGAUAGAUCGUGUGCUACACGGGCCAGCCUUCCGGGACAUGUGAAUCCACACAAGUGUGUGGGUCAAAAUUUCAAAUUUUUUAUUAGGGCCGUAAACAUCAUUCCAGUCAAACGUAGGCCUACUGUAGGGUCUGGAUGAUCUGAUUUGGGUUAUAAAACCCAUUGACUAGUUAUCUGUUUCUGUAUAAACUGUUAUUUUAUAUACAUCAUAGAAUUGUAAACUAGAGAGUAGUUGUAUUCUGUAUUAAUUGAGUAUAACCUGAAAUUUGUAACAUCGUAUGCUUAUAUCUGUAUCUGUAACAUUGCAUCUGCAUUGGGGUUGGGAUUGAAUAAGGAGGAAGUUAUGGCAGUUAAAUAAUCUGCUAAGACUGGUGGCUAAGACACGUAAAUGUAUCUAAUUUUGGUGACUUUCGCAUUCUGUCCUAGCAAUUAGUCUGCAACCUUUUGAACGUGACAUAUGGUCACUAUGUGGUGUGUAGGGACGAUACCCUUUUUGGUGUGUAGGGUUGGAUGCAGAUGGUGUGUAAUUGACAUAUUCUACUCUAUUUCCGUAUAUAAUUCUGAGAACUGUUCUAACUUUAAGAAAUUGAAGAUCUAUUUUGUUGUUUCACUUAAUAAUAAUAUAAGUUAUACGCUAUGUAUAACACCCUUUACCCGAGACCGUGGUCGGAGUCGAGCAUGAGGUGUUACUUGACUUAACUUAAAAGUUCAGGGCAUAAAAAUUUACUUUCAAAAUUAAUUUCACCAUUCACAAUAAAGUUGUCCACCUGAGCAGCAGUCACUAAAUUAAUUAUAACUCAAGCUAAGAAACUCGAAAUUUAGAUUCGUAAAUUUUCCCUGAAACUAGACUCAUAUAUCUAUUCACAAAAAUUUUUCAGAAUUUUUUAUUUGACCAAUUAGUACAGUUUAUUAGUUGAAGUCUCCCCAGUUUCACUAAUCGACUAUCCUGACCUCUCGUCACUAAAAUUCAAUUAUCUCAUUAUACAGACUUGACAUGCUGAUUCCACUUAUUUAUACUUAAAAUAUACUCAUUAAGGAAUUUAAAAAUAUAAUUUAUAACUCAUAAUUCUAUUUGUACAAUUUUUAAUGAAUUUCUAAAGUCAGAACAGGGGACUUCAGAAUCAUUCUGACUCUGUCUCACUAAAAUUAAAAUAUCUAAAAGUAUAUAACUCUUUUGCUUACUCUAUUGCUUUCAUGUGAAAGUAGACUCAUUCAGAUUUAAUUUCAUCUCUCGCUAAACAUAUAAUUCUAUUUCUACAAUUUUUGGUAAUUUUUCAAAGUUACAUCAAUGCUGCUGCCCAAAAAUAGUUCCAUUGAAAUUUUUAAAAAAAAAUUCAAUAUAACCCCUUUAUAAUUAUCUAACCUUCCCUGCAAAUUUCAAAUCACAACCAAUUUCAGUAUUUCAACUACUUCACUUAAAUACUAAUGAAGUUCAACUAAUCAACCAUUUCAAACUAAAAACAUGUAUAGUUCAAUGUUUAACACAACCAUCACAUUCAAAUUUAUUCAUUCUAUUACUUUUUACUUCAAUUCCCUAUACAUGUCAUAUAAAUCCAAAAAGUUGUUUAACAAAAUCUACAGGAGUAAAUCUGGAUAGUGUGAUUCUUGGUGUAGAUCUGAUCCUCCGAAUGUAUAAAUACGUCAAUCUACAAGAAUCAAUAAACACACAAUUAAGCGUAUAGAAAGCUUAGUAAGUUCAUAGGCACCAAACAUAAAUCUUACCAAACAUUUAUACACUUAUACAUUAUACACCAUUACUAAGUUUACCUGUCAACCACAAUCUUUGGUGAGUUCCUUGGUAUAAACUCACUACUACUUAUUCUUUUACCAUAAUUCCUUUGGGCCCAUUUGUCACUUACCAUCCUUGAUCAAAAUUAAGGAACGGUUACGGAAAAUUGAGUACUUCACUUUCACUUUGCCAUAGUAUAACUAUGGUCUUACGUAUGAUCAAACAUCACUUGUCCUUGAUAAGAUAAGUGUAGCUAGGCAACCACUUAUCACUUUGUCACUUGAUCAGAUAAGUGCAGCUAAAGCUACCAUUUAUCACUUUAUCACCACUUAUCACUUGUUCUUGAUUAGAUAAGUGUAGCUAAAGUUACCACUUAUCACUUUGUCACCACUUAUCACUUGUUCCUAAUCAGAUAAGUGUAGCUAAAACUACCACUUAUCACUUUGUCACUUGAUCAGAUAAGUGUAGCUAAGCUAUCACUUAUCACUUUGUCACUUGAUCAGAAGUACUCAAAUCCGGUGUUCUGCUCAAUUUGAUCAUUUAUUCAGUUUUCACAUUUUUAUUUUAUUCUCAUUUCAUCAAUAAAUAUAUAUAUUUCAUCAUACAUUAUAUAAUUCAUGAAAUUAACAUUUAAUCAUUAAAUUUUAGCCAUAUGAACUUACCUGGGUUGAUUUGCUGAAUUUGUAAAAGUUUAGGGACUAAUCAGCUACUUUUUUUUUCCUCGACUUGUUUCGGGUUCUCAAUAUGAUUCAAAUAUAUGAAAAACCAACUUGGAGGGACUCUUCAAUGGUGUUUUUUGCUAAAAAAUAUGAGGAAUUGCCUAGAAACACUUUUAGUUAAGAUUUUUAUUUGUUAUUUUUUACAAAAUUUCCAAUUUUGCCCUUAUUACAUCACUUUUUCAAAUUUUUCUUCUCUUAUGUCGUCUCAACUAUUCCAUAUUGGCAUAUUUAUGCCUUAAGUCCCUCCUUAUUUACCACUUAAGCUAUUUAAUCACUUUUAACAAAUUUUACAUUAUUUUCAGUUUAAUCCUUUUUAAUUAAUUAACCACCCAAACGUUAGAAUUUUCUAACGAAAAUUUAAUACCAACUCAAUGACACUCCAUAAAUGUUUCUAAAAAUAUUUAUGGCUCGAUUUAUGAGGUUGAGGUUUCAAUACCUCAUUUUCGAUUCUAAUUAUUUUAAUAUUUAUUCUUAGUACAUUAUUCACUAUUUCAAAAAUUUUCCUAACUUCGCAUUUAACUUAUACUCACUAAAUUAAUAAUAUUUUCUACUCAUUUGUCAAAUUUAAUGAUCUCGAAUUACCAUUCCGACACCACUGAAAAUUCAGGCCAUUACAACUCUCCCCCCAUUUUGGAAAUUUCAUCACCGAAAUUUCGUACCUGAAAAUAAAUUCGGAUACUGAAAUCUCAGCAAUUCCUCUGUUUCCCAGGUUGCCUCCUCAGAUCCAUGUCGAUUCCAUAACACCUUAACUAGUGGUACAUGUUUAUUCCUCAACUCUUUAACCUUCUGAGCUAAAAUUUUCACCGGUUCCUCUGAAUAAGUCAUGUCAGGUUGAAGCUCUAUUUCCGUAUGAGGAAUUACAUGUGAUGGAUCUGAUCUGUACCGUCUCAACAUAGACACAUGAAACACAUUAUGAAUCUUUUCAAGUUCCGGGGGCAAAGCUAAUCUAUAGGUUACCGGACCGAUUCUUUCAAUGAUUUCAUACGGCCCGAUAAAUCGUGGGCUGAGUUUCCCCUUUUUGCUGAACCGCAAAACUUUCUUCCACGGUGACACUUUCAAAAAUACACGAUCACCCACAUUAAACUCUAUAUCCCUUCUCUUCAAAUUUGCAUAUGAUUUUUGCCGAUCGGAGGUAGCUUUUAAACAAUCUCGAAUAAUACGAACUUUUUCUUCAGUUUCCUGAGUCAAUUCCACUCCCACUAGUUUCGAUUCACUUAAUUCAGACCAAUAUAAUGGAGUUCUACACUUUCUUCCAUACAAAGCUUCAAACGGUGCCAUUUUAAUGCUAGUUUGAUAACUAUUAUUAUAAGCAAAUUCGGCUAAAGGUAAAUACCUUUCCCAGCUACCGCCGAACUCAAGUAUACAACACCUUAACAUAUCUUCUAAAAUCUGAAUCACUCGCUCUGACUGCCCAUCUGUCUAGGGAUGAAAAGCUGUGUUGAAAUUUAAUUUGGUGCCUAAAGCUUCCUGUAAUUUACUCUAAAAUCUCGAGGUAAAUCUCGGAUCUUGAUCUGAAAUAAUAGAUGUCGGUACCCCAUGUAACCUCACUAUCUCAGACACAUAUAACUCCGCUAACUUUUCAAGCUGAUAAUCUGCUCUGACUGGAAUAAAAUGUGCUGACUUAGUUAACCGAUCAACAAUCACCCAUAUUGAAUGUUUCUUCUUCAGAGUUACUAGUAAUCCAGAUACAAAAUCCAUCGUAACAUGUUCCCAUUUCCAAUCUGGAAUCAUAAUGGGCUGUAACAACCCUGUCGGCACUUGAUGCUCAGCUUUCACCUGUUGACAGAUCAAACAUCUUGCUACAUACUCAAAGAUUUCCCGUUUCAUUCCGGGCCACCAAUACAUUUUCUUCAAAUCACAAUACAUUUUUGUACUACCCGGGUAAAUAGAACACAUACUACUGUGAGCCUCUGAUAAAAUAUCAUUUUUCAAGUUUAAAUUAUUCGGAAUACAUAUUCUAUUACGAUAAUAUAACAUACCAUUUUCAUCAAUGGAGUAUUCUGAGCUUAACUUAUCUUGAACCAUCUGUCGCUUUAUCAUCAAUUUUGGGUCAUCAUCCUAUAACUCCCGAAUCCGUUGAAAGAACACGGGUUUAGCCUUUAAUUCUGCUAGUACAGAACCAUCCUCAUUAAUAGAUAAAUGAGCAUUCAAUGCCCGUAGUGCAAAUAAUGAUGAUUUCCGACUAAGCGCAUCUGCUGCGGCAUUUGCUUUCCCUGGGUGAUAGUCAAUGACAAGAUCAUAAUCUUUCAGCAACCCCAACCAUCGUCUCUGUGUCAAAUUUAACUCUUUCUGAGUCAUUAAAUACUUCAAGCUUUUAUGAUCAGUAUACACGUAACAUUUCUCACCAUAUAAGUACUCUCCAUAUCUUCAAAGCAAACACGAUCGCUGCCAAUUCCAAAUCAUGUGUAGGAUAAUUCUUGUCGUGCGGUUUCAGUUGCCAAGAAGCAUAUGCCACCACUUUGCCUGACUGAAUAAGUACACAGCCCAACCCAUUUACAGAUGCAUCACUAUAUACUACAAACGGUACACCCGAUUCUGGUUGAGUCAACACUGGAGCCUCUGUCAACAUCUUUUUCAACUGAUCGAAACUCCGCUGACAUUCAUCUAACCAUAUAAAUUCAACAUUCUUUUGUAGCAAUCGAGUUAACGGUAAGGUAAUCAUUGAGAAAUCUUUGACAAAUCGACGAUAAUAACCUGCCAAUCGUAGAAAACUCUGCACUUCAGUCACAUUCUUCGGAACUUUCCAAUUUAUCACUGCCGCUACCUUACUUGGAUCCACUCUUAUUCCAUCAGCUGAUACAAUAUGACCCAAAAAUGCAACUUCAUGGAGCCAAAAUUCACAUUUGCUGAAUUUGGCAUACAAUUGUUUCUCCCACAAAGUCUGUAAUACAAUCAUUAGAUGUUGUGCAUGUUCGGACUCUGUCUUUGAAUAAAUCAAUAUAUCGUCAAUGAACACAACCACAAAUCUAUCCAAAUAUGACUGAAAAAUUCUAUUCAUCAAAUCCAUAAAAGCAGCAGGGGCAUUGGUUAAACCAAAUGGCAUCACCAAAAAUUCAAAAUGACCAUAUCGAGUUCGAAAGGCAGUUUUCGGCACUUCACACUCUUUAACUUUCAACUGAUAAUACUCGGAUCGAAGAUCUAUCAUGGAAAAUACUGUAGCACCUUUCAACUGAUCAAACAAAUCAUCAAUAUGAGGCAAAGGAUUUUUAUUCUUUACUGUUACCUUAUUCAACUGUCUGUAAUCUAUACACAGUCUUAAAAAACCGUCCUUCAUUUUCACAAACAAGACAGGUGUACCCCAGGGCGACAUACUCGGUCUGAUGAACCCUUUAUCUAAUAACUCCUGCAGCUGCGCCUUCCGUUCUUUUAACUCGACUGGAGCCAUUCUGUAUGGUGUCAUUGAGAUAGGAGUUGUUCCGGGGAUCACAUCAAUUACAAAUUCAACUUCUCUAUCAGGUGGUAGACCGGGUAACUCUUCAGGGAACAUAUCAGGGAAUUCAUUCACCAUUGGCACUUGUUCGAGCUUCAAACCAGAACCCUGAGUAUCCAGGAUAUAGGCCAAGAAUGCUUCGUUGCCUUUGUGUAAUAACCUCUGAGCAGAGAGAGCUAAAAUAAUUCUGACUGUAUCACCCAGAUUUUCAGACCCAACUGAGAUUAUAUCUCCCGUUUGACAUUUCAAACUGAUUUGUUUAUCACGAUAAUUCACUACCGCAUCAUGUCUCAUUAACCAGUCCAUCCCCAGAAUAAUGUCAAAUUCCCGAAAAGGUAACAACAUCAAAUCAGCGAGGAAUUCAUAGCCUUUCACUUUCAGUGGACAAUUACGACAUAUCAAAUUAACCAUCACACUUUGACCUAAUGGGUUUGUGACUUGUAUAUCAAAUUCAGUGGACUCAACAGAUAAUUUCUUUUUAGAUGCUAACAUAGUGCAAAUAUAUGAAUGAGUAGAUCCAGGGUCUAUCAAUGCAUAAACAAUAACAUCAUAAAGAUAGAAAGUACCAGCAAUUACAUCAGGAGCCGUAGCCUCUUUCCUUGCUCGAAUGGCGUAGGUACGUGCUGGUGCUCUAUUCUCUGAUCGACCAACUGAUUCCCUCGUACCCGAACGGGUAGUCCCUGUAGCACUGCUCUGGCCCGAACGUCUACUUUUUUGGGGAAUGGUUCUCUGUAUUUCUUUCUGUUCCACUUCAUCUUUUUACAGUCGGGAACAAUCUCGAAUAAGAUGAUUAGUACCCUCACAUUUUUAACAAGCCCCUAUCUUGGUCCUGCAUUCUCUGAAAUGAUAUCUUCCACAAUAUUGACACUUAGGCCGGGGAGCAUUCUGAACACUGCUCACACUUGCUGGAGGUCUAUCGAAUACCCUGAAAUCAGAUUGUCUUGGUCUAUCUCUACCCGAUCUUCUCGACAGUGAUGUAGUUCGACUAAUUUCUUCUCUAGAUUUGUUCACUGGUAAAUCUAAAAAUGACUUAGAAGCACCUCUUUUGAAUGGCUCUUUACUUUUUCGAUCCCGCUACAUUUUUCUGUUGUAUACUUCUUCGAGCUUUUGAGCACGGUCUGACAGAACAGGGAACUCUCGUAUUUCAUUACCCCCAAUCAUCAUUCUAAUUUCAUCAUUUAACCCUUCUUCAAACCUGAUACACAUUUCUUCUUUAAUAAGUACAAUGUCUCGGGCAUAUUUGCUGAGGUAGACAAAUUCUCUUUCGUAUUCAGCCACUGAUUUAUCUCCCUGGCGUAGGUCGAGAAAUUCCCUUUUAUUUUUAUCCAAAUACCGUCUGCCCACAUAUUUCUUCUUAAAUUCAUUUUGGAAAAAUUCCCAAUAAAUUUUCUCUGUCGGAACCACAUCCUCAAUCGUCUCCCACCAACUAUAAGCUUCUUCUUUCAAUAGAGACACAACACAACUCAAAUAAUCAUCUAGUGAGCAAACCAUUUCUUUAAAAAUUCUUAUUAAACUCUGUAACCAAUAUUCAGCUUUGACGGGAUCUUUAUCAGUCCUUCCCCGAAAUUCUUCGGCUCCAAGUUUUUUAAGCCUUUCCAAUGGAGAACGCUUUCUGGAUUCAGUCGUUGUAAAAGGUGGAGGAGCAACCGGGUGUGCCACCGAUGGAGCAGUAGGGGGAGGAGGUGGUUCAGCCUGAUUUCUUUCUUGCCUCAUUUCAGUAUAUCAUUGAUUCAUAAUCCCAUAAAUCAUAUUCUUUAACUCUUGCUCUCGCAUUUGGGAGAUCGGAACAUCACUGCUUGUUCUUUGUUUAGAAUUAUGUAUUCUACUAUUAACUUCUUCUUUCUCAGUACGUUUAGGUAUAUCUGACAUCUCCAUAACCGGAGAAUAUCUACUAUUAACUUCUUCUUACUGGAUUCAGUCGUUGUAAGAGGUGGAGAAGCAACCGGGGGUACCACCGAUGGAGCAGUAGGCAGAGGAGGUGGUUCAGCCUGAUUUCUUUCUUGCCUCAUUUCAGUAUACCACUGAUUCAUAAUCCCAUAAAUCAUAUUCUUUAACUCUUGCUCCCGUAUUUGGGAGAUCAGAACACCACUGCUUGUUCUUUGUUCAGAAUUAUGUAUUCUACUAUUAACUUCUUCUUGCUCAGUACGUUCAGGUAUAUCUGACAUCUCUAUAACCGGAGAAUAUCUAUAAAAAUAACAAAGAUUAGAUCGCAUCAUACGCAUUACACUAUCACAGAUUUAUAUGGCAUGUAUUUCUAAACACUUUACACUUUACACAUAUUCCGAGAACCGGCUAAACCUGGAUCUGAUACCAAUAAAAUGUAACACCCUUUACCUGAGACCGUUUCCAGAGUCGAGCAUGAGGCGUUACUUGACUUAACUUAAAAGUUCAGGGCAUAAAAAAUUACUUUCAAAAUUAAUUUCACCAUUCACAAUAAAGCUGUCCACCCACGCAGCAAUCUCUAAAUUAAUUAUAACUCAAGAUGCGAAACUCGAAAUUUAGAUCUGUAUAUUUUACCUAAAACUAGACUCAUAUAUCUAUUCACUACAAAAUUUUCAGACUUUUUGGUUUGGCAAAUUAGUACAGUUUAUUAAUUGAAGUCUCCCCUGUUUCACUAAUAGACUAUCCUGACCUCUCGUCACUAAAAUUCAAUUAUCUCAUUAUACAAACUUGACUUGGUGCUUUCAAUUAUUUUUACUUAAAAUAGACUCAUUAAGGAAUUUAAACAUAUAAUUUAUAACUCAUAAUUCAUUUUGUACAAUUUUUAAUGAAUUUCUAAAGUCAAAAUAGGGGACUUCAAAAUCAUUCUGACUCUGUCUCACUAAAAUUCAAAUAUCUAAAAGUAUAUAACUCUUUUGCUUACUCUAUUGCUUUAAUGUGAAAGUAGGCUCAUUCAGCUUUAAUUUCAUCUCUCACUCAACUUAUAAUUCUAAGUCCACAUUUUUGGUGAUUUUUCAAAGUUACAUCAAUACUGCUGUCCAAAAACUGUUCCAUUGAAAUUUUUUUAAAAAAUUUCAAUAUAACCCUUUUAUAAUUAUCUAACCUUCCCUGCAAAUUUUAAAUCACAACCAAUUUCAGUAUUUCAACCACUUCACUUAAAUACUAAUGAAGUUCAACCAAUCAACCAUUUCAAACUAAAAACAUGCAUAGUUCAAUGUCUAACACAACCAUCACAUUCAAAUUUACUUUGCAUAUUUAGAUAUUCAUUCUUUUACUUUUUACUUCAAUUCCCUAUACAUGUCAUAUAAAUCCAAAAAGUUGUUUAACAAAAUCUACCGGAGUAAAUCUUGAUAGUGUGAUUCUUGGUGUAGAUCCGAUCCUCUGAAUGUAUAAAUACGUCAAUCUACAAGAAUCAAUAAACGCACAAGUAGGCUUAAUAAACACACAAGUAAGCUUAUAGAAAGCUUAGUAAGUUCAUAGGCACCAAACAUAAAACUUACCAAACAUUUAUACACUUAUACAUUAUACACCAUUACUAAGUUUACCUGUCAACCACAUUCUUUGGUGAGUUCCUUGGUAUAAACUCACUAAUACUUAUUCUUUUACCAUAAUUCCUUUGGGCCCAUUUGUCACUUACCAUCCUUGAUCAAAAUUAAGGAACGGUUACGGAAAAUUGAGUACUUCACUUUCACUUUGCCAUAGUAUAAAUAUGGUCUUACGUAUGAUCACUUAUCACUUGUCCUUGAUCAGGUUAGUGUAGCUAGGCUACCACUUAUCACUUGUUCCUGAUCAGAUAAGUGUAGCUAAGCUAUCACUUGUCACUUUGUCACUUGAUCAAAAGUACUCAAAUCCGGUGUUCCGCUCAAUUUGAUCACUUAUUCAGUUUGCGCAUUUUUAUUUUAUUCUCAUUUCAUCAAUAAAUAUAUAUAUAUAUUUCACCAUACAUUAUAUAAUUCAUGAAAUUAACAUUUAAUCAUUAAAUUUCAUCCAUAUGAACUUACCUAGGUCGAUUUUCUGAAUUUGUAAAAGUUCAAGGACUAAUCAGCUACUUUUUCUUUUCCUCGACUUGUUUCGGGUUCUCGAUAUGAUUCAAAUAUAUGAAAAACUAGCUUGGAGGGACUCUUCAAUGGCGUUUUUUGCUGAGAAAUAUGAUGAAUUGCCUAGAAACUCUUUUAGUUAAGAUUUUUAUUUGUUAACUUUUACAAAAUUUCUAAUUUUGCCCUUAUUACAUCACUUUUUCAGAUUUUUCUUCUCUUAUGCCGUCUCAACUAUUCCAUAUUAGCAUAUUUAUGCCUUAAGUCCCUCCUUAUUUACCACUUAAGCUGUUUAAUCACUUUUAACAAAUUUUACAUUAUUUUCAGUUUAGUCAUUUUUAAUUAAUUAACCACCAAAACGUUAGAAUUUUCUAACGAAACUUUAAUACCAACUCAAUGACACUCUAUAAAUGUUUCUAAAAAUAUUUAUGGCUCGAUUGAUGAGUUUGAGGUUUCGAUACCUCAUUUUCGACUCUAAUUAUUUUAAUAUUUAUUCUUAGUACACUAUUCACUAUUUCAAAAAUUUUCCUAACUUCGCAUUUAACUUAUACUCACUAAAUUAAUAAUAUUUUCUACUCAUUUGUCAAAUUUAAUGAUCUCGAAUUACCAUUCCGACACCACUGAAAAUUCAGGCCAUUACAACUCUCCCCCCAUUUUGGAAAUUUCGUCCCCGAAAUUUCGUACCUGAAAAUAAAUUCGAAUACUGAAAUCUCAUCAAUUCCUCUGUUUCCCAGGUUGCCUCCUCAGAUCCAUGUCGAUUCCAUAACACCUUAACUAGUGGUACAUGUUUAUUCCUCAACUCUUUAACAUCCCAAGCUAAAAUUUUCACCGGUUCCUCUGAAUAAGUCAUGUCAGGUUGAAGCUCUAUUUCCGUAUGAGGAAUUACAUGUGAUGGAUCUGAUUUGUACCGUCUCAACAUAGACACAUGAAACACAUUAUGAAUCUUUGCAAGUUCCGGGGGCAAAGCUAAUCUAUAGGUUACCAGACCGAUUCUUUCAAUGAUUUCAUACGGCCCGAUAAAUCGUGGGCUGAGUUUUCCCUUUUUGCUGAACCGCAAAACUUUCUUCCACGGUGACAGUUUCAAAAAUACACGAUCACCCACAUUAAACUCUCUAUCCCUUCUCUUCAAAUCUGCAUAUGAUUUUUGCUGAUCGGAGGCAGCUUUUAAGCAAUCUCGAAUAAUACGAACUUUUUCUUCAGUUUCCUGAGUCAAUUCCACUUCCACCAGUUUCAAUUCACUUAAUUUAGACCAAUAUAAUGAAGUUCUACACUUUCUUCCAUACAAAGCUUCAAACGGUGCCAUUUUAAUGCUAGUUUGAUAACUAUUAUUAUAAGCAAAUUCGGCUAAAGGUAAAUACCUUUCCCAGCUACCGCCGAACUCAAGUAUACAACACCUUAACAUAUCUUCUAAAAUCUGAAUCACUCGCUCUGACUGCCCAUCUGUCUGGGGAUGAAAAGCUGUGUUGAAAUUUAAUUUGGUGCCUAAAGCUUCCUGUAAUUUACUCUAAAAUCUCGAGGUAAAUCUCGGAUCUCGAUCUGAAAUAAUAGAUGUCGGUACCCCAUGUAACCUCACUAUCUCAGACACAUAUAACUCCGCUAACUUUUCAAGCUGAUAAUCUGCUCUGACUGGAAUAAAAUGUGCUGAUUUAGUUAACCGAUCAACAAUCACCCAUAUCGAAUCUUUCUUCUUCGAAGUUACUGGUAAUCCGGAUACAAAAUCCAUCGCAACAUGUUCCUAUUUCCACUCUGGAAUCAUAAUGGGCUGUAACAACCCUGUCGGCACUUGAUGCUCAGCUUUCACCUGUUGGCAGAUCAAACAUCUUGCUACAUACUCACAGAUUUCCCAUUUAAUUCCGGGCCACCAAUACAUUUUCUUCAAAUCACAAUACAUUUUUGUACUAACCCGGUGAAUAGAACACAUACUACUGUGAGCCUCUGAUAAAAUAUCAUUUUUCAAGUUUAAAUUAUUCGGAAUACAUAUUCUAUUACGAUAAUAUAACAUACCAUUUUCAUCAAUGGAGUAUUCUGAGCUUAACUUAUCUUGAACCAUCUGUCGUUUUAUCAUCAAUUUUGGGUCAUCAUCCUGUAACUCUUGAAUCCAUUGAAAGAACACGGGUUUAGCCUUUAAUUCUGCUAGUACAGAACCAUCCUCAUUAAUAGAUAAAUGAGCAUUCAAUGCCCGUAGUGCAAAUAAUGAUGAUUUCUGACUAAGUGCAUCUGCUGCGGCAUUUGCUUUCCCUGGGUGAUAGUCAAUGACAAGAUAAUAAUCUUUCUGCAACUCUAACCAUCGUCUCUAUCUCAAAUUUAACUCUUUCUGAGUCAUUAAAUACUUUAAGCUUUUAUGAUCAGUAUACACGUAACAUUUCUCACCAUAUAAGUAGUGUCUCCUUAUCUUCAAAGCAAACACGAUCGCUGCCAAUUCAAAAUCAUGUGUAGGAUAAUUCUUGUCGUGCGGUUUCAGUUGCCGAGAAGCAUAUGCCACCACUUUGCCUGACUGAAUAAGUACACAGCCCAACCCAUUUACAGAUGCAUCACUAUAUACUACAAAUGGUACACCCGAUUCUGGUUGAGUCAACAUUGGAGCCUCUGUCAACAUCUUUUUCAACUGAUCAAAACUCCGCUGACAUUUAUCUGACCAUAUAAAUUCAACAUUCUUUUGUAGAAAUCGAGUCAACUGUAAGGUAAUCAUUGAGAAAUCUUUGAUAAAUCGACAAUAAUAACAUGCCAAUCGUAGAAAACUCCACACUUCAAUAACAUUCUUCGGAACUUUCCAAUUUACCAUUGCCGCUACCUUACUUGGAUCGACUCUUAUUCCAUCAGCUGAUACAAUAUGACCCAAAAAUGCAACUUCAUGGAGCCAAAAUUCUCAUUUGCUAAAUUUGGCAUACAAUUGUUUCUCUCACAAAGUCUGUAAUACAAUCCUUAGAUGUUGUGCAUGUUCGGACUCUGUCUUUGAAUAAAUCAAUAUAUCGUCAAUGAACAACCACAAAUCUAUCCAAUUAUGACUGAAAAAUUCUAUUCAUCAAAUCCAUAAAAGCAGCAAGGGCAUUGGUUAAACCAAAUGGCAUCACCAAAAAUUCAUAAUGACCAUAUCGAGUUUGGAAGGCAGUUUUCGGCACAUCACACUCUUUAACUUUCAACUGAUAAUACCCAGAUUGAAGAUCUAUCUUGGAAAAUAUUGCAGCACCUUUCAACUGAUCAAAUAAAUCAUCAAUAUGAGGCAAAGGAUAUUUAUUCUUUACUGUUACCUUAUUCAACUGCCUGUAAUCUAUACACAGUCUUAGAGAACCGUCCUUUUUUUUCACAAACAAGACAGGUGCACCCCAGGGCGACAUACUCAGUCUGAUGAACCAUUUCUCUAAUAACUCCUGUAACUGCGCCUUCAACUCUUUUAACUCGGCUGGAGCCAUUCUGUACGGUGUCAUUGAGAUAGGAGUUGUUCCGGCGAUCACAUCAAUUACAAAUUCAACUUCUUUAUCAGGUGGUAGACCGGGUAACUCUUCAGGGAACACAUUAGGGAAUUCAUUCACUACUGGCACUUGUUUGAGCUUCAAACCAGAACCCUGAGUAUCCAUGAUAUAGGCCAAGAAUGCUUCGUUGCCUUUGCGUAAUAACCUCUGAGCAGGGAGAGCUGAAAUAAUUCUGACUGUAUCACCCAUAUUUUCAGACCCAACUGAGAUUAUAUCUCCCGUUUGACAUUUCAAAUUGAUCUGUUUAUCACGACAAUUCACUACCGCAUCAUGUCUCACUAACCAGACCAUCCCAAGAAUAAUGUCAAAUUCUCGAAAAGGUAACAACAUCAAAUCAGCGGGGAAUUCAUAGCCUUUCACUUUUAAUGGACAAUUACGACAUAUCAAAUUAACCAUCACACUUUGACCUAAUGGGUUUGUGACUUGUAUAUCAAAUUCAAUGGACUUAACAAAUAAUUUCUUUUCAGAUGCUAACAUAGUGCAAAUAUAUGAAUGAGUAGAUCUAGGGUCUAUCAAUGCAUAAACAAUAACAUCAUAAAGAUAGAAAGUACCAACAAUUACAUCAGGAGCCGUAGCCUCUUCCCUUGCUCGAAUGGCGUAGGUACGUGCUGGUGCUCUAUUCUUUGAUCGACCAACUGAUUCCCUCGUACCCGAACGGGUAGUCCCUGUAGCACUGCUCUGGCCCGAAUGUCUACUUCUUUGGGGAAUGGUUCUCUGUAUCUCUUUCUGUUCCACUUCAUCUUUUUACAGUCGGGGACAAUCUCGAAUAAGAUGAUUAGUAGCCCUACAUUUUUAACAAGCCCCCAUCUUGGUCCUGCAUUCUCCGAAAUGAUAUCUUCCACAAUAUUGACACUUAGGCCGGGGAGCAUUCUGAACACCGCUCACACUUGCUGCAGGUCUAUCGAAUACCCUGAAAUCAGAUUGUCUUGGUCUAUCUCUACCCGAUCUUCCCAACAUUAAUGUAGUUCGACUAAUUUCUUCUCUAGAUUUCUUCACUGGCAAAUCUAAAAAUGACUUAGAAGCACCUCUUUUGAAUGGCUCUUUACUUUUUCGAUCCCGCUGCAUUUUUCUGUUGUAUACUUCUUCGAGCUUUUGAGCACGGUCUGACAGAACAACGAACUCUCGUAUUUCAUUACCCCCAAUCAUCAUUCUAAUUUCAUCAUUUAACCCUUCUUCAAACCUGAUACACAUUUCUUCUUUAGUAGGUACAAUGUCUCGGGCAUAUUUGCUGAGGUAAACAAAUUCUCUUUCGUAUUCAGCCACUGAUUUAUUUCCCUGGCGUAGGUCGAGAAAUUCCCUUUUAUUUUUAUCCAAAUACCGUCUGCCCACAUAUUUCUUCUUAAAUUCAUUUUGGAAAAAUUCCCAAUAAAUUUUCUCUGCUGGAACCACAGCCUCAAUCGUCUCCCACCAACUAUAAGCUUCUUCUUUCAAUAGGGACACAGCACAUCUCAAAUAAUCAUCUGGUGAGCAAACCAUUUCUUUAAAAAUUCUUAUCAAACUUUGUAACCAAUAUUCAGCUUUGACGGGAUCUUCAUUAGUCCUUCCUGAAAUUCUUCGGCUCCAAGUUUUUUAAGCUUUUCCAAUAGAGAACGCUUACUAGAUUCAGUCGUUGUAGGAGGUGGAGGAGUAACCGGGGGUACCAUCGAUGGAGCAGUAGGGGGAGGAGGUGGUUCAGCAUGAUUUCUUUCUUGCCUCAUUUCAAUAUACCACUGAUUCAUAAUCUCAUAAAUCAUAUUCUUUAAUUCUUGCUCUCGCAUUUGGGAGAUCGGAACAUCACUGCUUGUUCUUUGUUCAGAAUUAUGUAUUCUACUAUUAACUUAUUCUUACUUAGUUCGUUCAGGUAUAUCUGACAUCUUUAUAACUGGAGAAUAUCUAUAAAAAUAACAAAGAUUAGAUCGGAUCAUACGCAUCACACUAUCACAGAUUUAUAUGGCAUGUAUUUCUAAACACUUUACACUUCACACAUAUUCCGAGAACCGGCUAAACCGGGAUCUGAUACCAAUAAAAUAUAACACCCUUUACCCAAGACCGUUGCCCGAGUCGAGCAUGAGGCGUUACUUGACUUAACUUAAAAGUUCAGGGCAUAAAAAUUUACUUUCAAAAUUAAUUUCACCAUUCACAAUAAAGCUGUCCACCUGCGCAGGAGUCACUAAAUCAAUUAUAACUCAAGCUACGAAACUCAAAAUUUAGAUCCGUAAAUUUUCCCUAAAACUAGACUCAUAUAAAUAUUCACCAUAAAUUUUUAAGAAUUUUUAGUUUAUCCAAUUAGUAUAGUUUAUUAGUUUAAGUCUCCCUUGUUUCACUAAUAGACUACCCUGACCUCUCGUCACUAAAAUUCAAUUAUCUCCUUAUACAGACUUGACAUGGUGCUUCCAAUUAUUUUUACUUAAAAUAUACUCAUUAAGGAAUUUAAAAAUAUAAUUUAUAACUCAUAAUUACUUUUUUACAAUUUUUAUUGAAUUUCUAAAUUCAGAACAGGGGACUUCAAAAUCAUUCUGACCCUGUCUCACUAAAAUUCAAAUAUCUAAAAGUAUAUAACUCUUUUGCUUACUCUAUUGCUUUCAUGUGAAAGUAUACUCAUUCAGAUUUAAUUUCAUAUCUCACUUAACUUAUAAUUCUAUUUCCACUAUUUUUGGUGAUUUUUCACAGUUACAUCAAUGCUGCUGUCCAAAAACUGUUCCAUUGAAAUUUUUAAAAAAAAUUCAAUAUAACCCCUUUAUAAUUAUCUAACCUUCCCUGCAAAUUUCAAAUCACAACCAAUUUCAGUAUUUCACCUACUUCACUUAAAUACUAAUGAAGUUCAACCAAUCAACCAUUUCAAACUAAAAACAUGUAUAGUUCAAUGUCUAACACAACCAUCAUAUUCAAAUUUACUUUGCAUACUUAGUCAUUCAUUCUAUUACUUUUUACUUCAAUUCCCUAUACAUGCCAUAUAAAUCCAAAAAGUUGUUUAACAAAAUCUACCAGAGUAAAUCUAGAUAGUGUGAUUCUUGGUGUAGAUCCGAUCCUCCGAAUGUAUAAAUACGUCAAUCUACAAGAAUCAAUAAACACAUAAUUAAGCUUAUAGAAAGCUUAGUAAGUUCAUAGGCACCAAACAUAAAUCUUACCAAACAUUUAUACACUUAUACAUUAUACACCAUUACUAAGUUUACCUGUCAACCACAAUCUUUGGUGAGUUCCUUGUUAUAAACUCACUACUACUUAUUCUUUUACCAUAAUUCCUUUGGGCCCAUUUGUCACUUACCAUCCUUGAUCAAAAUUAAGGAACGGUUACGGAAAAUUGAGUACUUCACUUUCACUUUGCCAUAGUAUAACUAUGGUCUUACAUAUGAUCACUUAUCACUUGUCCUUGAUAAGAUAAGUGUAGCUAGGCUACCACUUAUCACUUUGUCACUUGAUCAGAUAAUUGUAGCUAAAGCUACCACUUAUCACUUUAUCACCACUUAUCACUUGUUCCUGAUCAGAUAAGUGUAGCUAAAACUACCACUUAUCACUUUGUCACCACUUAUCACUUGUUCCUGAUCAGAUAAGUGUAGCUAAAGCUACCACUUAUCACUUUGUCACUUGAUCAGAUAAGUGUAGCUAAGCUAUCACUUAUCACUUUGUCACUUGAUCAGAAGUACUCAAAUUCGGUGUUCCGCUCAAUUUGAUCAUUUAUUCAGUUUUCACAUUUUUAUUUUAUUCUCAUUUCAUCAAUAAAUAUAUAUAUUUCAGCAUACAUUAUAUAAUUCAUGAAAUUAACAUUUAAUCAUUAAAUUUCAGCCAUAUGAACUUACCUGGGUCGAUUUAUUGAAUUUGUAAAAGUUCAGGGACUAAUCAGCUACUUUUUCUUUUCCUCGACUUGUUUCGGGUUCUCAAUAUGAUUCAAAUAUAUGAAAAACCAGCUUGGAUGGACUCUUCAAUGGCGUUUUUUGCUGAGAAAUAUGAUGAAUUGCCUAGAAACUCUUUUAGUUAAGAUUUUUAUUUGUUAACUUUUACAAAAUUUCCAAUUUUGCCCUUAUUACAUCACUUUUUCAGAUUUUUCUUCUCUUAUGCCGUCUCAACUAUUCCAUAUUAGCAUAUUUAUGCCUUAAGUCCCUCCUUAUUUGCCACUUAAGCUGUUUAAUCACUUUUAACAAAUUUUACAUUAUUUUCAGUUUAGUCCUUUUUAAUUAAUUAACCACCCAAACGUUAGAAUUUUCUAACGAAACUUUAAUAUCAAUUCAAUGACACUCUAUAAAUGUUUCUAAAAAUAUUUAUGGCUCGAUUGAUGAGUUUGAGGUUUCGAUACCUCAUUUUUUAUUCUAAUUAUUUUAAUAUUUAUUCUUAGUAUACUAUUCACUAUUUUAAAAAUUUUCCUAACUUCGCAUUUAACUUAUACUCACUAAAUUAAUAAUAUUUUCUACUCAUUUGUCAGAUUUAGUGAUCUAGAAUUACCAUUCCGACACCACCGAAAAUUCAGGCCAUUACAUUAUGUUUAUUGACUCAUUUUUUCUGUUGACUGAAUUUCAGGUAACUCAUCGACUUAGGCGGGUCGGCAUGGCGAGAGCUCGGUCAUCCUUAUUUAGUAAUUUUCUGUUUAAAUUAAACUUAUGCUAUAGUUGUUUUAUCUUGAAUUACAGAUUGCAAAUUUAUAUUUCUACACUAGUUCAACUAUUUAAACAUUUUCUGACAAUUAAACUUUAAUUAGUUAAAAGUGAGAAUUUCUUAAAUGAUUUGUUGUAGCUUUCCAAGCUUGGUCCUAACAUCUAGGUCGGGUUUGGGGUGUUACAACCCAAAACCCCCAAACUUUCCCCUCAAAACUUUUACUCCCCCACCCUUUCUCUUUCUCGCUCACCCUCCCAAACCCUUUUACUUUUCCCCCAAAACUUUUACUUCCCACUUUUACCCCCAAAUCAAAAAUCAAAAUCCUCCCAAAAAAAUCCUUAAACCUAAAUAGUAAUAAUUUUAUUUAUGGCCACUAUUUAUAUUAUAAAUUAAAUUUCACAUUUUCUAUUAUUUAUAUUAUUAAAUUGUUUAAUCAUUUUGAAUCUUUAUCAAUUUCUGUUAAAACUGUAUCAUUGAUGAUGUCAUACAUUAUUUGUGUUAAAAAUUUCUAUUGGUAUCAAUUUCACAUUUUAUCUUUAAAAUAAAUUUUAUUAAAAAAAUUACUUUUUUACAUUUAAUAUAUUUUUUAAUUUCAAAAUAUAUGGUGACAAGAAUUAGAAGAUAAUUGAAGCAACUAAGCAAGUAAAAAAGCUAACAUGUAUAUAAAAGAUUAAAUAAAUUAUGAAGGGAUGAAAGUUAAUAACACAUUUGAUUACGGUGGACAAAUUUGAUAAUGAUGGGUGACAGUGGCUACAAGGAUCCAAAGUAAUUUUUUCAAUUAACUGGAAACAAAUAUAUUCGAUUCGAUUCGAUAAAAUUUGAAAUCAUUUUAGGAUGAUAAAAUAAGAUUCGUCAACUCGAUUAACUCGAAGUUUUUUCAUUUGAUUCGAUUAGACGCUCACCCCUACAAAGUAUGACCGAUUGGUCUGAUUCUGAAAAAAAUUGGUUUUGAUCAAUGAAAGAACUUUUACGAUGGCGACAGGUCUAACAAACAGGUGAUAUUUUGAAAAGAAAAUUAAUCUCCAUAGUCUCAACCUUAGGAGGGUGAAUUUUGAGCAUUGCAUUUGUUGUCAUUGUUAGACAUUAUAAAGGAAGAAAAAAGAAAGAAAAAAGUUAAAAUGAGGGAAAUUAUUGAAAAAAAGAGAGAAGAGAAUAAUUAAUUUUUUUUAAAAUUUUACAUGUCAAUCUAUUAUUGAUUAGAUUUUUUUAAUGAGUGUAACAUUUUGGUGUUAAAUGGAUAAUAAAAAAAUAUUUUAAGUAUCAUUUAUGAUAAAAAUAUUUAGGUAUCAAUUUGAAAAAAAUAUGUAGCUUAGAUACUAAUUGAUGGGUUAAUUUUUUUAGCUUAAUAAUUUGAUUAAACCGAAAUACCAACUGAAAAAAAGUUUACUCGCCGCUUAUGAAAAAAAAUAAGUAUGAAUUUGUAAGUUAAAUCUCCCUAAAAGAAAAAAUAUAUCACAUUCAAUACGGGGUGAAUGAAGCAAUGAAUGCAAUGGGGUAUUACAACCAGCCACAUGUCAUUCAAUUCAUGUUAUAUCUACCUUGUUGGCCCCACAGGCGGUCUUUUCCAUUAUUUUCGAAGUGAACGACAUGAGUCGGACCUAUAUCGGCCCCAACAAACAACCUCAACCACUUGUUUUGUUAGGUUGUUGACUAAUUUGAAUAUGUCGGCUCAAAGCUUUUUGAAAAUUAAAUUAUUUUUUAUAUUAAUAUCAUAUAGGUAUAAAAAUUUAACGUUUUGUAAAAAAAAUAAAUUUAGUGUUAAAUUUAAAUAAUUAUAAAAAAUUAUACAAAAUACAAAGACAACUUAGAGUCAAUAAAAAAAAUAUGGAAAAUCAAUUCAUACAUGAAAUGGCAUAAAAAUAUUAUGAACACUAUACAAAUAUAUGAAUGUUUUUAUAUCUAUAUAAAAUAAGUUAUUAACGCUUAAAUUUCAACCAAUUAAAUAUUAAUUUAACUAUAAACUAUAAAAAAUUAAAAUUUCAUUUACCCUAAACAAUUAUUCUAAUUUCGCCCCUGUAUAAAAUAGUUGUAAUAUUAAAAAAAAAGUUAUACGAAUAUGGAGUGUUAAAAAAAAAGGCUUUCAACUUUUAAUAUUCCAAACAAAUAAAAGAAAUAAUAAUAACAGUUUACAAGUGCAAUAAAAGUAAUACAUAUUUGAUGAAUUAAAAAUAGAAUAAAUAUAACUAACUAUAACAGAAAUAUAUUUAGAUUUAAACCAAAUUUUUUUGAAGAUGAAAUUUGAACUCACAAAUAAUAUUUAUAAAUGAUGAUAUGUUUUAGAACAUGUAUAUUUUAAUUUCAUUUGAUAUUUAAAUUAAAUGAAUGAAAUGAGUAUAUUAGCAUAAAUAUAUUGAAUUUCUAGAUUUAUUAAAAAUCCAACUAAAUAGAGUAGAUCCAUAAAUUUAAAAAAUGAUUAUGGAUUUUGAAAUAUAAAUCUAAAAUUUAAAAUCUGAAACCCUCCUAAAUGUUUUCCAAAGUAAGGCGGGGAUAAAUGGUAUAGGGAAGACGGUGGGUAGAUAGAUGUACGGUUUAUUUAUAACUUCGUUUUUAUUAGUCGGCUUACAGUUUCAUAAAAAGCAUCCGUGCAAGGCAUGUUCAAAUGCUGCACUAGCAUACCACUACUAUAAAAAAAACACAUACAAGAGCACCACAAAUUUAUCCCAAAAUACAUUAAAUAAAUGACUCCUAAGGGUGCCAGAUUUAACUAGUGUGUCUGGGAUUGUAUUAGCCUCUCUGAGGCCAUGUGAAAAAAUUUAAUGUUAUUGUUAUAUUUCCAUCUCGAUACGUUGCAAGACAUGAAGCAAUCUGUAAACAACUCUCUUUUGGAAGCAGUUUGCAUACGACUCUUCGCUAAGAACCAUUUGUUGUGAUCUUUCGCUUAGGAUUGCUCACAAAUGACCCCCAUGCACCCUAUCUCUCUCCCUCCUUAACUCAUCAUCUUGAACUCUCAUCCUAUUAUAGGUGAAUCGAGACUCUUCUCCUCCACCCUUUCCUCGUUGGUUACUUGUAGCAAAAAAAAUUAAUUUCACCGAAAAUGUUGGAGAGAUCCCAUGGUCUAAGUGUGUUGUUAGAGCAAAGCUCGAUGGCAAAUUUGGAGUCAAAUUUUAGAAUCAACCCUUUAAAAUCCAUUACACCGUAAAGGAAAAUUUUUACAAUUACAUUAACAAUAAAUAUUCAAAAUUUACUCAUCUAUCUAUACUUAUAUUAAGCCUUAUUUGAGUUGGAGUCAAGAGUCAACUAGGUACUAACUCAGUUGAGAAUUUACUAAAUAAUUUUAAUAUAAAGUAAAAAAAAUAUUAAUACGAGGGUGUUUUUAUCUUUUCAUAUUUUUAAAUAAAAAUACUAUAAUAAGAUUUAAACUUAAGUUUAAAAUUUCAAUCAAAACAUCACUUAAAUUUAAAAUAACAUUUUUAUAUAAAAUGUGUUUAGAUUCUAAGAUAAUGAAAUUUAUGAUGAGGUAUUCAAAAUGUGUUUGAAUAUGCUAAUGAGAUAUUCAAAUUGGUAUGCACAUUCCUAAUCAGGGAGCAUUAAUGAUAAUUUAGUAAAAUAAAUUAUCUCAUUAGCAUAUAGUUUAUUAUAAAAUUAUUGUGUAAAAUAAACAAUUCACAAACUUAAGAAUUUAUAACACAAAAAUUAUACAUCAAUGUUGUUAGAAUUGUAUUAUAUCCAUCGGUUGAAUUUAAAUUUAAAAAUUUAAUCAGCGAUAAUAAUUAAAAUCGUUUCAAACUAGUAAAAUAUUGAAAAUUAAGAACUAAUAAAAUAGAUUCUAAUUAUUUUUAUUUAAAAAAUGUUACCUUCUUAUUCAGGUUACAUUAAGACAAACCCAUCUUAAUUAUAAGUAUCAUAUUGUGAAUGGUAAACUUCUUACACAACAUCCACCAUUUGUCCAAAUAUGUUAAAUUAGGUGCAACAUAGAAAUUUUAUUGUAAGGAGUGAAUCUCAUUGUUUUUAUUUUCAUCAAACAUACGUCUAACUUUAUUAUUACGGGAUUAGAACUUAAAUUUGAUAAAUUGUGUGGUUUUAGGUGAUUUCUUUUCGUUAAAUUUAUCUAAAUCAACCUAACACUCGAAAAGUGAGAAUUCUCCUAAAAAUUCUUUAUGUUAGCAAAAAAUAUAGUGGAAGUAACUUGAAACGAAAGAGCAAUGAGAGAAUUGAAAAGACACAAGAAAAUAAUGCAUACAAGGUGUUUGAGUAAAUGCUCUCAAUAAAUUCUUUAACUCAAGAAGGAAUGAAGUACAACCAGUAUCUAGCCCCCCUAAAAUAGAAAAUUUUCCAUUUAUAUACCUUUAUAAUUUAUAAAAUUUAAAAUUUUACUUUCCCAUAAAAUGAUAAAAAAUUGAUUUAUUUCUUUAAAAAUUAUAAAGAUGACUAUUAAAAUAGUAAAAUUGUAUUUUUAUUAUUGUAAAAAUAUACAAUUUAAUUCUGUCUCCCAAAUUUUUUUUUUUUGGUUUCAUCCCUAAGUACAAUGAUCGUUGUAGCAGGAUACAUAGGCAUUCUAGCACAGAAUGCAAAUAUGUUGCCAAUUAACUUCGAGUCAUGGCAUAAAGUGCCCGAGAGUAACAAGAACCAAGCUCUCGAUAACAUUAAGGUAACAAAAUGUGUAUAUCAUUUAUAAUACUUGAGUUUAAGUUUCGUUUACAUUUACUUUCUGAAGUUGUGUUUUUUGUAGGGGAGAUUUGCUCUAGAGGUCUCCGAUGCUUAUGUAAAGAAGGCAUUGGGAAAAAGAUGGAGAGACCAUAAGAGCACUUUAAAGAAAGACUAUUUUAAGACAAAAACAACACUCGACGAGAGAUUACAAAAUGUCACGCCGGGAAUGCUGAGGUACCAGUGGGAAGAAGUCGUUAGAUUUUGGACUUCGAAGAAAGGAGAGGUAUGUGUUACUACAAAAAUCUUGUAAUUAUUUUGGUUUAUAGUAUUUACUAAUUAACGUACUAAUAAUUUCAUAACGUAGGAUCGUGAACGAGUUGGAACAAGUAGUAGGCAGAAACAAAAAUUCACGCACACAGCUGGGUCGAGAAGUUUUGCGUGUGUAGCUCAGGCCGAGGUAUUUUGAAUUUUUUAAUACUGGCAGAUAUUUAUUACUUUCUAUCAAAUAAUAUUUUUACUAUUGUAUUGUAGGAAGUGUUGUCGGGUCAAAAAGUUGGACGCCUUCAACUUUUUGACAUUACACAUAGGAAGAAAGAUGGAAACCCUAUGACUCCUGAAGCUGCAGAAAUUAUGGUACGUUUGCUUAAUACAAUUUGACUUGUUUUAAUUAUUUAUGCUGUUUAUUUUCUAAUGUUUUUUAUUACAUUUCUUGUAAUGCAAAUAUUGUUAAGUUAUGUUGCAUUUGUUUUGUUAAUAUAUGUUGCGUUCUUAACUAUGUGAUUUAUUUUUUAGGAAAAACUGAAGGAUAAAAAGGCGGAGUACGAAGCGAUUGCUUCCAGUGAUAGUUCUGUUCAUAUUGACGACAUUGAUAACCGGAUUAUCACUGAAGUUUUGGGUCCUGAAAGGUAUGGUCGGGUUCGAUUUCAAGGAUCUUUUGUUAACCCAUCCCAAUAUUUUGGAUCCAGCUCGCAACAAUACAUGCAUUCGGGGAGUCAGGCUCAAGCUGAAGUUCAGAGGUUAAGAGACCAGAUAGCUCAGAUGCAAGCGGCAACGAGUGAGCAAAUUACACAACUUAAAGCGGAGGCAACAUCGAGAGAAGCUGAGGUUCAAAAAAGAUAUGAAGAACUCCAGCUACAACUUAAAGCAGAUGCGGCAGCGAGAGAAGCAGAGGUAGCAGCGAGAGAAGCUGAGGUUCAACGAAAGUAUGAGCAACUGCAGCAGCAGCUUAAAGAAGAUGCGGCAACGAGAGAAGCAGCGGCUGCAGCGAGGGAAGUAGAGGCUGCAGUGAGGGAAUCAGAACAGCAUAAAAAGUUCGAUGAACUCCAGCAGCAGCUUCAGAAUAUGAUGAAGAUGUUUCAGCAGUCGCAACCGCCGUCAUCUUAGACUAUCGUUUAAAUAUACUUCAAUUUUGACUUUGGUAUUAUUAUUUUAACUUUUACAAUUUCUGUCAGAAUAAUACGAAUUUUAUUUUAUUUAUUGACAUUUAUUUUAAAUAUUAUAUAGAUUUGGUUAGAUUUGGUUGGUUGGAUUUGGUUUCUUCUGAUUUGUUUUUAUAGGAGGGGGCUGAAAUUUUUUUUUUCAAAUCUGCAAAAAUUAGCGGCGUUUUUUUGGAUAAGCGCCGCUAAAGACCAUCGUCUAUAGUGGAAUUUUUUGGCUAAGCGCCGCUAAAGACCAUGGUCUAUAGUGGCAUUUUUCGGCUAAGCACCGCUAAAGACCAUGGUCUAUAGUGGCGUUUUUUGUCUAAGCGCCGCUAAAGACCAUGGUGUAUAGUGGCAUUUUAUGGCUAAGCGCCGCUAAAGACCAUGGUGUAUAGUGGCGUUUUUUGGCUAAGCGCCGCUAAAGACCAUGGUCUAUAGUGGCGUUUUUUGUCUAAGCCCCGCUGAAAACCAUGGUCUAUAGUGGCGUUUUUUGGCUAAGCGUCGCUAAAGACCAUGGUCUAUAGUGGCGUUUUGUGGCUAAGCGCCGCUAAAGACCAUGAUCUAUAGUGGCAUUUUUCGGCUAAGCGCCGCUAAAGACCAUGGUCUAUAGUGGUGUUUUUUAGGCUAAGCGCCGCUAAAGACCAUGGUCUAUAGCGGCGUUGCAAAGAAAACGCCGCUAAAGACCAUGGUCUAUAGUGGCGUUUUUUAGGCUAAGCGCCGCUAAAGACCAUGGUCUAUAGCGGCGUUGCAAAGAAAAUGCUGCGAAAGGUCUUGAUCUUUAGCGGUGUUUAUUAUAAAAAGCGCCGCUAAAGUUACCGACGCUGUCAUUAGCGGCGAUCCUUGCGGCGCUUCGUAAAGCGCCGCUAAAAGUAUUUGCGGCGCUAAAAAAUGCCGCUAUAGACCUAAAAAAGCGCCGCUAAAACCCUGUUUUGGUGUAGUGUGAGAUGAUUACAAAUGAAGGGGGAGAUCUCUAUUUAUAGUUGAGCUCCCCUAGAUCCAAUAGUAUAGAUUGAAUUACAUCAACGAUUGAGAUUAGUACUUAUCUACAAGAUGAGUCUUAAGGAUUUUAAACUCUAUACAUCUUUAUCCCUUAGGAUUUACAUUAAUUACUCUGGUAACUCUAGUUUUACUGGAGAGUUUCACUGAACCACCAAAGGUUUAAGUAGAUGAGCUUCUCCAUAUGUUCCACGAGUUGGACAAGUUCAAGCGGAUCAAAUGAGCCCAAUUUAAUUAGUUAAUCUCAAUAAAACGUUCUAUGCACAAUGAUCAUGAACUUUGAUCCACAUCUCAAAAUGAUCAGAUGAAUAAUCUCUCUUAAUUAUAUUUUUAUAAAACUUGAUAUUUUCAUUUAAAAAGAAACACAAUCACAUAUAAUAAUGUCUCCAAAAGAGUCGUCCACUUCAAAGAUUUAAAGUAAUGUAAGAAUGAACCCAACAUUUUUCAAUUAAAAAUAUGUCGAUAGAUAUAGCAAGUUGUAUAACCUUUCAAUUACAAAACAGAUUUCAAUGGGGAUUGCAUCCGGUACAUGCAACUAAAGAACAGAACCGGUGCAUAAAUUGAUUUAAUUAAACUUUGGGUUGAGUAAUCAUGAUUUUCAUUAUUAUUAGACUACGUGAAUGUUGAUAUAAAAUGCUUGAGAGAAGGGUAUAGAAGAAACACAAAAUAAUGAGUGAUAUUAAUUUGUAGAUAAAGAUAAUAUUACAUAGUCGCAAAAAGCGACCUAGUACACAACGCACAACUCUAAAUUAGGAUAACUCCUCUGCUAUCCCUAUGGAUGGAUUUUAACAUCCAUAUUUAUUCUGUAGCUAUCGUUAUUUUGGCUUCCACUAGCUGGUGAACUUUCCAUGCCAAAACUUCACUUAACCCUGCAAAUGAAACAACAAAAAACACAACAUUAAAUGUUGAGCAAUUAAUAAGCAUAAGCAAUGAAACAACUCAUACGAACCUGCUGCAGUCAGUGCUAGGGCUGAUCUUGUAAGGGAUGUUGACACCGCACUUGCCUGGGAGUCCGCUUGCAAUACCAUAGUUGAUGCCAGGAAUGCCGGCGGCCGCACUUUUGAUGCAUUUGCAAGCUGCUUGCCGGUCUGGUGUUGUUUGGGCGGCGGAGUUGAGAGAUUUGAUGCCGCUGCAGCAACCUUGGGGAACGGCACCAGCACCAUUCCCUCUCAAGUAAUUAAUGCAGGGUGCGAGGGAGCCUGUGACUUGACCACAGGUUACGGUCCCUUGAGCCAGGGGUGCACCCACCACCAUGCACAACACCACCACACAUGCAAGCUUAAGGGACAUUGAGCUAGCCAUAUCGAUUAAUUACAAGAAAAACAAACUUGUAAGGAAAAUGCUUGCUUGGAGUAGUAGUAGUAUUGCUGAUUGUUGCGUGGUUAGGGCCCGAGGGUAGGAGGGUUUUUAUAGCCAAAAGUUUUGUGAAGGGAUAUGGAACGAACUGAGAAACACGUACGAAUAGAAUAUGGUUAGGCGUUGGUAGUUGUCCCAAUUCAAUGCCAAGGUUUCUUUUUUUCUUUUUCAUGUUUCAGCUUAUGGUUGAGUGUGUUUAAUGCUUUGAAAAAGGUUUGUAUCUACCACUUUCAUCUUCAUCACUAAUGCUGAAUUACUCCGUUGAUUAAUGCAUCAUAUUAGCCUUGUCCUAGUGUUACCGGUUUUCUGAUAUUAGUAGCUUUACCAAUAAAAGAUGCUAUCAAAUAUAGUUUUCAGGAUGAUAUUAAAAAUUAAGGUUUUUUAGUUACAAAUAAAAUUGUCACAUUAUCAAAUUUUAAAGAUAUGAAAUUAUUAUUAUAAACUCAUCUAUAGAGAAAUUAUUUUAUGAGCCCUUUCCACCACAUUAUUCACAGUCCAUUUUCAAUUAUUUAAUAAUAUUUCAACAAUAUUUUUCAUGUCAUUGACACAUAAUUUUAAUAAAUUUUUUACCCUGAACCUUGAGUCUAGAAUCCCAAACCCUAAAUAAAAAACUUAAAACCCCAAACUAUAACCCCAAACACUUGCAUCAUAAACUCGAACCGCGAACCUCAAACUCAUAAUCUGUAACCUUGAACCCAAACUUGUAAUCUCGAACCCUUGAACCCUUGAACCCUGAACCUAAACCUUGAACCCUGAACUCAAAGCCCAAAACCAAAACUGAACCCUGAACCUUAAAUCUCAAACCCAAACCUUAAACCUCGAGGUUUGGGUUCAAGGUUCAAGGUUCAGGGUUUGAGUUCAAGGUUCGAGGUUUAGGAUAAAAUAAUUACCAAAAUUUGUAACAGAAUAAAAGAGUUCGUUUAUAAUUUAAAAAGCAAUUAUUUUAAGUAAUUUAAUUAAAGUGAAAUUAAGUUAGAGAAAAUAUUAGAUAUAGAUGAGUGUAUAAUAAUACUUUAUUGUCUUUAAAAUUUAAUGACGUGGUACUAUUUUAUUGGUGCCUCAAACUAUACUUUUUAGAAUAAUCCUAAUACAAUUUAUUCCCAUAUUAAAUACGUAUGCUUUCUAUAUUUUUUCGAAAAAAUAAAUUUUAUUCAUAAACUUUCUAUAUAUAAAUAUAUGUUUUAUUUAAAAUUUAUAAAUACAGAAAAAUUAAAAUAUAAAUAUAUGUCAAAGUAGCUAUUAAGUGUAGAAUUAAACAAUUAUAACAUAUAAAUAGAUUAAAAAUUAGGACAAAAAAUCAAUCUAUUACAUAAAAUAUAAAUUAUGAAUGAAAACAAUCUAAAUUAUAGUCUGGCUAAUCAAACUAAAACUUACAUAUAACCAUAUGACUUUAAGGGUCUUGAAUAUGGUUACUUAAAAGCUUAUAGUUCAGCUUUUACCCACUACGUCAAGGCUUCAUUUACGUUUUUUUUAACCAUAUAUUUUUCAUAUAAUUAUAUAUAUAUAUUUUGCAUAAAAAAUCCCCAAGACGUUAAUUACUUCUAUAUAAUGUAGCGAUUAAGUCCUCAAACAAAAAUUGCUCAACAUCAAUGCAUGUAUAGAUCAAUUUUAUAUAUCAAAGACCAAUACUAUCUUUUUCUUAAAAAAAAAAAAAAACCAAUAUGUUGUGAUUGCUUAGCUAUUGUUCCUAAGUCUUCCUGAAAAAGGUUUCACAGCGAGAGGAGAAAAAAAAAAGUUGAACUUGUCUUGGUUUGCCCCAUAAUGAUUGAAGCAUAGACAAGAUUAUAAAUGUUAAUUUAGUAUACGACAUAAUAAUAUAAUAUAAUAUAUUUAAAUGUAUAUCUCCUCACCUCCUAGACGCUGUCAGUUAUUUUAUUUUUUGGGAUUCUUUUAACAAAAGGUUGAGCUUUUUAUUAGGUUUUAUUUGAUUUUUCAUUUAUUAAUAUAAUUUUUUUAUUUUUAUAUAUUUUAGUUAUUAUUAAUUUUUGUUGGAAAUUUGUACGGUCUUGUUCUAACAACAAUUACAACAAGCUUUUUGGAACAAUCAAAAGUUUUGGGUGUUGGCAUGUUUGACUUUUAAUGGCUUAUGUUUUAAUAUUAGUUAACAACAAAUGAUAAGAGAAUUUCAUGGUAAAUUAGAAUAUAAUUAUCAUCCAUUUGAUUAGUCUUGAAGAGGAAGGAGAGGAGUUUUAACUUUGGUGGACACCCAUCCUUAUCCUUGUCUUUUAGAGUGUUUGAAGCUAUUGGAGAACUUGGUUUUAAAGAUUUUAUUUGAUAAAUAUUCAAAAUAAUUAAUUUGAUAAUUUCAACUUUUAAAGGAGAGUUUAAAACUUAUCAAAAUAUUAUUUGAUAAACACUUGUAGAGGCGUAUAAAUAGGCAACAGUGUGGUGUAACUUUGUUUGUUGUUUUGGAGUGUCUUAAACUUUUAUUUUUUUGCUAUUCCAUUGGGUAACUUUAUGACACUCUCUUUUUAGGUAUUAUUUGGAGAUGUUUAGUAAUUGUAUUGUGAGGAAUUUGAGUGAGUGAUUGCAUUGAAGAAAUGCGACCUAAAUGUAUAUGUUAAACUCUUAUCUAGGACAUAAAUUCCAUGAACAAGGUACCCAUGUUAAUAACAUGUCACCACUUCGCAUCUUUAUGGUAUUGACCCUAUGUAGUUAGACCCUAUAUGACGUAAACAACACUUAUAGUGUGCACGAUAUCGUAGGCUUGAACGUUGAUUGAAUGCAACCUAUAUUUUGGUGCCUUUGUCGGAAAUGAUGUAUGCAUCGGGUUGCGGUACAAAUGCCUUCUCAGGUUAGUUAAGAAGAAAUCCCAUUCAUCAUUGGAUUCUUCAGGAGUUAUUACAAAAGCUAUUGGCAGGAUUUUUAGGUUACCAUCUUAUGCAACAACUACUAACAACCGAUGGUCGCAUAUUCUAUACAGGAAUGUGCCGUUAAUUUGGAAAAGUGGCUUACAGUACCAAAAUGUAGUUCUGCAUUGCUUAAAAGUCCAAAAGCAACGGUGGAAAACUCCUUUUCCAGGGACCAAGCAAUCGUCAUAAUACGCAGGCUCCAUUUUUAACUUGGUUACAGAACCUAGUAUGUACCACUCUAGUAUCUAACACCAUUGCCACAAUUUAUAGUAGGAUUUCUCCCACCCUCUAUUCAUUUUCUCCAAUGCCUUCUAUUUUUGCAACUAUGUCUUAUGCUAGGACAUGGUGUAAUCGGAUUCUCUACAGAUGUGUGCGAUCAAAAUUGGGACCAGAAUCGUAGGACUUGCUUUUGCCAUGGGUAAUAGAAUUUUAGAUAUCAUGUCUAAAUCUAAUUUUGGAUGAUCAUUCGAUAUGCUUGAAAAACAAGAAAUCAAGUCACUAUGUGUAAUAGAAUGUAAAAAAAGGCUAGGAUUCGAGUCGAUGUUGUUAGCCAUAUUACAUACCAGCUACAACACAUGUAUGUGGCACGAUAAAUUUCCUACGUUUAAAAUGCCAACUUCUUCGUCAUAAAUGCCAUGAUUUUCCAUAGACAUCUUGUUGCACGCAUUGUGCGCAUCGCCUUAUAUUUCUCGGAUUGAGAGCAUGUAAUAGUGAAGUUGACACCAAGUUGUAUGCUAUACUACUUGAUUGUAGCUACAAAAGCAUAUUUGGAGUCAAAUUCCAUCCCAACCUCUAAGUGGUCGAAAUUUGUUGAUGAAGUCGCAUACCUUAGUCUUCUACGGGGGAGGUCUGGGAAUUCUAAAACCACUUUCACUAGUAAGACUGAGAGUACGCAUAUGGGGUGGGGGUUUGUAUUUCGUGAAACUUAGGUCAUCCCCUCGAGCGAUGUCUAAAGCUUGACCAUUAGAUCCAUCGUCUUCUAGUUCAGUAGGAAUGGGAUCUAGUUCUAAAAUUACUACAAUUUCGCACCAUCCAGUCCAACCACCUCUCCUGGGUCAUUAUCUGAUUUAGACCCCUCUUUGACCACUUUGUUCUCUUGUCCCUCUUUGUUAUCAACCCUGGUUGUAAGUCCAGGGUUGGAUGUACCCUCUCUGGUCAAAGUUGUCAAGAGUAGAUCAUUCAUUCUUGUAAAUCCGAUGUCAAUCCCAAAAUCAAUUCUGUUUGGCCUACCCAGUAACUUGAUGGUGUACCAUAUGAGUGUUAUCGAGGUUGAACAUAGGUGUGUCAAAGUUGAAACCAAAGGCACUGAUAGAAUGUUGUGCGGCUGUGUUGUAGGCCUGGUGACCGAAUACGUCUAACUAUCCCCCGAAGUUGAAAUCGAGGGAUGAAAUCGAUGAAUGCCUCACCAUUGAUGAUGUUAAUAAUGUGUCUUUGUAUAAGCUUUGUAGAAAUGAUCUGAAUCCACAACAAAACCGUGUGGCCAGACUUUUUGCUUCUUGAUUUGGCUAGAAAUUUGGCGGACACGGUAUAAUCGAGCUUGGGCCACCUUUUUCCUCUUCAGCAAAGACUGUAUAUUCUCACUAGAGUAAUGAGUUUCGAUCACUGUCUUCAAACCGUUGUCCCCUGUGAUCUGAAAAAUGGAAUAUCUAACGGGGUUAAAUGAUGUUAGAUAUCUACAUUUCAGGCUCAAAAUUCUUCUUCAGAUCCCUACUUUAUGCCUAAACCUUGUUCAAAGCUCUUUUAACGUUAUGCUCUAGUUGAAUGUCAGAUCUUUAGAUUGGGUUGAUACAAAAAUGGGCUCAAUUUCAGCCUCACAAUUUUGACCGUUGUAAUGGACAAUAGCUCUGGCUCGUCUCCUCAUCUUGAACCAAAUAUUCUAUUCCACAUGUUUAAAAUCGAGAAAAUUGUAAAAAUAUAGUUCUCAUCACCCAAAUCCCUAAAUUUACACUUACUUUAAUGAAAUACCUUUGCUUCGACAAUAUUGUCAGUAUAAAAUUUUUGUUUUUUACUACAACAUCGAUAACUCCUAAUGCCAACAAUCUGCUUCAAACAUCUGUAUGGAAAAUCCAAGAAUUAUAUUGAGUUUUUUUAUAGAGCCUUUUCCUCGACGCACAUGAAACGAUUCUAGCAACAACACAUGUCAAGGCAUUAGUUGUUUUUGAGGUAUACACUAAAAAUUAAAAUUUGUGGGGGAGAAAACGUUCCCCGCAACGAUGUUUUUCAGCACCUAGACAUAGCAUUGAAAUUUAUCCUAGGAAUCCCGGGUUGUAGGGGCUUAGAGGUUGAAGCAAUCAAGUUGGCUUGGGUAUUGAAAGACCAUAAAGAAAAUGCCUAUUGCAGGAAGCAUUUCCACCUGACUUGGCAAUCAAAAUGCCUCCUGCAGGACGCGUUUUCCAGCCACAUCUCUGAUAUGUUAGUCGAAAACGCAUCUUGCAAGAGGCGUUUGUACUGCCAUGUUAGGUAAAAACACUUCCUGCAGGGAACAUUUUCUUUAUGGCCAUUUCAACACCCAGGCCAACUUAAUUGCUUCUGCCUCUGAGCCCUUACAACACGGGAUUCUCGGGAUAAAAAAAUUUCCCUUUUUACCCCACCCCAUCCCUUAUAUAAAUGCAUGUUCUCAUCCCCUACUCACCCAUAUCUCAGUCUCCUUUAAAUUAUUUUUUUCUUUUUCUUCCGUGUUGAAAUUUUCAAGUUUAAAGAUUUAUUUCUCUCACACUUUGAGGGGGAUGUAAUCAUAGUUUUAAGUUGUGUUUGAGUUCACAAUAAUGUCGUGGCGCUUGAUAACUUACAAAUUUCACUUGUCGUGUGAGUAUGGAGCCAUCACUUGAGAAAUCGAGAUCGCUUUGCAACUCGAGGUCCAAGUUGACGGUGUAAAUAAGGCUUCAAGUUUACAAAGGUUAUGCUAUUAAAAGGAUGGAGCAAAACCGGGACUGUAGUUGAUGAUGGUGAUGCAAGCACAAGAACUAGUUUUUCCUCAUUGGAAGAGCAUACUUUAUAAAAUCCAUAUACAAGUACGAGGGAGAAAAUCACAGGGGUCUUCCAGUAUAAUCAAGUAAUUCAUUUUAUCCUUUUCCAGCAAAGGCAAUGACCCUGUUACUAAAACCUAUUACAUCCCAAUUCUAUCAUAGGUAAUAGUAACGGUGUCACUGUCUUUGGUGGAGAUGGAUAAAAAAAUUUACUUAAUUAUACUGAGAUACCAUUGCAUUUUUCUUCCUCGUACUUGUGUAUGAGUUUUAUAAAGCAUCAUUUUCUAAUGAAAAAAGUUUUUUGUCGUGCCCGCAUAACCAUUGUAAAUUACAGCUCCAAUCAUACUCCGUCCUUUGAUAGCGUAACAUUUUGUAAACUUGAAGCUCUAGUUACACUUCAAUUUCAGACCGUAUAAUCACCCUUAACUGGGACCAUGAGUUGCAAUGCGAUCUGGCUUCUCGGGUGAUGGCUCCAUACUCACAUGACAAAUGAAAUUUGUAGGUCACCUAACUCCACGACACCACCAUAAAUUCAAACAUUCCUUAAAACUAUAACAGUGUCUAUCUCAAACAAGAAUGAAAAUAAAUGUUCAAACUUCUAAUUUCAAAUUGCAAGAAAAAAAAAAGAAAAAAAUAAAUUUUAGCAAAGUAAAAAUGGGUCCUACCGGCACAUUUUCAUUGCCACAUCAAUGAAAAUACACCUCGUACGACACGUUAUUCUUUCUUCGUAAACAAUGUAAAUCAAUAAAUUUAAAAAAAAAUUAUACAUUCUCAAAUAACUCUUUUUUUCAGCAUUUUUGUUAAAUUUAUCCCAUAAUACUGCUACUUCUUGUUUCCUGGGUUAUUUUUAUUACUGCUGGUUGUACCACCCUCCUACUGUGCGCCGGUUAUAGCAACUCACUCAAGAUUCUAAAUACUAAUAUAAACACCAUUUCUUUUAUUCUUAGUUUUUUUAGUGAUUAACGUGGUUUUAAUUAUCGUUAGAUCACGUGGGUGUUUAUAUGAAAUGCUUGAAAUCGUCACGCAGGACAAAAAAAAAAAAGAAAAAGAAAAGGAAAUGAAGAGUAUAUAUAUAGAGGAAACAACUAGUGAGAGUGAUAUUAAUAUUUAGAGUAGGUAAAGAUAGUAUUAUAUAGUCGCAUAUGCGACCUUGUACAUUACCACUAACUCUAAAACUAGGAUAACUCCAACAAUGAAUAGUACCGCUAUGGAUUUUUAACAUUCAUUUUUAUUCUGUCGACAUCACUAUUUCCCUUCCAUUAGCUGAUCCCAACUUCCAUGACCACACUUCACUUAAUGCUGCAAAUGCAACCACACCAAACAAAACAUUCAUAAAUUAAUAAAUCAAUUGCCAUAAGCGAUAAACUUUGGGUCAUUUUCUUUUUCCGUAAUUUCAAAGAAACCUAGUUUAAAUUAGAUACGAACCUUUUGCAGUCAGUGGAAGGGCUGAUCUUGUAAGGGAUGUUGAUACCGCACUUGCCUGGGAGUCCGGCUGCAGUGCUAUAGUUGAUGCCAGAAAUGCCGGUGGCCGCACUUUUGAUGCAGCUGCAAGCUGCUUGCCGGUCUGGUGUUGUUUUGGCGGCAGAGUUGAGAGAUCUGAUGCCGUUGCAGCAAGCUGGGGGAGCAGAACCAGCACCAUUCCCUUUCAAGUAAGCAAUGCAGGGUGCGAGGGCGCUUGUGAUUUGACCACAACUUAUGGCCCCUUGAGCCAGGGGUGCACCCACCACCAUGCAAAACACCACCACACAUGUAAGCUUAAGGGACAUUGAGCUAGCCAUAUCAAUUAGUCACAAGAAAACAAACUUGUAAGGAAAAUGCUCGCUUGGAGUAGUAGUACUAUUGCUGAUUGUUGCGUGGAUAAGGAUUGAAGGUAGGAGGGUUAUUAUAGCCAAAAGUCGAGUGAAGGGAUUUGGAAAGAACCGAGAAACACGUACGAAUAGAAUAUGGUUAGGCGCUGGUAGCUGGCCCAAUUUAAUGCCAAGGUUUCUUUCUUUCUUUUUCAUGUUUCAGCUUAUGGUUGAGUGUGUUUAAUGCUUUGGAAAAGGUUUGUAUCGACCACUUUCAUCUUCAUCACUAAUGCUGAAUUACUCCCUUGAUUAAUGCAUAAUAUUAGCAUUGUCUUAGUGUUUCCGGGUUUUUUCUUUUUUUAUAAUAGUAGUUUUUCCGGUUUUCUGAUAUUAGUAGCUUUACCAAUCAAAGAUGCUAUCAAAUAUAGUUUCCCUUAAUUCAAUCUUUCAUUACUCUCACUUUAUUUUUGCCAAAUAUGAAAUACAUAUUGUAACACCUAAAUUAUCCGACUCAAUCGCUGAGUCCAAAUAACAGAAUGUCAAAUUUAUUGCCGAGACAACUCUCAUCAAAUAUUUCAUACUUCUAUUUAAACCAUACAAUUAUAAAUACACGUACAUUCCAAUUCCAUUAAAUUAAACAAACAAUGGCCUAAUUGUGAAGUUUGAGCAUGAAAUAAGACUGAAUUGUAAAAUUUCAAAUUUAAGGGUCUGGUAUCAAUACUUAAUUGUUUGGUACCUAUACCUUAGUCCUCAAACAAAAAUUGCUCAACAUCAAUGCAUGUAUAGAUCAAUUUUAUAUAUCAAAGACCAAUAUCAUCUUUUUUUUAAUAAACAAAACAAGAUGUUGUGAUUCUAGCAGGAUAUAGGCGUAGCUAUUGUUCCUAAGUCUUCCUGCAAAAGGUUUCACAGUGAGAGGAGAAAAAAAAGUUCGAAAUUGUCUUGGUUUGCCUCAUAAUGAUUGAAGCAUAGACAAGUUGUCUAAUUUCUACCUAAUUGCCACGUGAAUUCACAUGAUUUUACGUCCCUUUUUCUUGGCUCAAGGGAAUGAAUUUCACAUGAUUCGGUAACAUAUUUCUUAGAUAUGGUCAACAAAUAUACAUGUGUAAGUGCAAUAUUUUCUAGUUUUGUUGUUAACCGGAAAAAAAAGAAGACGAAAAAUAUGAGACUAACUGUUUUCUUUUUAAAAAAAGAUUAUAAAUGUUAAUUUAAUACACGACAUAAUAAUAUAAUAUAAUAUAUUUAAAUGUAUAACUCCUCAUCUCCUAGACACUGUUAGUUAUUUUAUUUUUUGGAUUGUUUUAACAAAAGGUUGAGCUUUUUAUUAGGUUUUAUUUGAUUUUUCAUUUAUUAAAUAUAUUUUUAUAUUUUUUAGUAAUUAUUAAUUUUUUUUUGGAAAUUUGGACUGUCUUGUUCGAACAACAAUUAGAACAAGCUUUUUGGUGCAAUCAAAAUUUUUGGGUGUUGGCAUGUUUGACUUUUAAUGGCUUAUGUUUUAAUGUUAGUUAACAACAAAUGAUAAGAGAAUUUCAUGGUAAAUUAGAAUAUGAUUAUCAUCCAUUUGAUUAGCCUUGAAGAGGAAGGAGAGGAGUUUGAAAUUUGGUGGACACUCAUCCUUAUCAUUACCUUUUAGAGUGUUUGAAGCUGUUGGAGAACUUGGUUAUGAAGACUUUUAUGUGAUAAAUAUUCAAGAUAAUUAAUUUGAUAAUUUCAACUUUUAAAAGAGAGUUUAAAGCUUAUCAAAACACUAUCUGACAAUCACUUGUAGAGGCCUAUAAAUAGGCAAUAGUGUGGUAUCACUUUGUUUGCUGUUUUGGAGUGUCUUAAACUUUUGUAUCUUUCUAUUCCAUUGGGUAACUUUGUGACACUCUCUUUAGGUAUUAUUUGGAGAGGUGUGGAAGAAUACCUCUUAUUUUGACCAAAAUUUAUUUUUCUCCCGGUUAUAUUUUGUUUCUAGUUUCCGACUUAAACUCUAAUUAACAUAGAGUUGUUGUAGUCAUAUAUGCUACAAAUUUCAACCUAUAAAUAGUCCUUAGUUACUCUAGGUUUUACACAAUAAAAACUUAUUUAGAUUGAGAGAAUUUUAUUCUUUGUUUCGAAGGGUUUUUCUUGUGGGACUUCUGCUUUUCUUUUAAUUCUCUCCAUUUUUUGUACUCUCCUUUAUUAUGGUGAAAUCUGUUUUUGCCUAUGGUUUUUUAUCCUCUCUUGAGGAGUUUUUCCACGUAAAAUUUGCGUGUUUGAUCUUUUCGAUUCUUAUUUUAUUCACUUUGUUCAUUGUUUAAUCAAGUUUAUCCCCUACAAACUGGUAUCAGAGAUAGUUUAAUUUUUGCAGUCAACCCGUUUAGAGAUGGCAGAGUCAAGGUUCGAUAUUGAGAAGUUCGAAAAAAUUGUAAAUUUCAGUUUGUGGUAAGUUUGAAUUACGACAAUAUUGGUUGAGAACAGUUUGAAAAAGGUCGUUAUAGGGAAGAAGCUUACAGAUAUGAAUCAGUCAGAAUGGGAAGAGCUUUAUGAAAAGACUAUAUCCACUAUUCAAUUAUGUCUCACGAAUAAUGUGUUAUAGGAGGUUUUGAAGGAGAAAGUAUCGUUUAUGUUAUGGGAGAAACUAGAAACCUUAUAUAUGAAAAAAUCUCUAGCCAACAGGUUAGUAUUAAAACAACAUCUCUAUAUGGCCAAAUGUGAGCCCAUCAGAACUCAUAUUAGCGAGUUUGUUACCCUUCUUAAAGACUUAUAGAAUCUCGAAGCAGAGAUUAGUGAUGAAGGUCAAGCUAUGUUAUUGUUAUGCUAUUUGCCCUCUUAUUAUAAAAAUUUUAAGGAAACUCUUAUUUAUGGGAGAUAUCAUCUCUCGUUCGAGGAUGUGAAGGGGAAUCUUCUGAGUAAGGAUAAAGUUGACAAUGAGUUAGGCCCAAACAAAAAAUCAGACGGGCAAACCACAGUUUUAGUUGCAAGAGGCAAACGACAAACCAAAAAGAUAGAUCAAAAUAGGUCUAAAGCAAGGUCCAAAUCUAGAAAUCAUGACAAAUAUUCUGGCUAUUGUAAAAAAGGUGGGCCAUGUUAAGGCAUAAUGUUGGAAAUUUCAAAAUAAAAUCAAAAGGGAUGCUGAAAAUGACGAGAAAGAUAAGCAAAAAGUUAAAGUUUUUGAUGCUAGUGUAGCCGAGGACAAAGGUGAUGAUUUCUUGUUGGUGUCAACGAGUGAAAGCUCUCAUCUUACUUCUAAAUGGAACUUAAAUUCAAUGAGCUCCUAUCACAUGUGUCCUAACAGGGAUUGGUUCUCCACGUAUAAUUAAGUUGAAGGUGGAGUUGUGGUGAUGGGAAUAACUCUCCCAUGUAAAAUAUCUGGAAUCAAAACAAUACAAAUUAAGAUGCAUGACAGGAUUAUUUAAACAUUUUCAGAUGUCAGGUAUGUUCCUAAUUUAAAGAAAAAUUUUAUCUCAUUGGGAAUUUUGGAUUCUAACGGUUGCAGGAUAGUCAUUGAGUCAAAUGACUUAAAAGUUUCUCGUGGAGCUCUUGUUGUGAUGAGGGGACAAAAAAAAGGCAGCCUAUAUGUUCUGCAAGGGUCAACAGUUACUAGUGUGGCUGCGAUUAUCAAAGAAAACCCAAAAUUGCCACCACAUCACGACGACACGACGUGACUCUUUCUCCAUCAAUUCUGACUCAACCAAAAUUUGGCACAUGCGGCUGGGUUAUAUGAGUGAGGAAUAUAUAAUAGUCUUGUGCAAUAGAAGUUUUCUCAAUGACAUUGGAAUUGGUCAAUUAGGUUUUACAAGCAUUGCAUUUUCGAGAAACAAACCAAGUCAGUUUCGAUUUAGCAGUGCACAAAAACAAAAGGGACUCCAUAUUACAUUCAUUCUGAUUUAUGGGGUCCAUCUUUUAACAUCUCAAAAGGAGUUAAUAAAUAUUUCCUAACUUUUAUUGAUGAUUACUCUAGAAAAGUUUGGGUUUAUUUCUUGAAACAGAAAAACGAAAGUCUUUGGAAUUUUCAAAUAGUGGAAGACACUAUUAGAAAAACAAAUCAGAAAAUCCAUGAAGAAGUUGAGAACAGAUAAUAGUCUUGAGUUUUGUUCGUCAGAGUUUAGUGAUUUUGCAAACGGGAAGGAAUUGAAAGAUAUCAAAUCGUUGUCAGAAUUCCGCAAUAGAAUGAAGUUGCAAAAAGAAUGAAUAGAACCUUGCUGGAAAAAGCUUGAUGCAUGCUUUCUAAUGUAGGCUUAGGGAAGGAAUUUUGGGCUGAAGCUGUAAACCUGACAAGUUAUUUGGUAAAUCGAUCUCUUUAUCGAACAUUGAACAGUAAAAUUCCAAAAGAGAUAUGGUCAGAUAAUUCUCCAAAUUAUUCUAAUAUUAGAAUUUUUGGUUGUCCUGCUUAUGCUAAAGUUAGCUAGGGAAAGCUCAAACCAAGGGUCAUUAAAAGCAUCUUUUUGGGAUACCCUGCCAGCACAAAAGUUUUUAAGUUGUGGUGUUUAGAAUUUGAAAAAAUAAUUGUUAGCAGAGAUGUUACGUUUGAUGAAUAUGCUAUGUUUCGAUCAAAAAAUGAGACUUUUACUUUUAAAGGCACAACGAAUCAAAGUGUCUCAAGCAAGGUGGAGUCAAAAGCUAAAAUAAGAGGGCGAUGUCAUGAUGUGCAAAUGCCCAACAUCGCAAUGACAUGACGAAUAGAGGUCUCGUCCCGAUAAAGCCUCUCACAAUGUCGCAUUGACACGAAAAAAUUCUGGUUCUUGCAAGUUUGAAGCUGUUUUGGAUCUGUUUGGGGUUUCACCCGACCCUCAAGUACCCUCACCAUAUCAGUUAACUAAUUAUAAGUUGGCACGUGAAAGGAAACCUAGUGGUUUAUGCUCUAAGUGUUGCCGAGAGCGUUGUUUCAACCAAACCUUCGUGUUAUUAUGAGGUAGUUCUUUCCUUCAUAGUGACCUUGAGGAGGACAUCUACAUGCAAUAGUCGGAAGACUUCAAAUUUGAAGGUAAAGAAGAUUAUGUCUGUCUUUUACAAAACUCUUUGUAUGGUUUGAAGCAGUCUCCUCGAUAGUGGUAUAAAAAGUUUGACUCAUUCAUGUUGAGUAUUGGUUUUUCCUAAAGCAAGUAUGAUAGUUGUGUUUAUCUACAAUGUCUUGAUGAUGAUUCUUUUAUAUAUUUGUUGCUUUAUGUUGAUGAUAUGUUAAUUGCGGCUGAUAUUGGUUGUCUUAAAACCAAACACGUGGUUCAUGAAUCAUGAAGAAUCACGACAGACAUGCUGAUAGGGGCUGGCAUUACCAAAAUUCUAGUUCAUGAUUUCUUUUAUUACCACAUUCAAUGUUUCCCAACAUAACCCUGGUGUUUUCAGUGGAACAAGCUCUGUUCCAGUUGCAACUUGUAAUGCUUUUUUUUUUUACCAAAGCAACUUGUAAUGUUAUGAUACUAUAGAACAGUGCGCAUUUUCAUCUUUUACGAAAUUACUGGAUUUGAAAAUAUAAAUAGUAAAAUGAAUAUAUACUAAUGUAAAAAAGCGAUAAUGAUUUAUUUAGCUUUUUAAUUUUAUAAAAAUAAUAAUUUUAAUUUUUUAUUUAAUUUUUUGUUUUUUUAGCAUUUAAAUUUGUAUUGUUUGUCAAAUUAUAAAGUUAACAUUUAACAACUUUAUUGAUGUGACAUACAUGUGCAUAUCAUGUCAACAAUUAAUCAUUUUUAAAAAAAAUUAAAAAAAAUUAUUAAUAUUAUAAAAAUAUAUAAUUAUUCAUACAUGUGGACCACGUGGAUAUCUUAUCUUUUCCAUCAAUUUUGGAAUGAUUUGAAAAAUAUUGUAAGUUCAACGGUUAAAAGAGACAAAAAAUUAAAUUGAGAGCAAUGAAUUUUUUUAAACUUCGAAGACUAAAUAAAUCAUUAUGCCAACAAAAUAAUUUUAAAAUAUGAAGUGUAAAUUAUUGGAGGAGUUGGGAUUAACAUCAUGCCUCAUUUAGUUACUAGUGUAAUAAUAUGCGAAAAAAAUUAUUUAUUACAUAUGUAUUAGAUAUAAAAUAAAUUAAUAGUUAAUACAAAUUCAAACUUAAAAUUAGAAAUAUGAGUAAUAACUCUUGUAAAAAAUAAAACAUUUUCAAAAUAAGUGAAAAAUUUGCCUUCUCUUUAUUAAAAAUAAGUCAAGGGAAUGAUUAAAUAUUAUAAUUGAAUUAGUUUAUUGCUAACUCAUAUAAUAAAGCAUGUGUCAAAAAUGAUACCAAUUUAGUACUAAAAACUUUCAAAGUUCAACAAUGACAUCCUCCUAAAAAUUUAACAGUUGCGGAGAAUAGUACAUGGGGUUGGCUAAAUUAAGCUCCCGAAAUUUCAAAAAUAUAAAAAUUAUAAGAACUAAAUUACACUAACAGAUCAAAUAUUGAAACCCUAAAGUCUGAAACUUCCUUUCUUCAUCUUCUUGUUUCAGUUUGCAUGGAAAUAAGAAAUGAAAUUGUGGUUUGUGUUACACUAACUUGAUUUUUUUACCCUUAUUACAAAUUAGUCCUUAUACUCUAAUUAAUUAUUAAUUCAACAAAAUUAUUUAUCCAGAAUUCAAUUCACCUAAAAUACAACUCCGUAAAUAUUUAAUAACAAUAUUUACGAGUUUGAUUUAUAGAAAAAAAAGUUCUAAAAUUACACUUUCCAACAUCACUGACUUUCGAGUUGUUACGCGUCUCUUGUUAAAAUCAUACAACUUUCUAUUUUUUUUCAAGACAAGAAAUUUUGUUCAUGCACUUUCUAUAUAUAAAUAUAUGUUUUUUUUAAAUUUUAUAACUACAGUAAAAUUAAAGUAUAAAUAUAUGUCAAAGUAGCUAUUAAGUGUAGAAUUAAAUCAUUACAAUAUAUAAAUAGACUAAAAAUUAGGACAAAAAAUCAAUCUAUUACAUAAAAUAUAAAUUAUGAACAGAAACAAUCUAGGCUGUAGUCUGACUAAUCAAACUAAAACUUACACAUAACAACAACUAAUAAUAGGAAUUAAAGACCCACACAUUCAACUGUGUACCGUGGAUAUAGAAUAUGGUUACUCAAAGCCUAUAGCUUCCACUUUUACCCACUAUGUCAAGGCUUCAUUUACACUUUUUUUUAAACCAUGUAUUUUUCAUAUAAUUUUAUAUUUUUUUUUGCAUAAAAAAAGGCCCAAUAUAUCGACGUUAAUUAAUUCUAUAUAAUGUAGCGAUUAAGUCCUCAAACAAAAAUUGCUCAACAUCAAUGCUUGUAUAGAUCGGUUUUAUAUAUCAAAGACCAAUAUUAUCUUUUUCUAAUAAAAAAAAAACAAUAUGUUGUGAUUGCUUAGCUAUUGUUCCUAAGUCUUCCUGCAAAAGGUUUCACAGCGAGAGGAGAAAAAAAAAGUUGAACUUGUCUUGGUUUGCCCCAUAAUGAUUGAAGCAUAGACAAGAUUAUAAAUGUUAAUUUAGUAUACGACAUAAUAAUAUAAUAUAAUAUAUUUAAAUGUAUAUCUCCUCAUCCCCUAGACGCUGUCAGUUAUUUUAUUUUUUGGGAUUUUUUUAACAAAAGGUUGAGCUUUUUAUUAGGUUUUAUUUGAUUUUUCAUUUAUUAAAUAUAAUUUUUUUAUUUUUAUAUUUUUUAGUUAUUAUUAAUUUUUGUUGAAAAUUUGUACGGUCUUGUUCUAACAACAAUUAGAACAAGCUUUUUGGAACAAUCAAAAGUUUUGGGUGUAGGCAUGUUUGACUUUUAAUGGCUUAUGUUUUAAUAUUAGUUAACAAAAAGUGAUAAGAGAAUUUCAUGAUAAAUUAGAAUAUGGUUAUCAUCCAUUUGAUUAGUCUUGAUGAGGAAGGAGAGGAGUUUGAACUUUGGUGGACACCCAUCCUUAUCCUUGUCUUUUAGAGUGUUUGAAGCUAUUGGAGAACUAGGUUUUAAAUAUUUUAUUUGAUAAAUAUUCAAAAUAAUUAAUUUGAUAAUUUCAACUUUUAAAGGAGAGUUUAAAACUUAUCAAAACAUUAUUUGAUAAACACUUGUAGAGGCAUAUAAAUAGGCAACAGUAUGGUGUAACUUAGUUUGUUGUUUUGGAGUGUCUUAAACUUUUGUUUUUUUGCUAUUCCAUUGGGUAACUUUAUGACACACUAUUUUUACGUAUUAUUUGGAGAGGUUUAGUAAUUGUAUUGUGAGGAAUUUGAGUGAGUGAUUUGUAACAAUUGGGGUUGAUAUUAGAGCUAUAAUUAUUUCUUUGUGUAACGGUAGAUUGGGCUUUGACCUUUUAUGCCGGGUGAGGUGAUACGUCGGUCGCCUCAAAACGACUUCUCUUCUCUUCUCUUCACUCGAAUACCUUUCAAAUUUGUUUGUGUCUCUGCAAAAUCACACCACUCUAGACAAGCUUCAAGGUCGGUAACACAACAGGUAGAGAUAUUAAUCAUCUAAUAGUCAUACCCCGAAUAUAAAGACUUUUCCUUAGAAUUUAGAUCAGACUCAACGCACUUAAUAACUUUGACCUCCCCAUCGAUAUCUAUGGUUAAAUCUCCUCUACUUACAUCUACGAUGACUCUUGAAGUUGCUAAGAAUGGCCUCCCAAGCAAGAUCGGUAUCUUAACAUCCUCGUCAAAGUACAACACUAUAAAGUCUACAAGAAGAAUAAAUUGUCGGACCCUCACUAGCACAUCCCCAAGGACUCCUUUUGGAUGUACUGGUGAUUAAAUGACCAACUGUAAUCUUAGCAAGGUCUCUUUAAGGUUCCCCAAACCUAGCCUUCAAUAAAUCGAAUGAGGUGUUAGGUUAAUGCUAGCCCCAAGAUCGCAUAGGGCUUUCAUGAAAUUCACCCCUCCUAUUUCAAUAGGGCUAGUAAAGCUUCUGUGGUCUUUUAAUUUCAGGGCACUUUUCCGGAUAUGACAGCAAUAAACUCUACAUUUUGGGGAAUUUUUCCCCCACAACUGAUCUUUUUCUUUCGAGACAUAACCUCCGUAAAAAACUUAGCAUAUUUUGGCAUUUUUUCUAAUAACUCAAGCAAUGAAAGUUUAACAUUCAGUGCUUUGAAUAUGUUGAAGAAUUUAAGAAAUUCUUUGUUCUCUUUUUUCUUCCUUUAGUCUAAAUGAGUAGGGAAGGGUACGAGUUUUCGAUUAACUGGUUGGGAAAGGCCUUCCAUAGGCUCAACUGACUUUAGAUCACAUUUUUUCUCAUUGCUCUCAUGCACCCUGUGUCAAACACUAAAAGUGAAGAUGCUCUCAUCCUUCUCUACUUCCACUUCUCCACUCAUCGACCUAAUAAGGUCCUUAACCACCUUUUUGGACCUAAGGGUAAUGGCCUUAGUGUGCUCAUUCGCCUCCCUCUUCGAGUUCAGUUAAAUAAUGUUUGGUACAUUAAAGGAAGCAUUGUUUUGUGACAUUUGGAUAAUUUGGUCUAAUUGCCCUCGAAUUAGGUGCACUUCCGCUUGCAUCAAAUACAAGUCUUCCUCUAGUUUACCCACUUAUGAUUGGGGUGGUCUCGCCACCCCGGAUUGUAUGUUUUAGAGUACAUGUUGUACCCCCUAUUUCCUAAAUGGUUGGCUUCUUUAUGAUUGUUCUCAUUGUGGCCUCCACAAUUAGUGCCUUCACCCAAAUUUCCUAUAUUUGAAUUGGUUAAAAGAAGUUGGUUCGAGUUUUGUGAUUUUGUCAAACUCAUUUCAAGGUGGUUUGACCUCUCGAGGAUGUGCUGACAUUUAUCCUCACUAUAGACCACAUUCACGAUCAAUUGUUUAUUUUAGUAUUUGAGCCGCUCAGCCGACCAUAUAUAUGAACUCAUUGCCAUAUUCUCUAUGAGUUGGAAAUCUUCAAUAUAAUUCUUUGACAUGAAUGCAGAAAUCUUCAAUAUAAGUCUUUGACAUGAACACUUCUGCAGAUGCUACAUCAAGACUCGAUCACAAAUUCCCAUCAAGCCCAUCAUAAAAAAAAAACUUGUAAUUGCAACCAAUCUUGCAAGCCAUGGAAAGGGCACUUUGACCGCCUAUAAACGUACUAUCAUUUAUAGUAAAAAUAUAACACCAAAAAUAUAAGAAUUAAGAAUGGCAGUGUCCGCACGUGCAAGGGUCUAAUUGUACAACAAAAUACUUAGAAGUAUUUUGAGGAUCAUACCCAAGGAAGGAUGGAAUAUUUUAUGAAAACAUUUUUACAAUAACAAGUAUAAGUAAUAGUAAUUAAUUCCUAAUAUUGCAAUGAACCAUAAAAUAAGUGAUGAGAUAAAAAUAACUAAACAAAGAAAAUAAAUAAAUAAAGAAAAAUAAACAAAUGAAAUAAAUCAAUAAACCAAUUAAGAAGAGUAACUUACUUUAGGGUCUGUAACUAACUUUAGAUUAGGAUUUUAGAGUGGAUUAACUAUCGAUUAACUAAUUAUUACCUCCUGGCCUCUAAUUAACUAAUCGAUUGGUUGACACUCGCUUAUCUCCCGACCUUACUUUUUGAACCAGGAUAAAUUAUGAUAUACUUGGUUUGACUUAUUUUCGACCUCGUCUAGCCUAUGAUAACUUCCUAGGGCUUUCAAUCGUAAUGGUUUAAGCACACAUAAUUCAUACCAACUAAUCCUUCUCGAGAAAUGCUAAAUCUUCCAUUAUUCACAUCCUUAUCCAGUCGUUAAUCUCCCAUAAGGGAUCUAACCACUCAUUUUAAUCAUGACCUAAAUCUUGAUUGAAUAAAUCACGAGAAGAAAAUGAUCGAUUCAGGGGAGAAAAGAGAUUUGAAUGAUCAUGGAUUGAAUAUCGAAUAAGGAAUAGAGUAGUAAAUCACUUGAUUGGAUUAAAGAAUUAAAUCGAAUGGACAGAAAAUAUAAACUGAAACACUUUAAUUAAAUAAAUAAACUCUUAAAAUCAAAAUUAAUUUCAAGAGGAAAAACAAAAUAGUAUUGAAAAGUCAAAAAGAAAAUAAUCUAAAUCCACUCUUCAACUAUUAGGGUUUUUUGAAGGAGUCUAAGAUGACUUAGUUACAUCAAACCCAUAGUGUCUUAUUUAUAGAGGUGUUGGCAAACCAAACUAGAUCUUCGACACAUCCUAGGUCUUCGUAUAAGUUUUAUUGCGCGGAAGAAAAUAACCCCAAAUUACAUGGGUAGGACGCCAAUGCGUGUCGCGCUACAUCCUUUGAAUGGCAUGACACAACAUGCAAUUCCAAACUAAUGUCGUUCUUUUGGUCCUUUCAUGUCUCAAGAAGCUUGUACAUCAGUCGUCCCUUGCUUCCAUGUCAAUUGGGCCUUUAUAUUUUCAUCCUACACACUCAAUUAGACAUAUUAGCACAACCUAAGGCAUGUGUCAGCCUAGUAGGUCACAACUGUAACAGCCCGCCCGAAGAAGUCUCUAUUUAUGGUUAAUUUUUUAUUGUACUAAGUAUAAUUUUGAGUAAGUGAAAUGUUAGUUUUGAAUAAGUAUGGGAUUUUGUGUAUGCGUCGAUUAGCAAAAUCUAUUUUUUGGUGAACUCUAUGGUUUGGUGGAUUCAUCUGUUAAGUACAUGCCACCCGAGAUGUUUUGGCGAAGUUGUCAAAUCUAUAGUUUCAUAGAUUUUUUUAUAAGACUAUUUAGUUAGUCUAGUGAUAAUUGGUUAGAAUGAAACUAAGAAACGGUAGUUGAUAAGUGUACUUAAUCAUGAGAAUUAAGAGUGUUAGUAGAAUAAUUUGAUCCUUCCACUAAACCUUGUCUCUGUGUUUAAGUAUAUAAGGGUAUUGAUGUCUUCACCGAUAAACUUUGUAUGUUCUCUGCAUUCAUCUUCUUCUUGAUUUUAUCUGCAUUCUCUCUCUCAAAGCUUAAGUCUAGAAACAUUAUUGAGGUUGGGUUCGCUAUAUUCAGCCAACUCUGAUGUUUGUUUUAGCUUUCUGGUAAAUAUUGAUUAAUCCUAGGUUUUUUUCAUAAUUAUUUAUGUAUUUUUAGCGUUGCAUACAUAAGUGUUAAAAUUAUAUGUAAGGAAGGAAACUUUCUGAUUUUGGGUUAUGUGUUAGUGUUUCUUGCAUGCAUAUUUAGAUUCAAUGAAGUUAUGAUAUGAUAAGUGUAAUUAUCCACUUUUUAGCUCAAGACGCUAUUGAAGGGCCAAGUGACAAGGGCAAAGUUCCUAUGUAACACCCCUAACCCGUAUCUUUCUCCAGAAUAGGGUUAUAGAGCAUUACCGGAGUUUACAAAUUAAUUUUCAGACAUUUCAUUUCAUCAAGCAUUCAUAUUUAUAACCAAUCAAAAUCAAAAUAUUUAUGAGCUAACAUUAACCAAUUUAACUUAUACAAGUCAUUAUAACCAGAAUGAAAUCAUCCAAAAUUACCGAUAGAACUAAUGGAUAAUGUGAUAUAUCUCCAACAAGCUUCCGAUAAUCAUUUCAAAACAUCUAAUAAUUAUACAUAUUACCAACAAUAAAACACACUCACAUAUAAUAUUCAUUACCAAAUAGCGUUCACUUCAAUGAAAAUUAUACAAAAUAUAGUUCAUACGAACUUACCAAGCUAAAUUGUAAAAAUACUACAAUUCAGGGACAUUUUGGAAAUUUUUUUCUCGAAUUUCCACCCAAUCUCGAUCUAAAUUAAUAUUUCAUUCAAUUUACUAAUUUAAAUAGUAAAACAAUUCAUUUCACGCAAUUUGGUCACUUUUUGACAUUUUUACAAAUUUACCCUUAAAGUUUCACAUUUGUUCAAUUAGUCCCUGAACCUAAAACAUGUAAAUUGGUAAUUUUUAAUGAAAACUCAUGCUAGUUGAAUAAUCUUAUAUUUCUCAAUUUUCCUCCUCCUCCUCUCCAUUCCCCAUCCUUAAUGUAAAUAACACACUUAAACUACAUUAAUUAUAAUUCCACUAUUCACUCACAUGUAUAUUCAAAGCUAUUUAUCCGAGUCAGAGUCACUAAAUUAUUUUUCCCUGGAGCUACAGAACUUCAAAUUAUGAUCCGUAAAUUUUCCCCAAAACUAGAUUCACAUAUCUUCUUACCAUAAAAAAUUUAGAAUUUUUGGUUUAGUCAAAUAGUACAGUUUAUUCUUUAACGUUUCCCCUGUUUCUCUGCUUGACAGCUCUGACCUCUCUUCACUAAAAAUUAAUUAUCUCAUUGUACAGAAUUUGGAUAAUGUUUCUGUUUCUUUUUCUUUUGAAAAUAGACUCAUUAAGGAUUCUAAGAAUAUAAAUUAUAACUCAUAAUUAUUUUUGUACAAUUUUUAACAAUUUUCCAAAGUCAGAACAGGGGAACCCGAAAUCAUUCUAGUAUUGUCUCACAAAAUUUAAUAUAUCUCAUUAUUUACAAUUUCAUUGCUUACACUGUUUCUUUUAUGAGAAACUAGACUCAAUAAGAUUUAAUUUCAUAUUUUAUUCACCCUCUAAUUCAAUUCUCAAAAUUUUUGGUGAUUUUUCAAAGUUACACUACUGCUGCUGUCCAAAACUGCUUUAGUACAAAAUGUUGAUUUCCAUUUUGCCUCAAAUUUCACAGUUUAUGCAAUUCGGUCCUUUCUCAAUUAACCCCUCAAUUAAUCUAAUUUUCUCAAUUAAUACUUUACCUAGACAUUAUAAGUUAUUUCACAACUAUUGAAAUUCAAAAUUUCCACAUAUAACCCUAACUUCAAACUCUUUUACUAUUAGGUCCCAAACAUUCACUUUCUAAUGAAUUCUUUCAAUAAAACCAGCAUAUGAACAAUUUAAAGCUCUAAUUCCAUGAUAAAUUAUCAUAUACUUCCAGCAUGUAUUCAUAGCAACUUUCAAAUUCUUUCAUAGAAUCAAAAACUAAUGAGUUCAACAAGUGGGCCUAGUUGUAAAAGUCACAAAAAUACAAAAAUUUCAAGAAAUAAUCAAGAAUUGAACUUACUUGCAGUAAAAUAUGAAGAACCAGCUUAAGGAAACCCUUCUAUGGUGUUUUAGCUGAUGAGAAUGCAGAAAAAUGAAGAGAAAUCUAGAUAAUUCCACUUUGGUCCUAACUUUAUUAAGUCAAUUUUGCAAUAUUCCAAAUUUGCCCUUAAUUCUCCUGACUUUGUUGCUGAUUUCAUGCCCUUGCCGUCCAGCCCAAAUUGGCUUUGGGUCUAUUUUCCUUUUAAGCCCUUCUCCUUUUAUCAUUUAAGCUAUUUAAUCAUUUCCCAAAAUUUUGCAUUUGUUACAAUUUAGUCCUUUUUGUUCAAUUAAUUAUCAGAACUUUAAAAUUUCUUAACGAAACUUUAAUACUAACUUUUUGACACUCCAUAAAUAUUUAUAAAAAUAUUUAUGACUCAAUUUAAAAUCUCCGAGGUCUCGAUACCUCAUUUUCGAUUCUAAUUAUUUUAAUAUUUAUUUCUAGUACACUAUUCACUAUUUCAAAAAUUUUCUUAACUUCACAUUUAACUUAUACUCACUAAAUCAAUAAUAUUUUCUACCCAUUUGUUGAAUUUAGUGCUGAAGAAAUGGCCUACCAAUGAAUAGAUUAGUCUACUAACGUCAACAAUAUCUUUCUUCCUCAAAUCACCGUUCCGACACCUUUGAGAAUUCAGGCCAUUACAUUUUUUCUCGUCGAAUUUGUGGUCCCAAAACCAUUAUUCCAGCUAGACCCAAAAUAGGGCUGUUACAUCCUGCUUUGUAGACUUGGCUGAAUUUCUGGUGAGUUCCUAACUGCCUCCGAAUGUACUAAUGUCUAGAUGGUGGAUACUGUAGUGAAAGAUAUAUAGAUGAGGCGGUAUCCACCAGUAUAUAGGUCCAGUUAUAAUAUAUUUACAACAGAGUAGGUGAGUACUCCGAGGAUAGUACCCAAGAGUGGCUAGUGCUAGAACAAAUUUAUCCUAAACACCAAUAGAUCUAAUUAGUACUCGAAUUAAGUUAUAGUACGAAAAUAUAAAUAAAAGGAUUUUUUCAAAUUUUGAUAAUAAUAAAAUGUAAUAAUAAAGAAAGAAAGAAAUAUCAAGAGACUGAAAGCUAGAAUUAAUCAAAUUUGGUUAUGAGUGAUCAGCUUACUUUAGUAAUCUUCAUCAAUUGUCGCUUUGGGUUCCUCGUUAUUCAACUAGUCGUUAUCCUAGUAGGAUCUUCUGAUCUUUUACUCAAACAAUAAGUCGGCAAGGACUACUUAUCUUUUGAACUCACAGUCCAGACCAGCUUGGGGUGAAGGAGUUCACGAAUAAGCCAUACCAAUUUGGGUUAAUUCCCACCUUAAUGACUUCUUAGGGUUAUCAAGCUUAAGGUUUAGGUUUUUUCUUUCCCAAAUAGCUGAUCCGUUGAGUAACCCUAUAAAACAAUUAAUGGAUCAUACCUCUAGUCGCUAAUCCCCCAUAGAAGGAUUAGUUUCUCAUGGUUUUCAUAAAUAAAAUAGAAUCAAUAUAAAGAGUAAAUGUGAUAAACGAAUCGAAAGUAUAGAGUUUAAGAAAAAAGCCUAAUUUGUAUUAAGAAUGAACGCGAAUCCACAAAUCAAAUCUCUCGAGAUAAACAAAGAAUAAACUGAAAGUAAAUCUAAACCUAAGAAAAGAGAAAAACUAAAUUGAAAUUUAAAGUGAAAUUCUAUGCUAAGUAAUUGGUCUAUAUAAUGUGUGACAAAUGAGCCUAUUUAUAGAUUUCAGGUGGUUGUCGUCCUUAAACACUAGGUUAGCUAACGUUCCUGAGCUUUAAGUUUGAUUGCGCGAACCGAAAUGCCCCCUAGCUCGUGUUAAUUCCUAUCCAGAGUUGAUGUCGCGACACAUCAAGACCUAUGUUGCGACAAAGGAGUCAGUAUGUCUUCAGGAUGUCUUCAGGGGAUGUCUUCAGGGGUAUGUCGCGACACCCGUUGGCUGUGUUCUGACAUUGAAGGCAGUCUCGUGAUUUCUCUAUUAUGCUCCCUAUGUUGCAACCUUGAUCAUUCCGUGUUGUGACAUAGUGACCAGUAUUAGUUUAGUACGUCUUCUAAUGGUCUCUUACACACUUACAAAGUUCAUUAGCUCACCUUUAGGCAUCAUUCGAUCCCUAAGGUAAAUAAAAUACUCAAUUUGUACAUUUUAUUGUCUUCAAGAAAACUUACUAAAAUAUAAUUAAAACCUAAUGAAAAUGCUUACUUUCAAGCUCCUUAAGUGCGAAAAUUAGUUUAAUUUGCUACACCAAAUUACGGCAGAUCAGUUCCUUCUUACUUCCACAUGUGUAGUAUUCUUGCUUCAUAUUUUGUGUAAGAUAAGUAUUUAUACUUUACAAAACUGAAAUGUGUGUGUAUGAAAAAUGGUUAUUAAGAGUUGUUAGUCUGGGUCUGUAAAGUCUAUGUUAAAGCGUAUGAACCAUUCUUUAUACUUAAGCCACUACAUUCUGCUUCUAACAAGAAUGAUAUAGACUGAAUCAUGGGAAAGACAUUAAGGAAGUAUAUUCAUGUUGUCACUUUUGAUGGAAUAUACAUUGAACUGGCAUAUUGUGAUUCAUGAAAAUGGUUGUGUAUCCUGUGGUAGGGCAAUAGUAUGUUGCAAACCGGAAUGGAAAAACAUGAGAAAGAAUAUAAAACAAAGGAAUAUGAAUGGAAUGUAUGAUAUGAAUCUGACUAAGGAACUGAGUGCAUGGCUGACAUGAAGAAGGUUUGUCUGUAUGGUCAUAUGGGCGUAUUGUAUACAACAAAGAACAAGUAAACUGGCGUAUAGGUUGUCUGUGUAUGGUACUCACCAUCUGGCGAAUUUGUGUGAUUGUUUUUGAAUAUGUGAAAAUAUCUGCUUGAAGUAUUAGUAACUGUUGAUACGUUUUCUUCUGGAACUCACUAAUUUCUUUUGAACUUACUUAGUUACAUUUCUUUCUCACACUUGCUGUUGAAGAAAAGGAAAUUCUGUUAAACUAUGCUAGAGGACCUCUACUGUUGUGAGAAUUCUGUUAUUUUGUACAAUGCAUGACAUAAGGAGGUAAUGUCAAGAUGUUUAUUUUUGAGAAAAAAUUUGUAUAUAAAAUUUAUGUUUGAUACACCAUGUUUCUAAUAAAGUUACAAUAAAGUUUCAUGGGUUUUAAAGUGUAUUAUAUUAUUGCGUCUUGUAUGCCAAUUGGCUGGUACUUUACUUUUUUAACUGUAUUAGCAAUAAUUAAAACUAUGGGUUUAUAAAGUUUACACCAAAAACAAUUUAAGAUAAUGAUUUCAAAAUAGUGACACAACAUACUCAGAUCCUGCUAGAGGAUCGGGUUUGGCAUGUUACAACAACACUCACAAAAUGUGUUAAAAACACUUGUUUUAUUAACUUUUAUUCCUAAGACCUAAUUACCGAAAAUGAAAUAUAAAAUCCUAAAUUGCAAAGAAAAGAAGCUUUUUCAGUGCGGAAUUUAUCCGAAUUAACUACUACAUUUGACGGCAGAUCAAAUACCCCCACACUUAAGUAUUUGCUUGUCUUGGAGUAAACUACCCAAAAAAAAAUAAACCACGAAGAUAAACUAAAACAAGAAAUAAACAUGCAAAGAAAAUAAAAUAUACUUGAGCUAGCUUAAUACACGAGAUUGGGUCGAAACAUCAACACUAGGAAGAUUUGCCUAAAUAUAUAAUUCUAGCUAGAAAUUUAAACAAUUCAAAGUUAUUUACACCUAAACGGAUUAGUUCAAGAAAUUACAAAGUAAACAAGUUAAAGAAAGUUAAAUAUAUAUCACCAUCAAAAUGUAUAUAUGAAUAUAGUAUUUAUUUUUAUAGGGUCUAGUCAGUUCGAACAUUUUUUUCUAAUCGGUUUAUUUUUGUCCAUACUUUGAACUCUAAUGCAGUAAUAUUUUCUUUUUAAUUCAAACAUCCUAUACUUAUACAAAUAUAAUUACCUAUUCACAUCUACCUUUAUCACUUGGUAUAUUUAAUCUCGUUUACCUAUUUACAGUCUAAUAAACUAAACUAAUUAGUCUAAAAAUAAAUAACCUAAAUUAUUUAAUUUUAGGCUAAAUUUACAAUUUAAAAUAAUAACCUAGGUAUAUGCUCCUAACUAAUCACUUGUAUUUCUAUAAACUCAAUUACACGCACUCAAUAUAAAACUGAAAACUACUAAAAACAAAGAAAAGAAUAUAACUGAAAAAAAAAUUAAAAUUUUCCUAAGUCACCACCCACACUUUAUUAAUCACAUUUUCCCUAAUGUGCAAUUAACAAUGUAAAGGAAAGAGGUUACCUGAUCGGCGUGAUAUGUACAAUUCGAUUGGUGAGACUACUCCUCUUUUCGGUUUUGGCUCGCAAUGGUACUGCCUUAAAAAAAUUGUGGGGUUCCUAGAAAGAAAAUUAAAGCACACAAAUAUAUAUAGCAAAUACUAACUCCUAACUAAUUAAACUAAAGCAAAAAAAAAAACCAUCCAAGAAUAAAAAUAUAGUACAAAAUCCAAAAAUAAAAAUGUUCAAAAUUAGUUGGUCUCAGAUUCUGAGUCCUCUAUCAUUUGGACCUUACCUCUAUUGUGCCACGCCGUCAUUUUUGUAGCGCAUCUUUUUGAGGUUUGAGCCUGGCUGUGCUGGCUCAGGUUAUGGAUAACCACGACUUCAUCGAUGAGUGGUCUGGUCUAGAUACACACUCAUAGUCCGGUGGUGCAAUAGAGGUCUCCUUAUCAUCAUCAUUAUUGGCGUCUUCCUCGCCUAGGGGUGGGAACCUUUCGAACAUGUCGGGGAGUGGUGCUGGUGUGGGCCACCCAUUUUGUUUUGCAAUGUGGACCAGAAUGCCUCCCAUGUCUUUCAUCCAAUGAGUUGACUCUAAUAUCGGCAUGUUGACGAGGCUCGUCCUUUUCGAGAUGUGUGCUUUACCCUUCCUCUUCAUCAGGCCUUAGGUGUCACUCAUAUGUUCUGUCAUUUGUUCCUUCUACCGAUUUUUCUUGCGUUGGAGCUCGAGGAACUGGUUUUACGAGUUUUCCUCAAUCAAGUUCCUUGUGGGUCUUGUGAUUGGAUAGAUCGGUGACAUGAGGAUGUCGGCCUUGCGACAUAAGGUUAUUAUCAGAUGUGGGAAGGACAUACUCUGCUUUCAAUUUUGUAUGCACUUGAGCAUCUCCUUUUUAAUCCGGAGGCCGAUGCAAAUUUGCUCUCUCUAUAAGAUGAAAUAAAGCAUAACUCCUUGAUAGGUGGUGAUGUUAGAGGCAUUAUGGGUAGGCAAUAGGUGGUGCAAAUAAAUUGCAUCCACAUUUUGGUUAUUAGGAACAUGAUGGUCCUAUUAAAUUUUAGGGGCACCUUGGAGUUGGCUUGGCAAGUCCACUCGCCACGCCCUUUCGUCAGGUAGUUUAUUAUACCCUCCAUAUCAAAGUCUUCGAAUGUGAAUAAAUAUAACAAAUCCAAAUGAUCAUGGGUAUCAAACAGUGCAUCGUAAAUGUCUCGCUCCAGUACUUGUCAUUCUCCAUAUCUUUCAGGGAGGCAUAUAAUUUGUAUACUACCGCAUCAAUCGUCGAUUCAGUUGGGGUUGUAGAAAUUUUUUUCUGAUAAUGGAACUAUACCAACUCUCAUAUUUCAUCACAAGCAAACAUGGUGGGAUCGAACACAUGUUCUUGUAUAAAUGACCAUCCACUCAUUUGAAGAAAAGACCAUUCGACUUUCGUAUUAUGAAAGUGAUUCGCAUCGAGAUUACUUGGUGCUUGACUGGAUCAUUUUUAUUUUUGUGGUGCCAUAAUCAAAUUAAAAUAAAAUAACAACUAACUUAAUCGAUAAAAAUGAUAAAAAUAAAGCUUAGAACAUGAUACCUUGGGUAGUUGUCGAUGAAUCUCGACUCUUGAUUGAUGUGGAAUAUAACAAAAUAAAAGAUGAAAACUAAAAUGAAAAGAGAGGAAUAAUACUUACUUAAGUGAAUUAGAGGUUGGGAAUGCGAAAGAUUGAAGCUCGAUGGCGGGGAAGACAUGUGACAGCUCCAAUGGAGUGUUUUCUCUCUUUUAGGUGUUUUAGAAGUGUACUUUUAUGCCUAAAAUGGAUGACUAUAAAUAGAAUUUUGGCAACCUUUCUACCAGAAAUGACUCGAUUUUGGCUAAAAACACAAGCGUGUCGCGCCACAACCUAUGCGUGGUGUGACACAACGCCCUAAAUUGUCCCAUUUUACAUUCGAAGUGCUUGUGUCAUGUCAACACUUGUGUGUGGCAUGACACACCCAUUUAACAUUAGUUGUCCUUCGAAAAGCUAACAUCACAUCACAAGCUAUUUGUACUGCGACAUGACAUUAUUGCCAGCCCUUUGGGGUAUGUCAAUGUCCUUCGGUUGUCCAUUUUCAUCCUCGUUUAGCUUUCUGUCGUCCCAUUAUGUCCAAAAAUCUAAAUUCUCCUAAUUAUAAGAUGUAAUUGCACUAUAACUAUCCUAAUUAUCUUAAAAUCUAAGUGCAAACUAGAAAUUGAAACUAGUUUACAAAAUUUUACAAAUUUAUUAAAUUUCAAUGGUCCAUGUUAUGUCGUGCUACCAAAUUUGUCCAACAAUUCUUUAAAGUUCACCAUCUACUUCAACCAUCAUUCACGGUCUUCUCAGCUAUUCCAAUUGCCCUUUUUUCCAUCAAAGUCUUACAAUUUGUCUCAUUCUCGCCUAUUAUGAGUGCUUACACAUGCAUAACUCAGGAAAUAUUUUCGAUCAAGGCUGUUAGGGAUUAAAUAUAAUAAAUCAUAACAUUAGUCCCUAACUAAUCCCUCACUUUGGGAUUUGCAGCCACAUUUGAAUACUUUUACCCCGUCAUUGAUCUUUAUAAUUAACUGAUUUUGUUCGAUAUGAAUCGUGGAUUUAAGAGUGACUAUCACGUGUGAAUAUGAUGUACGAAUUGUACAAGUGUACACGUCGAAUCAAGUAAUAAACUGAUGAGUGAGUAUCGUUUUCACGAGGAUUGGAUGAGUGCUUUUUGUCUAAGUUAUCACAAUUGAAAAAAAUAUAAAUGUAUCAAACAAUGUUUAAUGAAAUUACAAUGGGGUUAACACAUUAGAAGUGAAAGUAAUGAAGUAUACUAGCAAAGAUUACCAUUUGAAAAAAUAAAACAAGAUUACUAAGGACUUUAGCAACUACUGCUAAAUCUCAACCUUAGGGUUACUCACCCUUAAUGCAGUAUAUGUCUAUAGGCUCGGGAUUAGCAACUACUACUAAAUCUCAAACCUCUAAAUCCUAUAAGGUAAGACUCUAUGUCUAGAGUUUACACAAGUAUUUCACUUAACACUAAUUUAUAUUACCGAACUUCAGUCCAGGUAACCUAAUCCUGUCAGUGUCAAGCUACCUUAAGACUUAUUGAGCAUUCAUCAACACUCUCUUAAGCAUUAAAAAAAACAACCAUUGGGUAAAGUAGUAAUAUGAACCAUAUUAAUCCAUAAACAUUAAUUGAAGUUAAAACAUCAUCCAAAGCAAACCCUAGCUGUAUUAAGUUAGCUUAUGGCUAGGCUACACAAAUUCAAGUUGCUUAAUAUCUUCAAUAUCCUAAAAUAUCAGUUUAGAAUAGAAGAAUUGAAACAAAAUAUAGAGGAAGAAAUCUAGGUUUCAAAACUCAAAUCCCCCCACUACCAAGUGUGAUUGCUUUACAUUGUUCUUUCUCAUGUGGUCUUGCGUUCUCGGUAUUACUUGGAAAAGUUCCUUGUGAUCUUGAGUUCAAAGCAUUAGGUAUCUGUCCUACUUGAUUUGCUAAAGCUUUUAAUGAUGAUCCUUGGCUCUAGAUCACAACAUCGUUCUUGGCCAUAUAAUCAUUCAAUAGAGACUCAAUAUAUGAGGAAAAUGAUGAUAUCUGUCCUUGUUGAACUUGUUGUUGAUGCAGUAUAGACUGGUUGAAACCAGAUGGAACAUUCAUGGCAUUGGGUUUAAUAGUCGUGUUGGAAUUUCCAGCUCCUUGAUUGUUCUACCCAAAAAGUGGGUGUUGUUUCCAACUAGGGUUAUAAGUGUUGGAAUAAGGACAGUUGCUCCUAUUGAAGUUUCUCAUAUAGUAGACAGAUGUUGGGUUCGAGGGACACUCUUUAAACACGUGAUCCUCACCAUAAUAAACAUAAGAUAACCCAGUUUCUUUCAGCUCUUUUACCUCACCAGGCUUCUGCAUGGUCUUUAUCAUGUUGGCUAAAGAAGAUACCUGAGUAGUAAGCGAGGUAAUAGCAUCAAGUUCAAAUGAUCUAGCGACUCUCCUACCAGUUCUAGCUUUGUUCUAGGGUAUUGAUAAUUAUUAUUCGUGAUUCUCUCCAAAAUAUCGUAGGCUUCAUUGUAGGACUUAUCCAACAAAGUUCUAUUAGUUGAAGCAUCAACCACCAUUCGUGUCUGAGUUUGAGUUUGAGUUUGAGUUUGAAGGCAUCUUCAGGGAUACCUUGCUGUCUGAAAGAAUCACAGACCUCCAAGAAAAGUCUCAAGUGCAAUAUGGGAUCUUCAGUUGGCAAACCACCAAACUGACCAAUUGAUCUUUUGAAGCAUUAGAGGUUUUAGUUUAAAGUGGAGAGCUUGAAUUUGUGGCCUGACUAUUCCAGGAUUCAGGUUGUCUAAGAUAGCUACUACAUGAUCUCAUAUUGGCCUAUCCUGAUCAUCAAACUUCUAAGCAACAGGAGGCUUAAAAAUCGGAGCACCUGGAUUAAGUUUCUCAUUCAUAGCAAGUGGAUUGUUACUGUCUUGAUUCAUUACUCUUUGUUCUCUUCUCCUUCUUAGUAAGUUCCUUUCAAUUUCUAAAUCUAAGGGAUAGAGUCCUUCAGCAGGAGUGUCUUUACAAAUAGAACUAGUAACAGAGCUAUUGAUAUCACGAAACAAACAAAUUAGCAAAUAAAACUAUGAAAAUUGCAAAAACAAAAACUAAAGUUAGAAAUAACAAAUCCCUAGCAAUGACACCUAAAACUUGUCUUGUGUGAAUAUGAUGUACGAAUUGUGAAAGGGUACACGUUGAAUCAAGUAAUAAAGUGAUAACUGAGUAUUGUUCUUAUGAGGAUUGGAUGAGUUCUCUUCAUCUAAGUUAUCACAAUUGAACACAAAAGAUAAAUGUAUCGAAUGAUGUUUAAUGAAAUUAAAAUGGGAUUAACACAUUAGAAGUGAGAGUAAUGAAGUGUACUAGCACAGAUUACCAUUGUAACAAAUAAAAUAAGAGUACUAAGAACUUUAGCAAUGUUGGAAUAUUGGUCGUGAAGGUUGGGAUUACUAAGGGAUCUAUUCUAAACAGUGAACAAUGUUGUAGGCAAAACUAUGGUGAACUGACUGUUCGAUUGGGUACUAAUAUGGUUUACCUCUGCCGAAAUCUAGACCUAGGGAUACUCACCCCUAAGGCACUAUAUGUCUAUAGGCUCAGGCUUAGCAACUACUACUAAACUUCAACCCUUUAAAUCGUAUAAGGUAAAGCUCUAUGUCUACAGUUUACAUGAGUAUUUCACUCAGCACUUUCUUAUUUUAUCCAAUUUCUGUCCAAGUAACCUAAUCCUUUUGGUGUCAAGCUACCUUAAGACUUAUUAAGCAUUCAUCAACACUCAAUCUAGCUUUUAAACAAAAAUAACCAUUGGGUAAAGUAGUAAUAUGAACCAUAUUAAUCCAUAAACAUUAAUAGAAGUUAAAACACCAUCCAAAGCAAACCCUAGUUGUAUUAAGUUAGCUUACGGCUGGGCUACAGAAAUUCAAGUUGUUUUUGUAUCAUCAAUAUCCCAAAAUAUUAGUUUAAAACAGAAGAAUUGAAACAAAAUGCAAAAGAAGAAAUAUGGGUUUCAAAACUCAAAUCCCUCAAACUUGGCAUCUUGUUGCUCGUCUUCACCAAAGUUCACAAUCAGCUCAUCUUACCCUUCUUGCCACAAUAAGACCUCUGUCCAAGCUCAGAAAAAUUGUCAUUUUUUUUUCUUCUCUCCCCAUUUUAUUACCUUUUAUACUUGGUUUGUCUUCUAGGGUAAAAUUCGUCACCCAAUGAUGGCUUUUUCACUAAUUUUAAGGUUAAUAAUCUCUAUUGCACGUGCAUGUGGGGGACCAAAUGGUGAGUACUCUCAUUGCUGACUUGGUGUUUGUCAUUUUCUUCACCAGUAUUGCCAUGGCAACAUCUCAUAAUGCCUCAGAAAACCUCCAUCCUCUACUAUCCAUCUCCCUUAAACCUGCCAUUUAUCCACAAAAAGACCUUUCCACGAGCAAUUAAAAAUAAAGAUGCAAUAAAGUAAUCACCAUAUCAACGUCUUAUAUUCACUGCUCGAUUGACUAGAAAUGAUCAUGCAAUUACCAAAAAUAAAGCUAAUUUUACUUAAGUACAAGUAAUUAAUUAAGUGUAAAAGUAUAAAUUAUAACUCUUUUUAGGAGUUAUUACACAUCCAGACCUGAAUUAUUGCUUGUCCUCAAGAAAUCCAAUGCAACCUAACAACUAAUGCAUGCUCUAAUGCACUUCAUUGCCUAUACUUACACUAUCAAGUUGAUUAAACAUUGCCAAUUUUCAGUCUCUAGAAUACCCUACACUCAAGAAUAUGUGCAAUCUGUCCAAUAAAAACUCAUCAAAUCCAGAAAUGCAAGAACCUUUCUCUAAAAUCAGAAUUUCCUUAAAUGUAUUUGUGUGCAUUGAUUGUAUUUCGUCAAUUCUUAAAGAACUUAGGAAUUCCUGGUCUAACUCACUUGUUAUCGCUUUCAACUUGAUUUUAUCUACUACUUCUCCCAUUUAUUGCUUCACUCUUUAUUUUUGGGAAUUCUUCUCACCACACAUGCCUUUCUACUUGGAAGUGAAGAUGGAGCAAACACCAAACUCUCAAGCUACUUAGCAGUCUUCCACCGCGGAGUGUUCUAAAAUUACUUUAAGGUACUCUUAUUUAAAACUUUUUUCUUCCCAAAAGUAAAGAUGGAGCAAACACUAAACUCUCGGGCUACUCAAUGAUACAAAAAUUGGAGUCUUUAAUACAAAACUUAGCUUAGCAAUUUAUGCUUCUGGGAGUUUAAAUUUAGCAUUUCAUUUGCUACAUUGGUGCAUUUCAGCUCAAGGACUUCUAUAAGAAACUAUGAGUUUUAGUCCAAAAAUUCCUAAGUUCAUUAAGGAUUGAAUGAAUACAAUCUAAGUGUCAUAGAUAUGAUUAAGAAUUCUAACCUUAGGAGUAUAUUCUAUUCAUUUCCCUUCUAUAUCUCGCAAAAAAAUUUAAGGGCUAUUUUCAUCAUUGGACUUCACUAAAUUAGCUAUCAUACAAUAAACUCAAUAAUGCUAUAACAAAUAAUUCUUUAUUAUUUACUAGAAUGCAUGAAAUGCUAGGGUAAUUAAGUAUGUCUAUAAGGAUAACAUAUAUAAACGAAUGAUGCAAUAUGAAACUAAAUUCUAAAAUGCAUGCUACACCCCCAAACCUAAGGGAUGCAUUGUCCUCAGUGCAUGAGGCUUAAAAUGAACAAAAUGCAGUGUGAUUUAUUUAUUUAACACAGGGUAAAUGAAACUCACUAACAACUUGUGGUGAUGGUACUUUACUGCUUGCAGGUUGAUUUUCUUGCUAUACGUUUGUAUCUUACCUUUUUUUUAAGUGUCUAAAUGGGUGGUUUCUUUUCUUCCUUUUCAAACUCAGUGAUCUCGUCAAUGAUUCAAUGGAUUUCAUGGUCUUUUUCAGGCAUGGCUUCUGUUGGUGGAGGUGGGACAGCUUCAUUACUGUCCUUCUGUCGUCCAGUUGUAGGGGUGGUUUCAUUUUGUUCUUCUUUCUCGCCUUUAGUAUUCACAUGCUUUGUUUUCUCUGGUUCAUCCUUCGUUGCUUUCCCUAUUUCAAGAUUUUCUCUCAAAGUUGCAGGCUCUGCCUUGUCAGAUGACACUUUAACUGGUUCCUCCUCAGCACGUUAAGCCUCAGGAAGUGGUAGCAAAUCCUUGGGGAAAUUAGGAAAUUUUGUCAUUAGUUUAGUGAAGUUUUUCUGUAGGGAUCUUUUUAGAGCAAUAUCUCGAUCCUUCACAAAGUACCAAUAGAGUGCUUGUUGUUCUUGAUCCUUUGUCAUUUCUUUAGUAAUUUGAUAUUGUUGAAUCUCACAUAGUGAUAUUCUUUGCUCCAGUUGCUCUAAGGAUUGCAUCACUUAUUUUUCAAAUUGACAGCACUUAUUUUGACUCUUGUCAUUGAUUAGUCUUGAAGAAUCCUUGUGAGUUUUCUAUGUCUAAACAGGAAAAUGAUUUGCAAAACUACUUAAGAGAAGUUAGUAGGAGGAAGUUUAGAGUUCAAGAAGGGAUGCAAGGGAGGUUAAGAAAGAUGAAAAGAGAAAUGUUGUGUACCUGUAGGUAAAUGAAAGAGUGUUAACAGUUGAAGAGACGUAAAUAGGGGUAAUGGGUUGACCAGUUUGUAUAAACUUAUAGGGUAUGUAGUGUGAAAAAGAAGGAAGAGGAAAAAGUAAAAAGGGUUUUGGAGGGAACCCUAGAAUUACGUGGCCCUAAAAAUGUUUGGCACUUUCUUCACGGGCUUCCUAAUCAGGAUAGGGUCCAACUGUCCAAAAUCUUUUCCUUGGACUUUUUCUCUCUUUUCAACCCAUAUUUUCUUUCACUUUAAUGUCCACUUACCCACUCUGUUGUUGCAUAAUUUACUUCUUGAUUGCUAGGGCAAACACCUAUUGGUACUACAUCUAUCGUGCUUGCACCUUCAUUCUUUCUUUGUACUUCUUUUAAAAUCUGUAAAAUAAUAAAAAAUAUAACUAGAAUUGAAAAUAACAUCAACUAAUUAAAGAUGAAAGCCGAAAAAGCAAAAUUAAAGUAAAAAAAAAAAGAAAAUAAAGACAGGAUAGAGAUGUUACGCUUAAAUAUCUCUAAGUUCAAUAGAUUGUUUGGCUUGAUUUACAUGAGCACCCCAGUAGUGCUUUAAAUGUUGUCUAUUGAAUUUAAAUGUGACCCCUAUCUACAUAUCCUUGACAUCCACUGCUCCAUGAGGAUUGAAACUUUCCUAUGCUGAAAUCCACGCAUAGGACAUUUCCUAAACAAAUCUUUGAACCUUUCCUAUGCUUUAUACAAUGUUUCAUCCUCUAGUUGCUUGAAGGAUGUUAUGUCAUUUCUUAGUUUGGCAUUCAUAUUGAGUGGGUUAUAUCACAACAGAAAUAUAUGACAAAGAUCAUUCCAUGAUUCUACUAUUCCAGAUGGUAAAUCUUUGAACCAUGUUCUAGUACGAUCUCUUAAAUAAUAGGGAAACAAUUUUAGUUUUAGGGCAUCUUCAGGUACACCCGAUUCAGUUGCUCAUUCAUAGCAGGUGGAUUGUUAUUGUCUUGAUUCAUUGCUCUUUGUUCUCUUGUCCUUCUUAGUAAGGUCCUUUCAAUUUCUUGAUCUAAGGGAUAGAGUUCUUUAGCAGAAGUGUCUCUACAGAUACAACUAGUAACAGGGCUAUUGAGAUCACAAAACAAACAACUAAAACUAUAAAAAUUGCGAUAGCAAAAACUAAAGUUAGCAAUCACCAAUCACCGGUAACGACGCCAAAAACUUGUCGCAUAUGAAUAUGAUGUGCAAAUUGUACAAGUGUACAUGUUGAAUCAAGUAAUAAAGUGAUGACUGAGUAUCGUUCCUACAAGGAUUAGAUGAGUGCUCUUUUUCUAAGUUAUCGCAAUUGAACAGAAAAGAUAAAUGUAUUGAAUGAUGUUUAAUGAAAUUAAAAUGGGAUUAAAACAUUAGAAGUGAGAGUAAUGAAGUAUACUAGUAGAGAUUACAAUUGCAACAAAUAAAAACAAAAGAACAAAGGAAUUUAGCAAUGUCUGAAUAUUGGUCGUGAUGGCUGGGAUUACUAAGGGAUCUGUUCUAACCUGUGAAUAGUGCCCUGACAAAACUAUGGCGAACUUACUACUCGAUUGGGUACCAAUGUGGUUUUCCUCUGUCGAAAGUAAGAUCUAGGGUUAGUCAACCCUAAGGCACUAUAUGUCUAUAGCCUUAGGAUUAACAACUACUACUAAAGCUCAACUCUCUAAAUGGUAUAAGGUAAGGCUCUAUAUCUAGAUUUUGCAUGAGUAUUUCACUCAACACUCACUUAUAUUACCCAACUUCAAUCCAGGUAACCGAAUGCUGUUGGUGUCAAGCUACCUUAAGACUUAUUGAGCAAUCAUCAACACUCUCUUAAGAAAUUAAACAAAAAACAACCAUUGGGUAAAGCAGUAAUAUGAACCAUCUUAAUCCAUAAACAUUAAUCGAAGUUAAAACACCAUUUAAAGCAAACACCAGCCGUAUUAAGUUAGCUCAUGGCUAGGCUACACAAAUUCAAGUUUUUUUCGUAUCAUCAAUAUCCCAAAAUCUCAGUUUAGAAUAGAAGAAUUGAAACAAAAUGCAGAGGAAGAAAUAUGGGUUUCAAAACUCAAAUCCCCCCAACUUGGUGUCUUAUUGCUCGUCUUCACCAAAGUUCACAAUUAGCUCAACUUGCCCCUCUUUCCACAAUGAGACCUCUAUCCAAGCUUAGAAAAAUUGUCAUUUUUUCUUUUUGUCUCUCUCCCUUUGAUUGCCUUUUAUACUUCGGUUAUCUUCUAGGAUAAAAGUUGUCACCCAGUUAUGGCUUUUUCACUAAUUUUGCAGUGAAUAUUCUCCAUUACACGAGUAUGUGGGCAACCAAAUGGUGAGUGCUCUCAUUGUUGACUAGGUGUUUGUCAUUUUCGUAAAAUCGUAAAAUUACUUAGAUCUUUUAAUUUUGAGGGCACAAAUUUGGGUACCUCUUCGAUUGGCUUGUAGUGCUUGACUUCUUCCUCUUCCUUCAUGGGUUCAUCAAUGUCUUUUGUGCUUUUCUCCUAUUCAUGGAUGGAUAUUAUUGGCGACUUUAAUGGCUUCCGCAAUCGCAUCACGAUCGCCUUUACAUGCUUCUUCCAUAUCUUCGAAGAUUAUUCUCCGUAUUGCUUGGGCCCCAUGUAGUUGCUCCGGAUCUAGGUAUUAUUCAAUUGGAGUGUUGGAGCUUCGGGUCAUCAACAUCUUGAAAGGAAAAUAAAAAAUAAAAAAACUAAAAUUGUAUCUAUAUGUUUUAACUUUUCUACUUAUCUUAUUAGUUGUAAAAAUUUAUUUUAAAAAUUUAUUCCCGAAACCUCCUCGACAAUGACUCCAACAACUUGACCACCUAUAAACGCAUUACCAUUUAUAGUAAAAAUAUAAUACUAAAAACAUAAGAAUUAUGAAUGGCAGUCUCUGCAAGUGCACGAGUCAAAUUGUAAUAUAGUUUAUACAACGAAAUACUUGGAAGUAUUUCAAGGAUCGUACCCAAGGGAGGAUGUAAUAAUUUAUGAAAACGUUUUAAUAAUAACAAGUCCAAGUAGUAGUAAUUAAUUCCUAUAUUAAAAUGAACCAUAAAACAAGUAAUGAGAUAAAAAUAACUAAAUAAAGAAAAGAAAGAAAGAAGAAAAGUAAACAAACGAAAUAAAUCAAUAAACCAAUCAAGAAGGUUAACUCGCUUCAAGGUUUGUAACUAACUUCAUAUUAAGGUUUUAGAGUGGAUUAGCUACCGGUUAACCAAUUAUUACGUCCUGGCCUCUAAUUAACUAAUCGAUUGGUUGAUAAUUGCUUAUCUCCUAACAUCACUUUCAGAACUAGGAUAAAUUAUGGUUUACUCAGUUUGACUUAUCUCCCGACCUUGUCUAGCCUAUGAUAACUUCCUACGGUAGUCAAUCCUAGUGGUUUAAGCAAAUGAAAUCAUACCAACAAAUCAUUCACGGGAAAAGCUAAAUCCUUCAUUAAUCACAUUUUCACCCAAAUAAACCCAACACUUAAAGGAAAGGAAAACUAAAACUAAAAUUAUAGAGAAAAGCUUAAAAUCUGAAAACCCAUACUAAACAAGUGUCUAAAGAGCUUAUUUAUAGAGUUAUGUUUUUUUGUCAUCCUCAACCCUAAGUUAGCUAUCAUUUUUAUGUUAAUUUACAUUUUGUGGACCAAAACACCCCUUGAUCAUAAUUGUUCCUAUACAGGCUCGGUGUCACAGCACCUUAGUGUCUAUGUCACGACACUGAAGGCAGUAUGCCUGGUUCAGGUUUGGCAUAAAAGGAAAACUUGAAAUUGUUGUACUAUGGUCCCUAUGUUGCGAUAAUGAACUUCCCCUGUUGCAACACAACAACCAACCUUGAGAUCCUAUGCCUUUGAAUGGUAUCAUGCACACUCACUAAGUACGUUAGCUCACCCUUAGGCCUCAUUCGGCCCCUAAUGACAUCAAAAGACUUAAAACAUAAUAAAAAUGUUUGUAUUCAAGCUCCUUAAUUAUGAAAACUAGUUUAAUUUGCUCCAUCGUAUUAUACCAGAUCAUGUAAUGACUAGUUGAUUGAGUGGAAACCUGAAAUCAAAAGUAGUUAUUACCGUCGAAGCGAGCUAAUCUUAGAUUUGGUUGAAUUACAUCGUAAGUUUUCCCUGUUCAAUUUAUUUUGCUUGUUUAUUUCUUUAAUUAUAUUCCUAAAUGAUUUCUUCACUUUAUGUUCGUCAUAAUAUAAUUUAUUUAAAGUACUAAUUAUAUCUAUUUUCAUUUAGGUUAAUAUUAAUUUAGUACUAGCCUCCUUUGGGUACGACCCUUGGAGUACUCACCUACUUCGUUGUAAAAAACUAUAUUACAACCUGACCCGUAUACUUGCUAUCACCGCCUCAAAUUUCGUAUUUUAGUAGUAGUAUUCACACUUUGGACGUUAGUACGUACGAAGGCGGUUAAGUUGUUGGUGCCUUUGCCGUGAUGGCAACAUCACUAGAUUAAUUUUCAUUUAUAGAUACGAUGUAUUUUAUUUUAUUUUUACUAAUGCUUUUAUUUUUCUUUGUGGUUUCAGUGUAUGACUUGAAGUGGGAGAACACCUAUCGAGCCGACCACUAAUCCAGAAAUAACAUGUUUAUUUUUAUUUUAGUUUUAAAGUCUACAUGAUAACACGUUUAGAAGUGGUCAAGUUUUUGGCGUCGUUACGAGGAGGUUUUGGCAUUAAAUUAAAAUUCCAUUUUCUGCAAAUAAUAAGAUUAAUAGAAAAGUUAAAAAUUAUAGAUAUGUUUCCUUUUAUUUUCUAAUUUUUAUUUCUUUCUCUAUUUUAGGUUUUAGUGUAUGACUCAAAACGGGAGUAUCACAAUCGAUAUGUACCAUGAUCUGAAGAAACUUUUAAAGCGUAAUUGUCAACUAAGAGUAGAUGACCUAGCGCUAGUAAUUGAUUUACCCCGGGAUAACCCAUGGUUUGAUGAUCCACCCAAACAACAAGAGGAAAUUCAUGGAGAGCUACAGAUGGCUCAACGAAUAUUGCACGAGUUCGCACUACCAAUAUUGGAUGCCAUUCGAGGCGGUAUUGAAAGGUCAAAAAUCAAUGCAAAUAAUUUGGAGAUGAAGACAACUAGAAUCCAGAUGAUCCAGAACACAUUACAAUUCAAAGGAAAUAUGAUGGAGGACCCAAACUAACAUUUGAAGCGAUCCGUUCAACUAUGCGACACCUUUAAAUAAAAUAGAAUGACCGAUUAUGUUGUUCGUCUUCGAUUAUUUCCGUUCUUAUUCUAUAAGGCGACCGAAUGGUUAGAUUCACUACACCCAGGCUCAAUCACGACAUUGGAUGAACUAGCAGAAAAUUUUCUCCAUAAAAUUUUCCCUAUAAGCUGAACUAUUCAACUCCGACACGAUAUGGCAAAUUUCAAACAAUUCGAAGGUGAAACAUUGUAAGAAGCAUGAGAGAGAUUCAAAUCAAUGCUACAAAUGUGUCCUCAUCACAGACUACAAUAAUAGAUCCAAAUCCAAAUUUACUACAAUGAAGUAGAUGGAAACAUAAGGGCUAGCAUAGACAGAGUAGCCGGAGAAUCUCUACGCACCACACAUAUGAGAGAGCAUACCAAACUAUAAAUUAUAUGGCAAUAAACUUGUACAUGUGGCCAAAUGAGAGAUUCACUUAAAGACUCAAACCUCUAACCAUGAAAACAAUUAGUGAAGAAGAUAAAUAUCAACAAAUUUUGGAUAAACAGAAUCGACUAGAAAUGAUCAACAAACCUACAAGGAUAGAGCCAUACAUGGAGAACCAACCGGAGGAUGUUAGCUAUAUUGGUAACAAGGUAAGAAAUCCCUAUUCAAACACAUAUAAUCUUGGUUGGAAAGAUCAUCCGAACCUCAAGUGGGGUAGUAACCAAGGAGGAGGAAAUCAAGUGCAGAAUAGAUUGAAUCCUCCAUACCAACUACCUCAUAUGCAAAGAAUGCAAGAAAUAUCUAUGGGAUAUUGACCGCCUCCAAACGUUCUAAUGUCCAGAGUGUGAAUACUAAAACUGCAGAUAUGGAUUUAAGGCGAUGUCUGCAAGUAUACGGGUCAAGUUGUAAUAUAGUUUUACAAAAAAACAGGUAAGUACUCUGAGGAUCGUACCCCAAUGAGGUGAGUACUAAAUUAAAUUUAACCUAAGCGUAAAUAAAACUAAUUAGUAAUUUAAAUAAACUAUAUUAUGAUAAAACAUAAAGAAUGAAUUUUUAGGUUUUUAUAAAUAAAGAAAUAAAACUACAUAAAUAAAAGGGACUUCAAAAAAAACCAAUUUCUAAACUUAAUCAAAUGUAGACAUGGGUGAUUAGCUCACUUUGGUGAUCAUAACUAAUCCCUAUUUUGGGUUUCUAUUCAAUCAACUAGUCAUUGCCUUAGCAGGAUCUUUCGAUCUUCUACUAAAAUAAUGAGUCAAAAAAACUACUUAUCUCUUAACCUCAUAGUCUAGACCGGUUUGGGGCUAAGGUGUUCACAGAUAGGCCAUACCAAUUUUGGGUUAAUUCCCACCUAUAUGAAUUCCUAGGGUUAUCAAGCCUGAGGUUUAAGUUCUUCCUCUCCCAAAAAAUUGAUCCGCUAAGAAAACCCUACAUAGCAAUUAAUUAAUCACACAUCUACUCAUAAAUCCCCCAUAAGAGGAUUAGUUCCUCGUGGAAUCCAUAAACAUCAUAAACUCAAUAAUAAAUAUAUGCAUAAAGAGUAAAUCAAGAAUACAGUUUAGAGAAUCCUAUUUUUAUUUGAUAGAUGAAGUACAAAAAUCCACUAGCGUUUGAUCUUUUUUACAAAUCACAUUCCUCGAAGAACACAAAAUAAAAAAGAACUAAAAAUAAACCUAAGGCGCAAAAGAAAGGAAAAUUGAAAACUAAAAUUACAAAGAAAAACUUAAAAUACAAAAAGUUGUCCUAAACUAGUGCUAAAUGAGCCUAUUUAUAUAAUUAGGGUAGUCUUCGUCCCCAACCUUAGCUUAGCUGACAUUCUCGUGUUUAAUUUCCAUUAUCCGGAUCAAAACACCUUUGACUUAUAGUUAAUCUCGUACAGGGGCAGUGUCGCAACAUCGAAAUUAUUAUGCUCAGGUUCAAAGGUGGCUUCAAGGGUGUGUCGCAACAUCCCAUUGUUGUGUCACGACACCAAAGGCAGACUUGAAAUUCUUGUAUUAUGCUCCAAAUGUUCCGAAUUCAAACUCCUUAUGUUGCAACACAGCAACUAGUUUGAGUUCCUAUGCCUUUGAAUGGUCUCCUACACACUUACUAAGUACAUUAGCUUGCCUUUAGGCCUUAUUUGGCCACUAAGGUCAAUAAAACACUCAAAAUACAUUUUUUAUUGAAUUCAAAAUAAAAUAUGAAAACAUAACUAAAACAUAAUAAAACUGUUUGUAUUCAAGCUCCUUAAGUGCAAAAACUAGUUUAAUCUGCUACACAAAAUUAUGACAAAUCAAACUUCCCCGCACUUAAGUUAUUUCUUGUUCUCAAGCAAGGUAAAAUAAAAACAAAAAAUAAAUGACGACCCUUAAGCAAGUAUAGUACUAAGAUAGGUUUUAGGGUACAUAACUAGGCAUUUUCAUAUUUACACAUAAUCCUGGCAUGAUAUAUAAAGAACUUACCACUUUCAAUAUAAAACACAAAGGUUCAAUUUAUUACAAAGUAUAAACACUUUAAGGUUUUCAAAUAUAUUACCUAGGUCACAUAGGGCUUUUCGGGUUGUAAUGUUCUAAGGCUUAGAACAGGUAUGAAAUUCAAGAACAGGAAGCAUAAAAACAGUUUCAAGCAUGAAAAUAGUUUGGCACAUCAUGUUGUUCCCUAUUCUUCCCGUUUAGUAACCUUUACCCACUCACCGCCUUAUUUCUCCUUCUCUCUCAUUCCUUAUUUCUCCACAUAAGAAGUCAUAGCAUAUUACAACAACUACGACUAGCUUACGAGUUUUUAUGACUAAUGACUGACAUUUUCUACUUUUGUGACUUUUUCACUUUUUUGAUGUUUUUGUACACAUCUCACUCACAAUGCUUUUGCUUUUCAUGUGCUUUUUCUACUCAUUUUGAUUUUCUUUGUAAAUUCUUAUUUUGUCUUGCACAUGUUAGCUAACCUAUAAUUCCAAUAUCACACUGCUUCUUCCUAUUUCACUCUAUUUUUACAAAAUCCACCAUGAUGUAUUUACUUAACCCUCAAUAGGUAUGGUCAGACAUCUAUAUUUUGGCUCGAGUUUUGCAUAAAGUUCAUCAAGAAAUGUCUUUUGGCUCAAAAUAAGGACUAAGGAUUUAUAAACAGGGUUAGCUUUUUUUGCUCUAAGUGUAAACCAAACAAUGCCUUAGGUCAUCCCUAGGUUUUUUAAUAUUCACAAAUUAAAUCAAUCAAACAAUCACAAGUUCAACUAUUUAUCAUUCGUGCUAGCAUGCUCGUUUCCCUUAUUUUCUGUCUCAUUCGGUAUAUUGACUGCCUCUAGACGUACCAACGUCCAAAUUAAAAAUCUUGUACAAAAUAUAUGAAAUAAGCGGUGUUUGCAAGUAUACGAGUUAGGUUGUAAUAGAGUUACAAUAAAGUAGGUAAGUAUUGUAUCGUCACUUGAUUAUGUGCAAGUGUACACAGUCAUACCAGUAAUAAGUAGUAAGUAAAAGAACUAUCGUCUCCACAGGGACUAUGUGGUAAUUAUUUGCAAAGUUGAUUUUUAAUCGAUUUGGUUAAACAAGAUAAAAAAGAAUAAAUUUUGAUGGAAUGUCACAAUUUAAAUUAUAGAAUUAAAUCAAUGUUCAAAUACCCAUAAAACAAAACAACAUACAUUGCAAAAAUGAUCACAACAUGAAAUAAAAACAAGGCAUAAUAUAACAUAACAUGAAUAAACUAAAAUAAAAUAUUUCACUUUAACAAGAAUUCAUUAGUAAUCAUCAAAAGAAUAUUAUGAGAGAUUCGUGGCAAUAUGUGAAUUCAUUAAACUCAUUUUAAUUAAAACAUAAGCUUCUCCCAAAGUCCAAUUAUGUUCCUAAGUUAAUUAGUAUAUUCCUAUGUCAAAAACUAACUUAGAAAUCACCCUCUCGGGAAUUUAAAAAGUUUAUGCAUACAAAAAUUAUCUUCCGAAAUCAAAAUGAUAUGCACAAUUUAGAUUUUAUGUCUAUUAACUAUUACAUCUUCCCAGAUAAAACAAUUAAUUCAAUAAUUUACGAAUGUUAGCCAUACAUUCACAAGUAUAAACAUGUUUUAAACCUAAAUGAAUGAAAUAAUCAUGUGUACAAAAUAUUCAAGAAACAAAUAUCUAAUGAACUCAAAUCAAGAUUCAUAUUUAUUUUGAAUAAAAGAUUAAGUCAUGUCAUAUUAAACUUAAAAUAUAAAGAUGAGAUGCAAUCUUGUCUCUCGACAUAGAAAAAAUAAUUUAACAUAAAGAGAAGGAUAAGCAAGAGUAGCUGAGGGGGAUAUCCAUGGCCAAUUCACAAUAUGAAGAGUAAACAACUGAAUGCAGGGGGGCUAUCAGCGGCUGCUCCUUGCAACUUCCCAUGGUGGCUUUCCUCCUCAUCUUUAGGUUAGAAAUCACCUAAACACCUUCAAGUUGAUGUCCUAGCUGCUCUCAUUUUGACAAGUGAUUGCCUUAUUUUGUGGACAGAGUGUCUAGAAAGCCGUGAGAAAGGCAAGAAACACUUAAGAAAGAUUUAAGGCCCCUAGCCCGUAGCUAUCGCCAAAACAAUGUUACGAAGCAUUACCGGGGUUUACGUAUCAAACAGACAGAAAUUUCAAACGUUUUAUAACAUAUCAAUAUUCAUAUUAAAAACAAUCAAAAUCAUAUAUAUUGUCCCUUAUACGAGCCCUCAAGGCUCGAAAUAUGCAUUAUAAACAAGUCGGAACUAAAUCGAAAACUCAGAAAAUUCUCUAAAAACGUAGAAAAAUUUCAAAUUUGCAGGGCUCACACGGCCGUGUGACUCACACGGUCAGGAGACACGCCCGUGUCUCAGGCCAUGUAGGCAUUCAAAAUAGGGACACACGCCCGUGUCUAAGCCCGUGUCCAUGCCCGUGUAACUCAUUGACUUGGUCAGACGACCAAGUCACAUACUCGUGUGCUAGGCUGUGUACCGUUCGAAGUAACCUCACAUGCCUGUGUGCUAGACCGUGUGCUAGGUCGUGUAAUAGCUUGACUUGUAACCCUUUAAAAACUAUAAGGGAUACACGGCUGCAUCACCUAGCUGUGUGUCAUACACGGCUGAGACACAUGCCCCUGUCUCUGCCUAUGUGACAAAAAUAGGCUAUUUAACAAGCCACAUUUCUCACCUAAUAUGGCAUCCACUUACACUUAACAUUGUGCAUAUAAACAAACCAUAUUAUGGCAUCCAAGACAAGCAAAAUCAAGCCUUAAACAUGUAGUAUAUUCACAUACAACCAAUAUGCCCUUAGACACCUCAAAUGACAAUUAUAAACAUAUUUAACCAUGUAAUCCAUGUAACCAAGUAAUCAACCAACUUUUAUGUAUAAUUGCAUUAAUACACAACAUGUAAAUCAUUUACCAAAACUUACCAUUUGGUACCAAUUGUACUACUUAUUCAAUAGCAUCAAAUACAUAUACACUUCCUAUAGCAUAGUACAAAAUCACACCAAGUUAUAAAACAUACCUCCUAUGCAUAUUCAACUACUAUUUUACCUUUCAUCAUUCAACCACAAAUCAUUCCACACAUCAACAUUAUAAGGCAAAUUAUGCACAUACCAAAAUACCAAAACACAAGCCAAAUAAGUGGCUAAUCUAAAAGAAAAACACAUAUAUGCCAACAUUUAGCCAAAAUAACCUAUACAUGCCAUUAUAACCAAAAUCAAAACAUCCAAAAGUACCGAUGGAUAGUGUGAUAUAGCUCCAACAAGCUUCCAACCAAAUCGAGCUUUAGAAAAUCUGAAAAGUAAAGGAAAACAACUACGUAAGUAAUGAAAGUUUAGUAAACUCGUAUAAACUUUAAUCAUAUGAAUUCAUUUCAAAUAUGAAAUUUAUACAUAUCAAGGAUAAUCCAAUAUCAAUACCGCAAGAUUCAUUAAGCUAUAUUCAACAACUGACAAGGUGAAUAAAUCUACAACAUCACUUAUACAUAUCAUCCUUAGCGUAGUAGGAUUUUAAAUAACUUUAAACCCUUUCCAAUUUUUCUUAUUUUCAUUUGCAUUUCAUUACUUUCCACACUUGUUUCAUAUGCAUAACACAAGAGUCAUACGCAUAUCAUACAACCAUAGCCAUAAGCUAGUGCAUUUAAACAUAGCCAUUUUUGAAUUAAUCACACGAUAAGCCAUUUUCUAUGAAAUUGCAUAAUUUAAACCUUACCACUCUUUCAUGAGCUCAAGCAUAUUUUCAUUUGAGCACUUACCAUUUCAAUGCAACUUAUAUUUAAACAUAUUACCAUUCAACCAACAGCUUGGCUCUUACCUAGGCAGCAAACAACAACACUUGUUAGCAUACUUGAACAUAUUUUAUAUAAAUUCAACAUUGAUAACAUUAUUAUCCUAACAUGUCACACUUGAGUUUAUUACUCAUCUCAACUUACAUAAUUUCCAUGCAUCAAAUUAUCAAAGAUAUUCAUAUAUGUACAUGUCAUGAUACAUAUCAUUCUCUUACAAUUUCUUCAUAUAAAUAUAUCAUCCAUUUCAAUAUAUCAAUAUAUCAUGUACCAUCAUUUCCAUGUAUUUCAUGUAUAUACAAGUAUUAGUUCGUAUUGGACUUAUGGCUUGAGGAGUCAGCUUUGUUGUAGAUUCUGGAUUAAUCUGAUGCUCCACCUGCUUUUGAUUUUCUUUAUUGGAAGAGACUUUAAGAGAUAAGUUAAGUAGCAUAGCAGUUUCAUCAAAAGCAACAUCUCUGCUAAUCACAAUUUUUCUAUUUUCAGGCCACCAUAACUUUUACCCUUUUACACUAGUUUUAUAACCAAGAAAAACACAUUUAAUAGAUCUUGGUUCCAAUUUUCCAUUAUCAACAUGAGCAUACGCAGGACACUCAAAGAUCUUUAAAUCAGAAUAGUUAGCAGGAUUAUCAAACCAUACCUCUUGUGGAGUCUUUUUCUCAACGGUAAUGGAUGGAGAUCGGUUGAUCAAAAAACAUGCAGUAUAGGCUGCUUCGGCCCAAAAUGACUUUCGUAAGUUGGCAUUUGACAACAUACACUGAACAUUCUUUAUGAUCAUUCUGUUCAUUCGUUCUGUAAUGUUGUUUUGCUGUGGAGUAUAACAAACUGUCAAAUGUCUCACGAUCCCUUCUGACUUGCAUAGUUUAUUAAACUCAUUAUAAUAGAACUCUAAGUUAUUGUCUGUGCAGAGGUAUUUUAUUUGUUUUCUAGUCUAUUUUUUAAUCAUAGUUUUCCGAGACUUAAAUACAGAAAACACAUCACUUUUCUGCUUUAGGAAGAAUUUCCAAAAUUUUUUGGAAAAAUCAUUAAUAAAAGUUAGCAUAUAAUUAGCUCCACCUCUCAAAGGCACUCUGGAUGGCCCCCACAGAUUAGAAUGAAUAUACUCCAAUGUUCCCUUCGUGUUAUGGAUUCCUCUAGUGAGUCGAACUCUCUUUUGCUUUCCAAAAAUGUUGUGCUUACAGAACUUCAGUUUGCAAAUUCCUUGCCCAUCAAGAAAUCCACUUUUGGUCAAUUCUGUCAUGCCAUUCUCACUCAUAUGCCCUAGGCGCAUAUGCCAAAAUUUAGUAAUAUCAUCAUUUAACAAGGAAAAGGAAGUGAUAGCUGCAUCACCAGUAACAGUAGAACCCUACAAAACAUAUAACUUAGUAGUUUUUCUCUGCCCUUUUAUCACAACGAGGGAACCUUUCGAAAUCUUCAAAACCCUAUUUUCAGUUGUGUAUGUAUACCCUUUUGAAUUAAUAGUACUCAACAAAAUUACAUUUCUCUUCAAUUCUGAAACAUGUCGCACGUCACUAAGUGUUCUGACAACUCCGUCAAAUAUCUUAACUUUAAUCGUUCCAACACCUGUAAUUUUACACGAAGCAUUAUUUCCCAUCAAAACAAUACCUUCAAACACUGUUUCGUAAGUUGUAAACCAAUCCCAAUUGGGACUUAUGUGGAAGGUGCAACCCAAAUCAAGGAUCCACUUCUCGCUCAUAUUAGAAUUGUUGACAGAAACGACUAGAAAUUCACCAUCACUGUAGUAUUCUAUAACAUCAGCUUCACUAGAAUUUUUUAGUUGUUUUCCUUUUUGAUUUGCAACCUCCCUUUUGAUCUUAUUUUGUAGCUUAUAGCACUCAAAUUUAAUGUUUCCUUUCUUCUUGCAGAAGUUACAAGUUUUACCUUUGUUUGAAGACUUCGAUCUACCUUAGAUUUACUGUGAGGAUUCUGUUCUUGUGUCCUUCUAUGAUCAUCAUCAGUAUUCUAUUCUUGUCUCCCACAAACAAUGAGACUAUCUCCGUUAGAGUGGGGUUUAACCACAAAUAUCUUAACUUUAAUCGUUCCAACACCUGUAAUUUUACACGAAGUAUUAUUUCCCAUCAAAACAAUACCUUCAAACACUGUUUCGUAAGUUGUAAACCAAUCCCAAUUGGGACUUAUGUGGAAGGUGCAACCCGAAUCAAGGAUCCACUUCUCGCUCAUAUUAGAAUUGUUGACAGAAGCGACUAGAAAUUCACCAUCACUGUAGUCUUCUACAACAUCAGCUUCACUAGAAUUUUCUAGUUGUUUUCCUUUUUGAUUUGCAGCCUUCCUUUUGAUCUUAUUCUGUAGCUUAUAGCACUCAAAUUUAAUGUUUCCUUUUUUCUUGCAGAAGUUACAAGUUUUACCUUUGUUUGAAGACUUCGAUCUACCCUUAGAUUUACCCUGAGGAUUCUGUUCCUGUGUCCUUCUAUGAUCAUCAUCAGUAUUCUAUUCUUGUCUCCCACAAACAAUAAGACUCUCUCCGUUAGAGUGGGGUUUAACCACAAGAUGUUUUAUCUUAUCAUACGAUGUAAGAAUCAUAAACCUCAUCAAUUGUGGGAGACUCACGACUAUAUAAAAUCAUGUCUCUAAAGGUUGAAUAAGACGGAGGCAACGAACAAAGUAGAGUCAACCCUAGAUUUUCCUUAUCAUACUGAACCUCCAUGGCCUUUAAGUUUGAAAAAAUUUCUUUAAACACGGUUAAGUGUUCGUGCACAGACGCACCUUCCUCCAAACGAUGAGCAUAAACACGCUGCAUCAUAUGCAACUUGCUGGUUAGAGUUUUCGACAUACAUUUUUGCUCCAACAUCUUCCAUAAUGUAGUAGCGGUCUUCUCCUUUAUCACAUCCUACAAAAUUUCGUUAGACAAAUACAAAUGUAAUUGUGUUAAUGCCUUUCGAUCCUUGCACUUCUUCUCUUCAUUUGUUAAUGUCAAAGGCAUCUUAUCUAUCCCUAGCAGGGCAUCCUCCAGAUCCAUCUGCGCAAGAACUGCGAGAUGAAUAACCUGGAAGCUCUGAUACCAAUUUAUAAAAAUAGAACGUCGGUAAUGAUAAUAUAUCGCAAAGAAAAGAGAAAUAAAAAUAAAGAACACACAGAUUUUUACGUAGAAACCCUUUCGGGAAAAAAACAACGGGCAGAGAAGAAGAAAAUUCACUAUGUCAAAUUCGAAUGAUUACAAGAGGAGUUUUGACUACAUCUAUUUAUAGGUUGAAAAAACCUAAUUCUAAUCAAAUUCAAAUAUAUUAUGCUAAUAAAUGCUAAAUAUAUUAUACUCAUAAAUACUAAAUCUUCUAGAAAAAAGAUAUAUUUUGUUUAACUUGACUUGUAAGCAAUCUCUUAAAAUUUAAGUUACACAACUCUUAACAUAUAUAAAACGAUUGGCUCAACAAUACUCUUAGACCUAUUCAUAAUUCACAUUUGAGCAACUAAAAAAAUUAAAAAAAGAAAUUAUUUAAAUAUUUUUUUUGUUUUAAAUUUAAAUGAUGUAUUCAUUCAUCGUAGGAUUUAAGAUUUGUAUUCAAUUCACUUGAAAUUUUUAUUUAUUUAUUCUUAUUGCUUAAAAAUGCUGGUCCAUACAUUCAUCUUCGAAUAAUUGAGCAUCCAUAUCUGGCUCACGUGGGUUUCCAUUAUCAUUAGGACACGCGGGUGUUUAUAUGAAAUGCUUGAAAUGGUACGCUUGACUUGGAAAAAAAAAAACAAAGCAAAGGGAAAUGAAGAGUGUAUACAUAGAAGAAACAACCAUUGAGAGUGAUAUUAAUAUUUUGAGUAGGUAAAGAUAUUAUUAGAUAGUCGCAUAAAUCGACCUUGUACAUCGUCACCAACUCUAAAACUAGGAUAAUUUUUAGUGAGUACACCACCAUUUCCCUUCCAUUAGCUGAUCCCAACUUCCAUGGCCACACGUCACUUGACUCUGCAAAUGCAACCACACCAAAGUAAAACAUUCAUCAAUUAAUUAAUCAAUAAACUCACUUAAUGUUAUGCAACAAAUUUGGGGCCAUUUUCUUUUUCGUAAUUUCAAUGAAGUCUAGCUUAAAUUAGAUACGAACCUUUUGCAGUCAAUGCUAGGGCUGAUCUUGUAAGGGAUGUGGACGUUGCACUGGCCUGGGAGUCCGGCUGCAACGCCAUAGUUGAUGUCAGAAAUGUCGGCGGCCAGACUUUUGAUGCAUUUACAAGCUGCUUGCCGAUCUAGUCUUAUUCGGGCGGCAGAUUUGAGAGAUCUGAUGCCUUUACAGCAAUUUGGGGGAGCAGGACGAGCAUUAUUACCUCUCACGUAACCAACGCAGGGUAGGAGGGAGGAUUUGACUUGAUCACAGCUUAUGGCCCCUUGAGCCAGGGGUGCAUCCACCAACAAGCACAACACCACUACACAUGCAAGCUUAAGAGACAUUGACCUAGCCAUAUCGAUUAAUUACAAGAAAAACAAAUAAUUUUACCAACUUGUAAGAAAGUGGUUGGAGUAUUAGUAAUGGGAUUGCUGGUUGGAGGGUUUUUAUAGACAAAAGUUGAGUGAAGGAAUAUGGAAAAAAAAACUAAGAAAGGCGUACGAAUACAACUUGGUUAGGCAUUGGUGCCUGUUAGUUGCCCUAAUUCAAUGCCAAGGUUUCUUUCUAUAUUUCAGCUUAUAGUUGAGUGUGUUUAAUGCUUUGAAAAGGGUUUGUAUCUACCACUUUCAUCCUCAUUACUAAUGCUGAAUUACUCCUUUGAUUAAUGCAUCAUCUUAGCCUUGUCAUACUGUUUCUAGUUUCUAGAUAUUUCUAUAAUUUGUAGCUUUACCAAUCAAAGAUGCUAUCAAAUGUAUGUUUGAAACAUCCAUCUUAGGAUAAUAAUAUUUAGUUUUUGAAGAUACCAUUACAAUUAUAUUAAUACUUAUCAUCAUAAUUGUUGCGUAUGCCUUAUAUCUCAGUCAAAUUUGAGAGAUAAUCUCUCAGUUAAACUUUGUUUUAUUUGUUUUAGUUGAACUUUGAGAGAUAAUCUCCCAGUUAAACUAUAGAUUAUUUUACAACCUUAGAAAAUACACCCAUCAAAUAUUAGAAUUCAUAACACUUUUGGAGAUUUUUGUAUUUACAUUUUGAGGGUUCUUUGUUUUCAGGUUUCAGGGUUUAGUUUUUAUCUCCAUCUUUUGUAUUGUUCAUUCUUUUAUCAUUAUAGUAAAAUCAUCUUUGCCCAUGGUUUUUUAUACUCUUUAGAGGUGUUUUUUCACGUUAAAUUUGUUUGUUCAAAUUCUCAAAUUCUCAAAUUCUUAUGUUAUUUUUACUUGUUCUUUGCUUAAUCGAGUCGAUCCCCAACAAGUGAUAUCAUAACUAGUUCAAUUUUCAUAGAUCAACUCGUUCAGAGAUGGUAGCAAUAAAUUUUGACAUUCAAAGUUCGAUGAUGUCACAGAUUUCAAUCUGUGACAAGUUCGGAUGAUGGUAAUUCUAGUUCAGACCGGCCUAAAAAAGGUCGUUACCAGGAAAAAGUCUGAGAAUCUAGAUAAGACAGAAUGGAAAGAGCUUGAUGAAAAGGCCCUGACUACAAUCCAGUUGUGCCUCCUGAAUAAGGUAUUGCAUGAGGUAUUGAUGGAGAAAACCUCAUUUGCCUUGUGGAAAUGGUUAGAAACUCUUUAUGCGACUAAGUUUCUGGUUAAUCGUUUAGUGUUGAAACAACGUCUAUUUACUUUCCGCAUGAACAAAGGUAAGCUUCUUAGAGAUCAUAUUAGUCAAUUUAUUACUCUUUUGAAUAAUUUAAAGAAUGUUGAGGUUAAGAUUGAUUAUAAAGAUCAAGCUAUGUUAUUGUUGUGUUUUUUUACCCUCUUCAUACAAGUCUUUUAAGGAGACUCUAAUUUAUGACAAAGACAAACGCUCAUUCAAAGAUGUGAAGGGUCAUUUUUUGAGUAAAGACAAACUCGAUAAUGAGUUUGGUUUGGAUAGCAAGGCAGAUAGGCAAGCUUCCAUUUUGGUAGCAUCAAAGAAACGAGACAAAAUGUGUCGCUAUUGUAAGAAGUUAGGUCACGUCAAAGCAGAUUGUUAUAAACUGCGAAAUAAAAAGGCUACUGAGAGUAACGGGGAAGAUGUAGAUGGUGCUAAUUUGGCCGAUGAAAGUGGUGAUAAUUUCUUGUUAGUGUCAACGAGCGAUACCUCUAAGCUUACGUCCGAGUGGAUCCUAGAUAUGGGAUGUUCUUUCCACAUACAGUUUUGUUGAAGGUGUAGUUGUGCUCAUGGGAAAUGAUUCAUCUAAUAAGGUAAUCGGUAUUGGUACUAUUAAAAUAUCGGACGAUUAGGACACUCUCAGAUGUCAAGUAUGUACUUGAUUUACAAAAGAAUCUCAUCUCCUUGAGUAUUUUACACUCGAAAGGUUACAAAAUCAACAUCGAUUCAAGCGGCAUUAAGGUGUUUGGUGAAGUUGCAGUGGACAAUCUUUAUAUUUUGGAAGGUUCUACAAUGACCGGUGAAACUGAACGUCUCUCGUCCGUUACAGAGUCGAAGUCAACUCGUUUGGAGCGGAGGCAACUUAGUCAUAGGAGGGAAAAAGGUAUGACCAUUUCGUUGAAGAGAGGUUCUCUUUUAGAUGUAGGUUUUGAAAAGUUAGGGCAUUGUGUUCGUGAAAAUCAGACCUGAGUUAGUUUUGAUUUGGCAAUGCACAAGUUGAAGGCUAGAAGUCUUCCAACUACUAAGCACAGAUUUGACUCAGUUAAUUCCCUACAUAGUUUAAGAUAUGCCCAUGGUGGGAUUUGGCAAAGAUGGUGUUAUGGAAAUACGAGUCAAGGUGGAGAUUUGUUGAGUAUGCCUCAUAUUUCAGUCAAAUUUGAGAGAUAAUCUCCUAGUUAAACUUUGUUUAUUUAUUUCAGUCUAACCCUGAUUAGUCUAGAUUGUUUUAUUAUUAUUUGACCUAUGAAUUUAGCCUAUAAAUAGUCUCUUUUACAACCUUAGAAAAUACACUCAUUAAAAAUUAGAAAUCAUAAUACUUUUGGAGAAUUUUGUGUUUACGUUUUGAAGGUUCUUUGUUAUUAAGUUUCGGGGUUUAGUUUUUAUCUCCAUCUUUUGUACUCUUCGUUCUUUUGUCAUUAUGGAAAAAUUGUCUUUACUCGUGGUUUUUUAUCCUUUUUGGAUGGUUUUUUCACAUUAAAUUUGUCUAUUCAAAUUCUCAAUUUUUUCUGCUAUUUCUAUGUGUUCAUUGCUUAAUCAAGUCGAUCCCUAAUAAAAAUCAAUCAAUAAAAGUAUAAAAUUGAAUAAUUAAUUCAAAAAAUUAAUUUUUCCACGUGUUGGACUUGAAUAUGAUAUCUCAAAAUUCCAAAUGCCUCAAAAAAUUAAGGCCGAGAUGUUAUUGGCUAAGGUAAUAAUAUUUAGUUUGCCUUAAUCCAACAAUUCUUUUUUGUAUAUAUAGUGCCUAAACUACUUCUAGCUCCAUGAAUGAUAUUAUUACAGUAGUAAAUGUCAACCAAAUUAAUAUUCAAUCGCUAAUUUAAUUAGUACUAGUGUCAUUUUUUUUCCAAAUAAAAAAGCACACAUUGCUAAAGCCAUGCAACUUUCUAUACAUCUUUCAAAUUAUUAAAAUAGCAAUAAGGUCAACUGAGUUAAUAAUCAAUCGACAAUUGAAUCAGUAUUAGUCUCAAUUUUUUUUCAAAUAAAAAAGAAUAUACAACUUUCUAUAUUUUUUUAGGAUUAAAAGUAUUUUUAGUCCUUGAAUUUUUUUCAAAAAAUUAAUUAAGUCCUUCCAAACUAUUUGCACUCAAUUGAGUCCUUGAAAUAACAAAACUGGCGAAAUAGGUCAUUUGACUAACAUCGAUCGUUAGUAGUUACUAACAAUGCUAAUAUAGUCGAUAACAGACGUCACACGUAAGCAAAAAUUAAAAAAAAAUUAUAAUUAUAAUUAUUUUUUAAAAUAAUACACAAUGAAUCUGGACACCCUUUUAUCUAGAUUCAUUCUAGGAAUAUAAAAACAUAAAAGAACUUAUAAAAAUUAUUAAAAUUUUAUAAAAAAAGUAUUACUCAUUUUAAUUAAAAUGUUUGACUAAUAUAACUUAUUUUUAACUAUAUGAAAAUACUUUUUUUUUCUCAUGCAAACUAUUGAAAGUUGUUCUAGGUCUUGUUAAUGAUUAAUGGCUAGACGUUUAAUAAAAAUGAGAAAAAUAUUUUUUUAUCAAAUUUGAUAAAAUAUUUAUUUUAUAUUUUUAAUUUUUUUAUGAUUUUUAAUUAAUUUCUAACAAAUUUUAUUGAUUAUUUUUUUUCUAACUUUUAUGUUUUUAAUAAAUUCAUUUUUCUUAUAAAUUUCAUAAAAUUUAAUGGUUUGAAUUAAUUUUUAGUAAUUAUUAUCGAAUUUAAUGAUUUUUUUUAUAAUUUGUAUAUAUAUAUAUAUAUUUUUUAAAUUCUGUAAUGAAUCUUUGUAAAUGGUGUCUAGAUUCAUUGUGUACUAAUUUAAAAAUUAAUUUAAAAUAUUUUUUAUUUUUGAUGUGUGGCAUUGCCACUUAAGCAACCAGAGAUGACAUGGCCCUACCAUGUUAGCCUUCAAUGAUGACAUGGAAUUGUCAUGUCAGUAGUCGGUGAUGACGUGACAUCUAUUAACAGCACAUCAUCGUUGUUGUUGAAACUAUUUUUUUGUAAACGGGGGUCGACUUUAAUUUUGUAAAUGAAAACGAAUACGGGAGUCGCCACCAAUCCUUUUUAGUGAGGUGUGAUCGGAUCACCUCGUAAUUUGGUUGUUUUAAAUAAACGGUUUGGUUUACUAAAAUAAUAUUUUUCGGUCCACAAAAAAUCCAGAAAAUGGGUUUGGGAGUCGAUUACGUACGAGGAAGGAUUAGCACCCUCGUUACGUCCAAAAUUGGUACCUAAUUGAUUACUUAAUGUCUUAACGUCGAAAGUUGAAAAUUCAAAAGGAAAUUUAAAAUACAAUUCCCUUUUUAUUAAUGUUAUUAAAAAAUGCUUGAAUAAAUCGAAAAGAGAGUUAAAGACCAAUUCGUCUCAAAGUAACAAAAUAUCACAUCCUGUAAGUUAAGACACGAUAUUUGGAGCCUUAGAGAAUAAGCUUACCUUUAAUUUUUAUUGAAGUUUCAUAUUUUGAAAUUUUAAAAGGGUAUUUUGUUAUUUAGGUUUAUCGAGAAAAUCGAAGCCUCGUGAGUUAGGGAACGAUUUCUCGAAUUUCCAGAACGCAAAGUAUUACCUUAUUUUAAAACCCUAUUUUUAAUAAUAGCGAGUAAAACACUUGAACGACGUACAUUUGUUUUAUGAUAAAACAGAAAGGUUUAUUGUGGGUAUAUACAAAUCGAGUGCAACUUUUAAAGUGAUGAAAUAAAAUGGAACAUGGUAUAACAAUUUAUGAAUAAAAUGAUACAUCAAUGCAUGAAAAAUAUACGAGAAUACGAAUAAGUAAAUUAUAGUACACACAAUGACAAUAAGCACACGAGGUAGAUAAUUUUAAUACCAAGCGGAAGGACCAGGGUUGUAAAUAACCACUUUAAUGAAAACGCGCGGAUCCCCCAUGGAGUGGGUUGGGUUACGCGCGGGUGGCCCAAUACGGCGCCUUUUUGAGGCCACUGAAAUAGGCCCUAAACGACGCCGUUUCAUACCCUUUAUAAAAGAAAUUUUCUUUUAAAACUCAUUCUACUGUUUUGUUUUAUAGAAAAUUUUAAAACACUCCCUUUUUCUGCUAGGGUUUCAACCCAGUUUUGGAUCUCGCCGUCAAUCCACCAUGUUUUCAUCGUGGCUCCACCGCGUUUUGAGGGCUUUUUAGCCCCUGUUUCCCACGUUUUGAGGGCUGAGCCUCCUUACCUUCAAAUUUUGGAAAGAAAAAGGUCUCUCAUUGUCCUUUUAUAUUUGGUUCCGGUGACGGAGAGUAGGUCUCCGAUGACGAGACCGCGAUACGCCCAUGUGAGUCUUUUGCUUCCCUUUUUGUUUAUUAUUUCGUAUAUAUAUAUAAAAUAUGAAUAUAGAAUCAAAUAAGUAUUUAAAGCGGAAAUAAAAGUAAAAAAUUCACCUUAAGUGUUGUUUUUUUUUUUGCUUUUUAUUUUCUAAAUGUUCGUAAAAAAUUUACAAUGCUGAGAUUUAGGCUUUUAUAGCCGGAUACAAUCGUUUGUCCAUUAUUCCUCGCAUGCUUCUCUUUUUUUUUGUUGCAUUCAAUUUUUUGCAGGUGUCAGACUAGCGUGAUGAUGGAGCGCGGUGGUGGUAGUGCGCGUGAAGAGCGGCAACGACAGCAAGGCAUGCGGCUAAGUUUCUGCCUUUCUUUUUGUUUAGCUGAAAACUAGUUUAGUUUUGGGCCAUUUGGGAUUUAGGUUUUUUUGUUCGAGCCAUGUGGACCUGCUGUAAUUUAGACUAUGGUCUGUUUAUAUUUUUGGGUUUCAUUUAAUCAGUUUUGGGCCCGGGCAAAAAUGGGUUAUUACAGCUGCCCCUCUUUUCUCGUUGUCGUGUAACGAGAAUGGUGCAAAGAAUUUUAAAAAUGACCAAUUUUGCCCGGUCUCACCAAAUCUUGAUUUCUUGGUGCUCAUCUUCUUCGAGUAGCCUCAUUCUAACCCAUUAAAACUUGCGGUUUUAGUCUCCUCUACUACAACUUUAGGGAGAUAAGACUUGCUAUGGUAGAUUUAAUCCGACCUACUACAACCUCAGAGGUAUAGGAUUAAUUGUUUUAAUCUGCUCCAUUGCAACUUCAAGGAGAUAGGAUUAGUAGCUUCAAUCUACUCCACUUCAACUUCAGCGAGAUAAGAUUGGUAUCUUCAUCCUGCUCCUUUGCAACUUUAGGGAGAUAAGGUUUGAUAUGAUCUGCUCUACUGCAACUUCAGAGAGAUAAGAUCCGUAAUUUAUAGCUUCAAUCUGUUCUACUUGAACUUCAGGGAAAUAAGAUUCACUAUCUUCAAUCUACUCCACUGCAACUUCAGGGAGAUAAGACUUGCAACUUCAACCUGUUCCACUGCAACUUCAGGGAGAUAAGGUUUGCGAUGAUCUUCAAUCCAUCCCACUACAACUUCAGAGGCAUAGAAUUUGUCGCUUCACUAAUCUGUUCUCUAGGGAACAUGACCUGUAGAAUCCAUUUCAUGAACCGAUUUAUGCCUAGUGAUUAGGAUGUCAUGAUCAGAAUGAAUCAAAUACUCCUAACUAGAUGUGUAUGCAUGAUAUUUGCAUGAAUGCAGAAUGUCAUUUUUUUUAGAAUGAUCCCUUUUUAAUGCUUGGGUUGACAUUGCUCGUUAUUCAUUAAAGUUUUAUCACUGAUGUGUUACCAUGCCUUCUUGUGCAGCUGGUAUCUUCCAAAGAAAUAGUUACAAUUUAGCCUAUUCUUCUUGAAAUGUUUCUAACCCUUAGAUCUGGUUAGCUUUAAAUAAUAGUCAUGUUUUAGGUCCUUGUACUAUUCAAAAGUUUUUAGAGUAAUAUGCAGGACUCCUUUUGCUUGAAUAUUAACAGGCCAUUAAUCGUUAUUUCAAUGAAAAAUGAUUAAAAAAGAUUAUCACAAUGGACAAGAUGAAAUUUUAUUGAAACUAAAGCUCGAAAUGAAAUAAUUAAUCAAGAUAGCAAAUUUUGAUAAAAUACAAAAUGAGAAUUAAUCAAGAUAGUGUAUUUCGCCAAAAUAUAAGAUGAAUGAAACGGAAAUAAGUGCCCCAGAUAUCGUAGCAUGAGCUUCUCUGUACAAAACUUCUUGAGGGCCACUUUAAGGUUGAUAUGUGUCUAGAAGAUCCAGAAUAUUUUAUUAAUGUCUCGAGAUGCAUCAUCCCUCCUUCUUGUUAGUUCAGGCAUAGUAAGACUAACGCAUGCCCUAGCUUCGAUCAAAAUUUUAAUUGCCCUUUUUUCUUCGGGUUUUCAAUUCAAAACCCCAUUUGGUCUCAAGGCGCACUUUUGCGAGUUUUCACCUUGGCCUCUCCCCCCUUUUUUUAGCUGAAGUACUUAUUAACUGAAUCUGAAUUCACAGGAUUAGGUAGGCUCUUGCCAUCCAUUUCGGUCAAAAUUAAUGCUCCUCCAGAAAAGACCUUCUUUACUGCGUAAGGUCCUUUCCAGUUUCGUAUCCACCUUCCUUUAAAGUCCUUUUGUAUAGGAAGGAUCUUCUUUAGUACCAAGUCCCCCUCAUGGAAUUCUCUGGGACUAACCUUUUUGUUGUAAGCUCGAAUCAUUCGUUUUUGGUACAUUUGACCAUGAUGGGUAGCUCUUAGUCUCUUUUUUUUAUCAAGUUCAGUUAAUCAUAUCGAGAUUGGAUCAUUCUACUUGAUCUAACUUUAGUUCUGACAAAACUCAGAGAGAGGGAAUUUCAACCUCAAUAGGCAGCGCCGCCUGUAUUCCAUAAACCAAAGAGAAAGGCGUUGCCCCGGUGGAGGUCUUGACCGACAUUCGGUAAGCAUAAAGGGCAAACGGUAACUUCUCAUGCCAAUCUCUAUAAGUCUCAGUCAUUUUUCCCACGAUCUUCUUAAUGUUCUUAUUGGCCGCCUCCACUGUGCCAUUCAUUUUUGGACAAUAUGGCGAUGAGUUGUGAUGCUUGAUCUUGAAUUGGAUACAGACUUUCGCUAUCGUGCUAUUGUUCAAAUUCAACGCAUUUUCAUAUAUAAUCAUUUCUGGCAUUCCAUAUUGACAUAUGAUCUCAUUUUUUAGGAAUUUGCUGACUGCCGAUUUUGUGAUGUUGGCGUAAGAAGUAGCCUCUGCCCACUUAGUAAAGUAGUCAGUAACUACGAAGAUGAACCAAUGCCCAUUUGAAGCUUUUGGUGAUAUAGGCCCAAUGACUUCCAUGCCCCACAUGGAAAAAGGCCAUAGAGAAGUCAUGACAUGAAGAGGUGAGGGAGGCACAUGAAUUUUGUCCCCAUAAAUCUGACACUUAUGGCAUUUCUUGGCAUACUUGAUGUAGUCUCCUUCCAUGAUGGACCAAUAAUAUCCGAAUCUCAUGAUUUGCCUGGCCAUUGUAAAGCUAUUAGCGUACGUUCCACAGACACCAUCAUGGAUCUUUUCCAAGAUUUACUUAGCCUUAACAGCGUCUAUACAUCUUAGCAGCACCUGAUCCUUUCCUCUUUUAUAUAGGAUCUCUCCAUCUAAGACAUAGUCAUUAGCCAGCCUUCUCAAUGUCCUCUUGUCGUUCUCAAUUGCUUGAUCUGGGUAUUUACGACUCUUCACGUAUCGUAAUAUAUCACGAUACCAAAUGUGAUCAUCUUUUUCCUCUUCUUCGUCGAUGUUGCAACAGUGGGCUAGUGCCUCAUAAAUACUCAUUCAGAUAGGCUUCACAUCCUCUUGUUUAUUUACUUUGAUCAUAGAAGCUAAAGUAGCGAAGGCGUUAGCCAUCUGAUUUUCCUAUUGCGGAAGGUAGGAGAAGGUAAUAUCAUCAAACUCCUCAAUUAAUUCCAUAACCAGUUUUCGGUAAUUGAUCAAUUUCGGAUCUCUUGUCUCCCAUCCACCAUUGAGCUGAUAGAUUACUAGUGCGGAAUCCCCAUAUACCUCUAGCAUUUUGAUUUUAUGUUCAAUAGCCGUGCGGAUACCCAUGAUGCACGCUUCAUACUCCACCAUGUUAUUUGUGCAAUCAAAAUAUAAUUUACUAGUCAACAGAUAAGGAUCACCAUUUGGAGACACUUGGAUUGCCCCGAUUCCGUUGCCCACAACAUUGGAGGCUCCAUCAAAAUUUAGUUUCCAAGGGCGACUUUCUUGAAAGUCUUUUUUUGCGGUUGCAGUAUACAUCAGAUCCUCAUUCGGGAAGUCAAAGUUUAGUGGCUUGUAAUCUUCCAGAGCUCUACUGGCCAGAAAGUCUGCUAUUGCACUCCCUUUCACCGCUUUCUGGUUCACAUAGAAUAUCAAAUUUAGAAAGCAGAUUUGCCAUCGGGCCAUUCUUCUGUUCAAAGCAGUUGACUCCAUCAUGCAUUUCAGAAGGUCCAAUUUUGAGAUCAACCAAGUUGUACGAUACAGCAUGUACUGUCUCAAUCUCUGAGUUGUCCAGAUCAAUGCGCAGCAUAACUUAUCGAUUGGCGAAUAUCUCUUCUCUCAUUCAGUGAACUUCUUGCUGAGAUAGUAGAUCGCUCUUUCUUUCCGUCCCGACUCAUCAUGUUGGCCAAGCAUGCAUCCCAUGGAAUUUUUGAAUACCGCCAAGUACAGUAUCAGUGGCUUGUCUGGGCAAGAUGGCAUCAGUACUGGGGCGUUGGAUAGGUAAUGUUUGACUUUUUCGAAAGUUUUCUAGCACUUUUCAUCCCAUACACCUGGAUUGUGCUUCUUAAGGAGACGAAAUACGGGAUCGCAUUUCUCAAUCAACUGUGAAAUGAACCGGGCGAUGUAAUUUAGUCUUCCUAGAAAUCCCCAAACUUCUUCUUGAGUAUGCGGUAGAGGUAAUUCUUGUAUGGCCUUUACUUUGUCCGAAUUGAUCUCAAUCCCCUUUUCAUUGACCAUGAAUCCCAAUAGUUUUCCUGAUCUACCCCUGAAGGUGCAUUUUGCUGGAUUGAGCUUUAGCUGGAACUUUCUUAACCUCAGGAACAAUUUUCUCAGGACUUGCACAUGUUUAUUCUCUGUUCUGGACUUCGCAAUCAUGUCAUCGACAUAAACUUCAAUUUUUUAUGCAUCAUAUCGUGGAACAGGGUUACCAUGGCUCUCUGAUACGUUGUUCUUGCAUUUUUUAGUCCAAAUGGCAUCACUUUAUAACAAAAUGUCCCCCAUAUCAUUACGAAUGUGGUCUUCUCCAUGUCUUCAGGAUGCAUCUUAAUUUGGUUGUACCCAGAGAAACCAUCCAUGAAGGAGAACAGUGAGUAACCAGCCAUGUUAUCUACUAAGGUGUCGAUAUGGGGUAAUGGAAAAUUGUCCUUUAGAUUGGCUUUGUUCAAAUCUCUACUUGGAGACUUGCCACUGUUCAUUACCUCUCUCAAGAAGCUCUACUCGGAGUUCACAAUUCUACAAUGUGUCCUCGAGCUCUCAUAUCUUUCCCUUCAAUUCAUCGAUUUUGCUUAAGCUUACUUUUAGCUCGAUCGCAGAGUUUCGACCACGGUACUGGUAAAGCAACUUUUCUAACCCGGCUACCUGAGCUCUUAACCCCACCUUCCUAUUUUGGCAUUGUAACAGACUCCUUUCCAAAGCAACUUCUCGAGCUCGAGUGUAUUGGAACUUCUUUUCCCAUUAAUCAGCUUUAAUCUUCUCUUCUUUGAUUUCUUGUCGCCAUUGCUCCGAUGUUUUACCUAAACCAGUAGUUCUCACUGACAGACGCAGCUUCUUGUAAUCCAUUUUAAACUGUCUAAAUCCUCUUCGGCCUUGUUCUUCCCUCUUCUUAAUUUCUCAGCCUCUAGCUUGUGGAUAUCGACGUCUAAUCCAAAACGCAUCUUCUCCUCCUCUAGCUGCACAAUCUUCUUUCCCAAUUCUGAACUUCUUUUUUCAAAGUCUUGCUUGAUAAUCUCUAACUCAUAUGAGAUCACUUGUAGAUGUUCCUUUAUCGGUCAAACGUCCUCUUGGCUUGACACGGGGAUGUUAUCGUUAAUCCUUUUACCCUACCACCAACUAUAUUUGGGGUCAUCAUUGGAUUCAUGGUAAGUAUUUUCAUUCUACAGGUUUGAUUCCAAGCAUUCGAUAUUUCAUGAACCUUCUUCUUGUAAUUAUCUCUCUUGUAUGAAAACUCGCACUAAGCUAACCUUUGUAUUGCCGAAAUGAACUGCCUUGAUCUGUACUUCCUUAACACUAGCAACGGAGCAUAUCCAAUAGCUCCUCAAAUCCCAAGCAAAGGAACCCAAUCAAAGUCUCCACAAUGAUACAAAAUUUCAUUAGGGAUCAUCCAAGGGACCCUCCAUUCGACGUCAUCUUCUUGGAGAUUCUGAAGGAUCACCAACCAGUUUUCUUUUGAAAUAUCGUCUCGCCUUGGUGUUAGCCACUAAUUCCUUUAAUAGGGAAUAGUUCUCAGAGAAAACUUGAUAGAAGACCUUUUCCACUUUCCAAAAGUGAUUAUGGAACCAAGCUAACAAAAGCUGCGCACACCCGAUGAAUCUUCCUUCGCCCACUCUCCUACAUGCAUUCAAGGAUCUAAAAGUUUCGGCUAAGAUUGCUAGGACGGGUGUGACCCUUUUAUCAAGCCUAUCGAACAAGUCUGAAACUGCUUCAUCUACAUGCCCUAAUGUUAUGGGGAAAACGACUAAACCGUAAAUGCUCAAGGCAAAAACAUAAACUCUUUUUCUUCAUAUCCAAAUGCUCCAAAAUCAAAUCUCACAAAUUCUUCCAAGGUAUGCAUUUGCUGUCCCCUUUUUGCUUAAUUUAGGCCGUGACCCAUUGCUCACUCAUUCCCGUGAUAUUCAUCAGUUUCUCUAAAAAACUUGAGACGUUGGCAGCUCUCGAAUAGGCCUUGUCAACUUGAAUCUUUGGGCACCGAAGCAAGGUCAUGUAUUCUUCUACAGUAGGUACCAAAUCAACCUUUCCGAAAGUGAAACAACUGUAGGCGGGAUUCCAGUAUCGAGCGAGAGCUCAAAAUAAGUACUUGUACACUUUUAUGUCAAGUAGGUAGGGCAAAUCACCAUAGUUACUGUAAAAGAGCUGUCUGAUCUCAUCGUCCCAUUGAUCCCAUACCUCUUUCAAUUCUUAUAGGUUAUUCUAGGUCAUGCUGAUGCGAGUGAAGUCCCACAACUCUAACACGUACCCCUCCGCAAGAUUAUCACCUUUUUUUACAUUUUCUCGGACCAAAUUCGAACGACCGCACUAUCUUCCACUUUAUCAAGAAAACCUUUUUCCAUGUUAAGCUCUCUAUUUAGGUACCGAACAUGAACCAACACCUUUUUUACGAUGAAAAUGUCAUGCAAUCAAAUUCAAAGCAAAACACAUCAAGCAAUAUUGCGGGCAAAGCUAGAAUUCAAAGCAUACGAAAAAUAAUAAGUAAAACGCCUAUUCAGGUAACCAUUAGGGUUUGGUAUGGCCCUACCUAGGGUAAGCUCUUAGGGCUCGUUAUAUGUGGUUUGGUUCUAAAGUAAAGGUACCUGAACUGGCAGAUUCCUCGAUCCUCACCCAUUAUAGGCUCAUAAGGACCAAGUUCAGUUCAAGGGAAUACAUUUCCCUAUUGCUAUACGGAGAUGAAAAUCUCACGAAGACAUAGGUACGGAUGUAUCUUGAAAGCGAUCCACUAUCCUAUACGAAGGUGAAAACCUUACGAAGGAAUAGUUUCUCACUCCCACUUAAAAGGGUAAGAUCGACCGAUCAUGCGAUGCAAUGUGCAGAAAUAUAUCAAAACUUAAAAUAACACAGCAAUUAUAAACCAUAAUAAUAAAGAUCGAAAUAAAGACGAAUGAAAUGUAAUGAAAGGAUUGUAUAUUAAAACCAAAUUUCAAUUUUCGGUGAAAAAAUAGAAAUUAAUCAAUUUACGUCUUGACUCUCUUAUUUAAUCCCCAGCAGAGUUGCCAAGCUAUUGAAACCAUUUUUUUGUAAACGGGGGUCAACUUUAAUUUUGUAAAUGAAAACGAGUACAUGAGUCACCACCAAUCAUUUUUAGUGAGGUGUGAUCGGAUCACCUCGUAAUUUGGUAGUUUUAAAUAAACGGUUUGAUUUACUAAAAUAAUAUUUUUCGAUCCACAAAAAAUCCAGAAAAUGGGUUCGGGAUUCGGUUACGUACGAGGAAGGAUUAGCACCCUCGUUACUCCCAAAAUUGGUACCUAAUUGAUUAGUUAAUUUCUUAACGUCGAAAGUUAAAAAUUCAAAAGGAAAUUUAAAAUACAAUCCCUUUUUAUUAAUGUUAUUAAUAAAUGCUUGAAUAAAUCGAAAAGAGAGUUAAAGACCCACUCGUCUCAAAGUAACAAAAUAUCACAUCCCGUAAGUUAGGACACAAUAUUUGGAACCUUAGAGAAUAAGCUUGCCUUUAAUUUUUAUUGAAGUUUCAUAUUUUGAAAUUUUAAAAGGGUAUUUUGCUAUUUAGGUUUAUCGAGAAAAUCGAAACCCCGUGAGUUAGGGUACGGUUUCUUGAAUUUCUAAAACGCAAAGUAUUACCUUAUUUUAAAACCUUUUUUUUUAAUAAUAGCGAGUACAACACUUGAAUGACGUACAUUUGUUUUAUUUAUGAUAAAACAGAAAGGUUUAUUGUGGGAAUAUACAAAUCGAGCGCAACUUUUGAACUGGUGAAAUGAAAUGGAAUGAUAAUGGAACAUGGUAUAACAAUUUAUGAAUAAAAUGAUACAUCAAUGCAUGACAAAUAUACGAGAAUACGAAUAAGCAAAUUAUAGUACACACAAUGACAAAAAGCACAUGACAUAGAUAAUUUUAAUACCAACAUUAAUAAUCAAAGGAAAAUAAAACAAGAUAAUAUAUAAAACAAUCUAAACUAAAUAAUAAUUUAAAAUAAAUGAUUUAUAAGUACAAUAAAUAAUAAAAGUUUCAAAUAAACAAUAUAUAGGAAAACUUAAAAUAAAUAAUAAUAAAACAGUUUGAAAUAAAUAAUAUUAUAUAUAAAUAAUAAUAAUAAUAAGUACAAACAAUUUUAAAGGAUAUAUAUAUAAAAUUUGAAAGAUAUGUAUAUAUAGAACAGUUUACAAUAAAUAAUAUAUAAAUGAAAAUUUUAAAAUAAGUAAUAUGUAACACUGUUUAAAAUAAAUAAUAUAUAAAACUUAAAAUUAAUGAUGAUGAAAGAGUUUUUUUUAAAUAAUAAUAAAUAAAUGAAAUGGACUAGGGAUGAUACUAAAAUCUAACAAGAAUCUGGGGAGUUGGAACUGUUAAUAAAUAAGAGUUACUAAGGGCCGAGAUAGAACACGCUUUAAAAGUGAGGGACUGACUGGGAAAAUAUUCCCAACCCCUGUGCACAGCGUUCAAUCAUGGACCAAAUUGGAGCAAACAGAAAAUUAUACCGCAAAAUUAAAAAAAAGAAAAAAGAAAAAUAACAAGCGAGGACUAAAUUGCGAAGUGUCACAAAAGCGAAAAGACCAGGGUUGUAAAUAACCCCUUUAAUAAAAACGCCCAAAUCCCCAUGGAAUGGGUUGGGUCGCGUGUGGGUGUCCCUAUACGACGUCGUUUUGAGGCCACUAUAGGCCAUAAACGACGCCGUUUCAUACCCUUUAUAAAAGCAAAUUUUUUUAAAAAAAACUCAUUCUAAUGUUUUGUUUUAAAAAAAAUUAAAACACUCCCUUUCUCUGCUAGGGUUUCAACCCAACUUUGGAGCCCACCGUCAAUCCACUGCAUCUCCACCGUGGCUCCACUACAGACGGUGGUCGGAGUCGUGCAAAAUAGGGCUUUUUAGCCCUCAUUUCCCAUGUUUUGAGGGUCUAGCCUCCUUACCCUCAAAAAAUGGAAAGAAAAAGGUCUCCCAUUGUCCUUUUAUAUUCAAUUCCGGCGAUGGAGCAGAGGUCUCCGACGAAAAGACCGCAAUACACCCAGAUGAGCCUUUUUCUUCCCUUUUUGUUUAUUAUUUCGUAUAUAAAAAAAUAGGAAUAUAGAAUCAAAUAAGUAUUUAAAGCAGAAAUAAAAGUAAAAAUUCACCUUAAGUGUUGUUUUUUUUGCUUUUUAUUUUCUAAAUGUUCGUAAAAAAAUACAAUGCUGAGAUUUAGGCUUUUAUAGCCGGAUACAAUCGUUUGUCCAUUAUUGCUCGCAUGCUUCUCUUUUUUUGUUGUUGCAUUCAAUUUUCUGCAGGUGUCAGAUAAGCGUGAUGAUGGCAUGCGGCAGUGGUAGCGAACGUGAGGAGCGGUGGCGGUAGCAAGGCAUGAAGCUAGGGUUUCUUCCUUUCUUUUUGUUUGGCUGAAAACAAGUUUAGUUUUGGGCCAUUUGGGCUUUAGGUUUUUUUGUUCGGGCCAUGUGGGCCUACUGUAAUUUGGACUGCGGACUGUUUAUAUUUUUGGGUUUCAUUUAAUCAGUUUGUAGCCCGGGCAAAAAUGGGUUAUUACAAUUGUCAUUAGCUGCUAACAAUCAAUAUUAGUCAAAAGGCCUAUUUGACUAAUUUUAUUAGUUCAGGGGCUCAAUUGGAUGCAAAAAGCUCAGAAGGGCUUAUUUUUUUUUUUAAAAAGUCUGAGAAUUAAAAAUAUCAUUAAGUCGUUUCUUAACUAUAUAUAUUUUAUACAAUACUUAAUACUAUCAAUAAUUUCGAUUAAAAUCUUACAACUUUUUGAUCUGACAUACUAACAUGUAGCAAGCUUGGUUGGGUACAAUGGCUAAAAUUCACGGUGCUUCCACAAACCCGCCGCUAAAACGACGUUUUAAAUAAAACACCUUUAAUUUCAUAAUCAAUUGCGGGUUUUUUAAAAUAAACGCCGCAAAAAAAGAAAAUGCAUAUUCCGGGGAUUGACACAAAAACUAAACGCCACUAUAUUUGGCAAUUAAAAAGAGAAAAAUUAAAUAAUAUAAUAAUAUUAAUAAAUAACAUAUAUAUAUUUUUAAGAUAAAAUAUAAUUUCUUGAAAUUUAAUAUUUUUUAAAAUAAUAUGACUAAAAUAUUAAUGUAAAUUAUAAUAUAAAAUAUCAUUUAGUUUUUAUUCAUAUUAAUAAACCCUUUAAAUGAAUAUUAUUAACAUAAAUUUCUUGUAUAUAAGAAUUAUUUCAUCUAAUUAUAUAAUUUUAAUUUAUUAUUUAAAUUUUUCCUAAUAAUAAAUUUAGAUGUUAUCAUAUAUGAACGUUUUCGGCGUUUCGUAUUAAGUGCCACAAAAUUUAUGUAAAACGCAAUAUUUUUUUCUUAAAAAAAAUUAUUUAUUCACACAUAAUUAUUCAGUAACGUUUGUCAAAGAAACGAAACAUACAAGUGACUUCUACGAUAAACGCUGCAAAAUGUAUGGCGCCAAAACAUUUUCGUGUAAAUCAAUUUCCCCACGUUAAUGAAUUUAUUUUUAGUGGCGCCAUUAAAGGAUUGAUUAUUGCAGGGUUUUCUGUGUAAGAGUCGGGAGUGUAUUAUAUAUAGCUGCGUUUGUUGUAACGAUUCAAUUUCCAAUUGAGUUAAAAAUUGUGAUUUUUAGAUUUUAUUUUCGCAAAUUGAGUUCGUAAAUAUUAUAUAGAUAUAUUAAAAUUCGGUUAAGAAAAUUAGCCGAAAAUGGGUUAAUUAAGGCCUAGAGACUAAAUUGUAAAAGUUUAAUUGCUAUAGAAUUUUAAUUAGAAAAAACCUUGGGGACUUGGAUAGAAUUACCCAAGGGAUUAAAAUGGCAAAUAAACCAAUCUUAAAUAGGGGAUAGUGGAAUGUGAUGUUGGAUUUCAUUAGAUUAAACUAAUUGAAGACUAAUGUUUAGUUAAUUAUGAUUAAGUUAAUUAAUUAAGCUUAAUUAUAAACUAACCUAGCUAUAUUAGCCAAAUUAAGUGGAAGGAGAUAUGAAUAUUCAUCUUCCUCCAACUGGCCAAGAAAGAAAAACCAAGAAAAAAAACUCCAUUGUUGACUCCUUGAACAUUCGACUAAUAAUUUUAAAUCUCUAGCCAUUUUUCUUUGACUUUUAUAGAUUUUUUAUCCUAAGAGCUUGAUUAAGCUACCCCAUUUAUCAAUUUGUUCAAUUGGUGAGCUUUUUAUAAGUUUCCAUUGUUGAGAAAUUGAAGAAUUAGGAGUGAAAUUGAUAGAAAUUAAGCGUAGAUUAUGAAAAAGACUAAAUUGUAAAGCUUAUCAAGCAUUAUUGUUAGUUUUGUUACAAUAUGGACCAAAUUGAAUAAAAUGAAAACAUGCUAAUUGUGCUAGGAAUAAAGAGUAUAAGGUCCUUAAUUAGUAUAUGUGAAAUCAUAUUUUAAUCCGAAGCUUUAUAUCAAAAGUUAUAUUUGUCCAAGUUUAGGGACUAAAUUGAAUAAUUUGCAAAAUAUGCUUAAUUUCAUGUUUGAAUGUGAAUAGAUGGAAAUUGAUAUAGUUUAUCCUAUUGUGUUAUCGUAUGCGACUAAUGUCGACGCGAAACCUUUUAAAGGGAAAGGAAAAGUGAAAGUUGUCGACGAGUAACUCGAAAUCUCAAUUUGUACUUUUAUGAUUCAAAAUCAUUUAAUUUGCUUGCAUAAACAUGUUAAUUGAAUAAUUGAAUAUCAAGGUGAGUAUAUGAAAUAGUAUGAUUUGUUUUGAUUGAGUUUAAAUGGAAUACCGAGAUAGAUGAAUAAAAUAGAAAAUGGCUUGAAAUGCUUGGAAUAUGAUGUGUGACAUGGAAAUUGGAUAGAAAUAUGUUGGAUGACAUGAGAUAUAAUGUAUAUUGAUAAUGAAUUGGAUUUUGAAUAUGAUUGUGUUUGAGAAAUGAUAUAUAUAUUGAAUCGUAAAAAUGAAAUUGUAACAUUAGUACCAUAUUAGUUGUUUGAUUUGUAUCGAAUAUAGUUGGCAUGUUAUAGGAUUAGAUUGUGUACGAGUUUAUGCCCCAGGAUGCGCUUUGUUUACCAAACACUCCAAUCUCGACCUUUAAGGAGGAUUUAGGAAUGUCGUGUCACCAACAUAAAAUCAAUAUCUUUAAAAUCAUAUUUGGCAUAAAUCAACUUAAACAAUAGUUUAAUUUAAUAUAGAAUGGAAACAAUUUGUCAUUCAAGGCUAGAUAAAAUGUACACCUUAAGAACCAUAAGGACUUCACUGAAAUUUCAUGGAAAUCAUAGUUCCAUGAACACAAGUUUAAAUACAAAAUUCAUUCUUCAAAAUAUAAGCAUCUUGACACCACCCUCAUGUCAUGCAUAAUACAAAAUAUUAGAAGUCUCACGACGACGAUUGUCCUCUGUCGUAGUCUUCAAAAUUCCUUUACUUUGGCAGUAGGCUUGAGAAGGAAAUGUAACUAAGUAAGUUCAAAGAACUUAGUGAGUUCCGAAGGGAAGCAUUACAAUAAUCAUAUAUGAUUCAAGCAAAACAUUUCCAACUCAACACAAUUACAUAGCUUGCCAGUUGGUGAGUACUAAACACAAAUAAACUAUACAUCAAACACUAUUCUUUUGGCGUAUGCAUUAUGCCCAUAUAAUCAUACAAACAACCUUCUUCGUUUUAGCCACACCCAAGUCCAUAGUUAAGUUGUAACAUUCAUAUCAUUCAUUUUCCUUUGUCAUGAUUUGUCAAUCUGGUUUGCAACAACUCUUGCCCUACCCAAGGCAACAUGAUCAUUUUCAUGUAUCACGAUUUGCCAAUUCAAUGCUAAUUUCAUUGAAGGCAACGCCAUGAAUUCAUUUUCCUUUUUCAAUCCAUAUUGUUCAUUGCAAAAGAAAAGGGUAGUGACGUAAACACGAAAAAAGGUCCUUACUCCACUUACACAAACAAACCAACUCAGACUAAUAACAACGAACAUCCAUCACUCAUGUGUAAACAUAUCAUCUCUACAUAAAAUGGAUACUUACCUUGAACAAAAUAUUAGGCAUUACACACACAUGAAAGUGAGAAGGAAUUCACCAGAAAAUGCAGCAAGUUUAAAUAGUAGGUCUUUUUCCCUUAUCACAAGAACCUUCAAAAGUGUCUUGAGCUAUAAUAUAGAUAGUUAAACUUGUUAGAUCACUAUACUAGAAAACUAAACAAGCUUGUUGGAAACAUUAGUAGAAAACUUAGAAUCGGGAAGUUUCUAAAUUGAGCCUAAAGCAUGCAACUCUAAGGUCAUGUAAAUAACUGUGAAAAAAGUUAUUGAUAUUUACCAAGUGCUAAAACAACGAAAGAGUUGGUUGAGUACAACAAACCCAAUCUUCAAGUCGACCUCAGGCCUUAGGUUUUCUGAGAGAAAAGGUGUAGAGAAAAUUUGAGAAGAAAAUAACUGCAAGAGAAAAUGUAAAACUUUCUCAUGAAGCCAAUACUAACUUUACACAGAUAAACACAGAAGCUAGGUUUAGUGGAUAAGUCAGAUUAUCCCACUAAACCCCUCGAUUCUUGUGAUUAAGCACUUUCUGUAUCAUCAUAAAUGUGAGUCUUAUUGGCUACAGUAACUUAGUUCUCUUCUAACCAGUUCUCACUUGUCUAACUAAAUUAUUCAACCAGAAUAAUAAUAUAAUAAAAUAAUUAAUAGUUCUUUCAUACUAAGGACUUAACAUAAUCGUUUAAUAGCUAGGGUAACGCAUACUCCAUAGAAGAGUCCGCCAAACUAGCAAGCUAGCCAAGCUCAAACUUCGCCUAAAGGCACAUUCAUAGAAUUUAUAUACUUAGUCAAAUCUAACACCAUAUCCACUAAGAAUUUACUCUAAAUAUCAUACAUCAACAAAUAAUAACUGGAUAUUAAGACUUCACCGAGUGAGAUGUCACAACUUUCCCUCACUUAGGAAAUUUGGUCCCCAAAAUUCAUACUUGAAAAUAACUGAGGAUAUUGAUCUUUCAUUUGACUUUCGCUUUCCAAAGUAGCUUCAUCAGUGCUAUGAUUCCUCUAUAACACCUUAACUAAGGGAAAUUCUUUUAUUUCUCAACUCUUUUACUUCUCUAGCAAGAAUACAAAUAGAUUCUUCUUCAUAGGAUAGGUUUGGUUCAACCUUUAGUUCCUUAAUUUGUACAAUAUGACUAGGAUUAGAUCUAUAUCUUCUCAAUAUUGAUACAUGAAACACAUUGUGGAUCUUCGAUAACUUAGGAGGCAAGGCCAACCUAUACGCCACUUGUCCAACUAAAACUUCAUAAGGCCCCACAAUCUUGGACUCAAUUUUCCUUUCUGGCAAACCUAAUGAUCUUUUUCAAAGGGGAGACCUUAAAAAACACUUUGUCUCCAAUCUAAAAGGAGAUUUCUUUCCUUUUCAAAUUUACAUAUGUUUUUUAUCAAUCCUGUUCAACUUUUAAAUGACUGAGAGUGAUAGCAACUUUCUUUUCAGUUUCAUGUACCACAUCUAGACCCACUAUCUUUCUUUCACUAAGCUCUAUCCAAAAAGUAGGUGUUCUAUACCUUCUACCAUAUAAUGCUUCGAAUAGAGACACCUUCAAGUUGGUGUGAUAACUGUUAUUGUAGGUGAACUCGACCAAAAUAACAUACCUUUUCAAGCAUAUCCCAAAGUUGAUUACACAACUUCUUAGCAUAUCUUUUAAAACUUAAAUGACUCUUUCUGAUUGGCCAUCAAUCUGAGGGUGAAAUGUAGUGCUAAAUUGUAGCUUAGUUCCUAAUGAUUUCUAUAACUGAUUCCAAAACCUUGAAGUAAACCUUGGGUCUUUAUCAGACACUAUGGAAGAUGGUAUUCCAUGUAGGCUUACUAUUUCAACAAUAUAUAGUUCAGCUAAUUUCUCCAAAGAAUAAGUAGUAUUCACACAAAGAAAAUGAGAUGCCUUGGUAAGUUUUCGCGUGUAAAAUGAUGUGAGAUUUUGUACAAGUAUACACAUCGAUUCAAGUAACAAAGUGAUGAAUGAGUAUCAUUCCCAUGAAGAUCGGAUUGAGGUACAAAAGUGGUCAAGUUAUUAGAAUAAAAUGUGAUUAAUGCUAUGGUAAGUAUGUAGUGGCAAUUAUUGAAGUAAUGAUGUAAGCAAUACGUGGUAUUAAAAAAUAAUUGGAAAUGCUAUGGUAAAAGUGAAAGUAGAAAUGUAACGGUAAUAACAAGAGUGAUUAUUUGAAUAGAAUGUAAACAAAGAAAUAAACAACUAAAUAUGUUGUGAAAAAGAUACUCCAAAUAUGUUGUGAAAAAGAUACUCCAACAAAGAAUAAGGAUAGAGUGAUGUUGAUUCAGAAGGUUUGGAUUACUAGGAAUUUACCUUUACUGUCAAUAAUGCCUUGGCAAAAUCGUAUCUACUUUAUUACACAGAAGAGUUCUAAUAUAGCUUGUCUCUUACGAUAGCAAAACCUCAAGUUACCUUGCUUGUGUUUAUAGGCUUCUUAGAUACCUUGCAUGGGUUACUUUUGUAUGAUAGUGACUCUAUGUCUAGAGACUACAAGUGUCAAUCAAAUACUUGCUCAUUUCAUUUAAUUUUAAUCCAACCAAUCCAAACCUUUCGAAAUUAGAAUCAAUUUUUAGUAUGCGAACAACCUUCUAUGUCUAGAGAUCGUUGCAUUUUAAUUAAGAAAUAAGAAUAAUCAAAUGAAAUAGUAAAGUAAAUUAUAUAUAUACGACAUCCAUAAAAACAGUUAAGGUUUUAUCGAAAGUAAUCCUAACCCUAUGAGAUUUAGCUCAUGGGCUGGGAAAUAAAAUUCCAAACCAAAAUAUUAUCCGACAUUGUGUUCAACUACUUCAAUUCAAUCUUUCGAAGGAAAUAACGGACGAACUUCGGGAAGCAGAUUUCGCUUGCCCAGCCCACACUUCAGUAGCACAACUUCCUAUGAUGGCUAAGAAAGACUACCUUUGACUUCCUGUCCUUUGCAUAGCUGAACCCUUAUUCACGCCUAAGGAUCUCUCUCACUUUUUCUUCUUUGUUUGUGAGAUCCCCUUCAUCAGUUUUUAUAGAUAGAUUAGGCUAGGGUCAACUAGUAACUUAUGAUUAUCUUAUCCUCUUUCAGGGGAUCUUAUGGUACAAGUUUAAAUUUGAAUUUGAAUUGCUGCGUGGAAGAAUGUUGACUUGGUCUUCCCGGCAUUGCCACAGCAUUCGUGUUGGCAAACUGUCUGCACUUUGUCCUAAAAAACUCACUCUUUUAUUUCCUCAUUCCAAAACCUGUUCUUGCCACAUCAACACAAACAUCUCCACCAUAAGUUAUUAAAAGCACCAAAUUCCAACACAAUCCAAGUCCUAAUGCAAUAUUAAAAUUGCUAACUAAAAUGUCCUAAAAUGCAACAAAAUGUACUUAAGAAUAAGCAAUUAGCUAGGUCUAAAUGCAUGAAAUAUAACUCUUUUUAAGAGUUAUCAUAAGGCAAACUACACCCAUACAAAAUUAUUCUUGGAUGGACUAAAGGGAAACCCUGAAACAAAAUCCAUGGUAAUCUCAACUCAUUUCUAUUCUAGAAUUUCCAAAUGAUACACUUUACCUGAAGAACUUGAUGUCCAACCUUAACUCUUAAACAAGUUAAACAAGUUGAGACAUACUCAGAAAUUUCCAUUUUCAUGCUAGGCCACCAAUAAGAAUCCUUCAAACCUCUAUACAUUUUGAUGCUUCUAGGGUGAAGUGAAAAAGGUCAUUGGUGAGCUUCCUUUAACAACUCAUUUCUCAUUCCAUUCCUACUGGUACAAAUAUUAUGUCCUUGAAUCUUAGCUCACCAUCCUUGCCUAUACUAAAGUUUGCUGCUUUGUCAACCAUCAUUCUUUGCUUAAAACGAUCACACUGAAUAUCUUUCAUCUACUCCUCUAAUAUUUUUGAAAGAUGGGUUGGUUUUACAACUAAUUCUACCAUCAAGUCUCUAUUAUCAGACAUGGCCACCUUAGCUCAAAGACACAUCAAGGCUGCCACAAUUUGCCUACUCAAUGCAUCCAACACAUUUUUUUCCUAGAUGAUACUCAAUAAUCAAGUCAUAAUCCUUUAACAGCUCUAACCAUUUCCUUUGGCACAAAUUCAAGUCCUUUUGAGUCAUUAAGUACUUCAGAAUUUUGUGAUCACAAAAUAUAUGACAUUUCUCUUCAUGUAGAUAAUGUCUCCAUAAUUUCAAUGCUAGAACCAUUGAUUCCAAUUCUAGAUCAUGCAUAGGAUAAUUUCUUUCAUGAAGUUUCAACUAGCACGACGCAUAAGCUAUGACUUUUCCUUUCUGCAUAAGGAUGUGAUCAAGUCAAUAGGAAUUAAGGGUUGAGUCUAUGUCAGAGGUAUGAUGUGCCCUUUAUCUGUGGAACUGUGCAAGUUAAGUUACAAGGUAAAUUGGUCAGGAGCUAACCGAACAUGAACCAGGAUAGUUAAAGAUAAGAGGAAAUACUCAAUUAGGUUUCUCAGAAGUUGUGGACUUUGAUAAGAAAAUUCAAUAGUGAUGUGACAUUUGUCAAGUUCCAGUAAAGACUUAGACUAUUUUAAUAGGUAUUCAAGUUUGAUUAAAGGGGGUCAUCUUCUUCUCUUUUCUAAAAUACUAAAAUCUAAAGCUGGAGGAAUAGGAAGUAUCCCUUUAAGCUAGAUCAGAAACCCUUGAUUUUAUCAAUAAUAUUUCCAUACCAAGGUAAGUUUUAUGGCUUUAAGUACAUCUAUAUGAAUGAAGAAGUAAGGCCUUAUAUGUGGGUUAUCUAGGUUUGAAAUGAUUGUAAAGGUUAUUUGUAUGGGCCUUAAUAGUGAUCUUCUAUUUUAUAAGGCAGUUGUUGUUGUAGUCUCUGAUUGAAUGUUAGAUCUAGAAUACAUGUUGCUAUCCAAAGUUGUCAGGUGAGUCCCUAAGCCGACUCCUAUAUGUUUGUAUGUUGUUCAUUCUAGAUACUUCUGUGAAAGAUUGUAUGAACUACGAUAUGAAACUAGAAAAGAAUGGUAUAAUGAAUAUGCUUAUAUAUGAAUGUUAGACGAGGGUUGCAUGUGUAAUGGUACAAAUCUGACAAGUAUAGAGUAUGUGAUAAAUAAUUUGAAGUUGAAGCAUAACUGUAUGAACAUGUUUUAAAUGUAUAAGAUUAAAUGUGUGUGAGUUUUAAAUAGUGUAAAUGCAUGAAAGGUUUGCUAGUGAGUCUAUGUCUAUUUUCGCGAAGUCGUCUAAAGGGGUCCGUUGGGACUUGAAACACGAUCUCUAAAAAGGAAGAGCCCAUGGCCAUGACACUAUAUCGUGUAAGACCAUAACUGGUGGGCUAUGACAUCAUAUGGAAAAAACUAAAGGAAAGUUAUUACCUAAUGAGGUUAUCUGUGUGACCCAAGAUGAUGAGGGGACAACCUCAUGAAAUGCGAGUGUAGGUAAAAUCCUAUCGUGAACACGCUAAGAAAUGGAAACCUUUAUGGCGUAUCCAAAAUGGAAGCCUUUGUGGCAUAUCUGAAAUAGAAGCCUUUGUGGCAUAUCUAAAAUGGAAGCCUUCGUGGCAUAUCUGAAAUAGAAGCUUUCAUGGUAUAUCUGAAAUGGAAGCUUUCGUGGCAUUCUCUAAAAUAAUGGCCCUUAUGGAAACCAUCUGAAGGGAACGCCUCUAUGGCAGACCUUGAAUGAAAGAAAUAGAACGUAUGAAAAACUCUGAAAGAAUGGAAUUUUUAGUAAACUCUAAAAAAAUGGCAUGAAAGGAAAUAUCUGAAAUUAAAUUCUUAGUAGCAAUGUAUGAAGGAAAUGCCCUUGCAGCGGAUUGUGAAGAAACAACCUCUAUGGCGAAUUCUAUAAGGAAGGUUUCUAUGACUCACAUGGACGGGCUACUCUUGUAUUGUAAUAUGGAAGAGCUUUUAAUGAUGAACCAUAAAGGACACUCUUGCUGUAGACUCGUGCUAUAUAAUUGGCACAUCCUACAUUGUCUCUAAAUGCAAACAUUAAGACUAGUAAGUACGAAAUGUAUCCAUAGGUAUAACGAUAAGGUAUCUAAUAUGAUUAAUACUUGUAUAGAGAUAGAGAAUUAAAGAGAUAUAGCGAAGUAAUGAAAAUAUUUUUUGGAAGUGAAUGUAAACAUGGUACGCUCUAAAUGAAAUACCAAUCAUCCGUGUAUGGGUCUCUUUUUGGAACUUGAUAGAGUCAUAGCUUAGUGAUUGGAGAAUGUAGGUAUGGUCUGAAAGACACUGAAGAGAUGGAAAAUGUUCUUAGGGUAAGGUAUGGAAAUGAACAUGAGUAUAAGAAUGGCAAUUGAGGAGGUAAUCAUUAAAGGAAAAAUGAAGAAUAAGGGCAAAGAAACAAUAAUUGAAACAUUGAAUGUAACGCGCAAGUAUGAUUCAGGUAAAUGGAUGUUUAACUCACUAAGUUCUUUUGAACUUACCUUUGUGUGUUAUAUUUCAAGUGGGUUCUUAGGGUCUUAGCUUGGAAGGACAAUGCCAAGACUGUGCUGAAGGAGUGGCAUAUUGGGCUAUUAUGCAUACAGAACGAGCUUGAUGGCUAGAUCGAGUCUGAGUUGAUGCAUUU
rnacentral:lncRNA from 1 species